UUUUUUUUGGUUUUUGAAAUUAAUAGUAGUAGCGUGGGUCACAGUCACGCGCUACAGAUAGUUGGUAGUAGUGCGUGUCGAACCCACGCUACUAAUAACACACAUACUAGUAGCGCGGGAUGCACCGCGCUACUACUACUAGUUAGCUGUAGCGCCGUAGUAGUAGCGCAGGUACCUGCGCUACUACUAGCUUUUAACACGCGCUGCUACUAGGAUUUUUCCUAGUAGUGGUAUUGAUGUCCUCAUCAUCCUCCCCUUCUUGAAAUGAAGUCGUCCUCGACGGAAGCUCAUCUUCCUCACCCAAAUAAGGCUUCAAAUAUGCAAUGUUAAAAGUGAGACUAACCCCAAAAUCUACAGGCAACUCAAGUUUAUAUGCAUUAUCAUUUAUUUUCUCUGACACCUUAAAUGGACCAUCAGCACAUGGCAUUAGCUUUGAUCUGCGCAAAUUAGAAAAUCUAUCCUUACGCAAAUGUAACCAAACAAGAUCUCCAGGUGCAAAGACAACACGUUUUCUACCCUUAACUCCAGCAAGUUUAUAUUUAGCAUUCAUACACUCAAUGUUCUCCUUAUCUAGCUCAUGCAUUUUUAAGAUCAAUUUAGCACGUUGUUUAGCAUCAAAAUUAACCUUCUCCAAAGAUGAAAGAGGCAACAAAUCAAUAGGUGCACGAGGAAGGAAACCAUACACAAUUUCAAAAGGGCACAUCUUAGUAGUAGAAUGCAAUGAACGAUUAUAAGCAAAUUCAAUAUGAGGCAAGCAUUCUUCCCACAUUUUCUUGUUAUUCUUCAAAAUAGCCCUAAGCAUAGUAGACAAAGUUCAAUUGACUACUUCAGUUUGUCCAUCAGUUUGGGGAUGACAUGUAGUACUAAAAAGCAGUUUAGUCCCCAACUUAGCCCAUAAACAUCUCCAAAAGUGGCUAAGAAAUUUAGUAUCACGAUCUAAAACAAUUGUAUUUGGCACACCAUGCAAGCGAAUAAUUUCACGAAAGAACAAAUCAGCAACAUUAACAACAUCAUCGCCUUUAUGACAUGGUAUAAAGUGUGCCAUUUUUGAGAAUCUAUCCAUGACAACAAAUAUGCUAUCCCUCCCCUUCUUUGUUUGAGGUAAACCUAAAACAAAUUCCAUAGAUAUAUCCUCCCAAGGAACACUAGGUACAGGCAAAGGCAUAUAGAAACAAUGAGGAUAGAGUCAUGACUUAGCUUUUUGACAUGUAGUGUAGCGAGCAACAAAAUGCUCAACAUCCCGUCUCAUCUUUGGCCAAAAGAAAUGUGUAACAAGUAUAUCCUCCAUCUUCUUCACGCCAAAGUGUCCCAUUAAUCCUCAUCCAUGCGCCUCCUGCAAGAACAAAAGACGAACGGAGCUCGCUGGAAUGCAUAGCUUGUUAGCACGAAACACAAAUCCAUCGUUAACGAUGAACUUGUUCCAUGUCCUCCCUUCCGUACAAUUCUGCAAUACAUCUUUAAAUUCAGCAUCAUGCACAUAUUGAUCUUUGAUGGUCUCCAAACCAAAUAUUUUAAAGUCAAGUUGUGAAAGCAUAGUAUAGCGGCGAGACAAUGCAUCAACAAUAACAUUUUCUUUACCCUUCUUGUGUUUAAUGACAUAAGGGAAAGUCUCAAUGAAUUCAAUCCAUUUAGCAUGUCUACGGUUCACUUUUGCUUGACUUUGAAUGUGUUUCAAAGAUUCAAGAUCAGAAUGUGUAACAAAUUUUUUGGGCCAUAAAUAAUGUUGCCAUGUUUCUAAGGUCCGAACAAGAGCAUAUAAUUCUUUAUCAUAAGUAUAAUAGUUCAAACUAGGCCCACUCAAUUUUUCAGAAAAGUAUGCAACAGGUUUGCCAUCUUGUAAUAACACACCUCCUAAUCCAAUUCCACUAGCAUCACAUUCAAGGUCAAAAGUCUUAUUAAAAUCAGUAAGUUGGAGUAAAGGAGCAUGUGUCAACUUAUCUUUCAAUACGGUGAAGGCCUCUUCCUGUGCGGUACCCCAAACAAAAGGCACAUCCUUCUUUGUAAGCUCAUUGAGAGGUGCAGCAAUGGUGCUGAAAAUUUCUCACAAAACGCGUGUAGAGACCAGCGAGUCCAAGAAAACUCCUCACUUGUGUGAUCAUUUUGGGCUGCGGCCAGCUCUCAAUAGCUUCAGUCUUGGCUUUAUCAACUUUAAUUCCCUGUGGAGUAACAACAUAGCCAAGAAAAGAUACUCGGUCGGUGCAAAAGGUGCACUUCCCAAGGUUACCAAACAAACGUGCAUCAAGUAAAGCAAUAAAAAUAGCACGUAAAUGUUCUAAAUGUUCCUCCAAAGAUCUUCUAUAAAUCAGUAUAUCACCAAAAUAGACUACCACAAAUCGUCCAAUGAAAGGACAUAAAACUUCGUUUAUUAAUCUCAUGAAAGUACUAGGUGCAUUAGUUAACCCAAAAGACAUGACUAACCACUCAUAUAAUCCAAACUUAGUUUUAAAUGUUGUUUUCCAUUCAUCCCCCAAUUUCAUACGAAUUUGAUGGUAUCCACUACGUAAAUCAACUUCCGAGAAUAUUGUAGAGCCACUCAAUUCAUCAAGCAUAUUAUCUAGCCUAGGAAUAGGAUGAUGAUAACGAAUAGUAAUGUUAUUAAUGCCUCUACAAUCAACAAACAUAUGUGAUGUACCAUCCUAUUUUGGCACUAGAAUAAUAGGAAUAGCACAAGGACUAAGGAAUUCGUGCAUAUAACCUUUGUCGAGCAGCUCCUGGACUUGACGCAUAAUCUCCUUCUUUUCCUCUGGAUUGGUACGAUAUGGUGCACUGUUAGGUAGUGAUGCACCGGGAAUUAAGUCAAUCUGAUGCUCAAUCCCUUGCAUAGGUGGUAAUCCUGGCGGCACGUCUUGUGGAAAGACAUCAAUGAACUCCUGCAAAAUGUUAGUAAUAGCAGGAGGCAAAUAGGAAGGCACGUCCUCGAGUGAAAAUAAUGCCUCUUUGCACACAAAAGCAUAGCAAACAGAUUUGCUAAAAUCUAGCUCAUUAAUAUCAGAUUUUUUGGCAAAUAAACAUGCACUUUUCAAUUUAAUUUCAGAAGCAACACUAGAUGGUUUAUUAUUAGACUUCAUUUGUUGCUCAAAUUCUUUUGCCACAAUCUGAUUUUCACUCUUUUUUCUCAUGUUUUGCUUUAUUAUCUCUAUUAAUAUCAUCUUUCAAAAUGGAAUCAGGAGACAUAGGAAGCAAAGUAAUAUUUUUAUCCUUGUGAACAAGAGUAUACUGAUUGUUUCUACCAUGGUGUAUAGAAUGUUUAUCAAAUUGCCAUGGUCUACCAAGUAAUAAGGAACACACUUGCAUGGGUACCACAUUACAAUCAGCAUAUGUAGAGAUACUAAAAUGCACACGAACAGUACGUGUUACCUUAACCUUGCUGCUGUUGUUGAACCAUUGGAUGUAGUAAGGAUGUGGAUGUGGUCUUGUGGUGAGAGAUAGCUUCUCCACCAUCUCCAUGCUAUCCAAGUUGUUGCAGCUCCCUCCAUCUAUGAUGUGCGCUGGAAUUCGUCUUCCACCACCCCGUUCUCCUCCGACCAUCGCACCCAUGUCUGACGCUCGUCGGGCCCGCGCCGAGCACCGGCCGCUCUCGCUUCCCGCGUCGCCCAGACGGCUCCUGUCGGCGGGCGUCCUCGCCGUUCCCCGUCACCUGCCGUCAACGCCGCCACCGGCCCGGCGGGGGACGAGCAGCAAGCAUCGUCUCAGCAUCCGUUCGUGCGGCAAGACGGCCGCAUCGCAACUCCCUCGCUCACCCCAGCUCGUUCUUCGUCCCGCCCGCUCCGCGCACCCAUGGAGGCUCGAGCUACGCUCAUCGCGGCAAACGAGCUCCUGCGCUACCGUCCCAUCGACGACGUCUACAAAGAAUGGCUCGACCGCGUCGCCGAGCUCGUCCGGGCCACAGGGGGCUCUCCUGCGCCGUCCGUUCCGCUGCACCGCACCCCGCCCCGCGUGGGCGACGAAGCUCCGGCGGCGCCCUGGCCGCCUCCUCCUCAAGAAGGCGCCAUGGCUCCAAGGCGCGUGGCCCCUGGGCGGAACCCGCUCCGUCAGGUGCCAGCGCGGCAAGAGCAGAGCUGCCAGGAAGUCCCUCGCCUGCAAGAAGCUGCCCGGGCGCUCCCUGCUCCAGCACGUCGCGACCAUGCUCCUGCUCCCGCACGUCAAGACCCCGCACUGCUCCCAGCUGCAGCGCGUGGGGACAUGCAAGACCAAGCUCUCCGUCACCCAAGGCCUCCCGUGGCCACAGCAGGCUGUCGUGCCUUCACCACCGAGCUACGCAGCGUCGCGUGGCCCGGCAAGUUCAAGCCAGACCUGCCUCCUCGUUACAACGGCACGGCUGACUCUGCGGAGUUCCUCCAGCUCUAUGAGCUGGGCAUCGAAGCUGCCAACGGAGACGAGAAGGUCAUGGUGAACUGGUUUCCCAUGGCGCUCAAGGACGGGGCCCGCACCUGGCUCCUGAACCUGGCUCCAGGCACGAUCUCCUCCUGGGAUGAGAUGCGCACCCGCUUCAUCGCCAACUUCCAAGGUACUCGCGACCGGCCACCCGCCGUGAGCGACAUGCGCCGCAUCAAGCAACAACCCGGGGAGACCCUGCAGAAGUACAUCCAGCGCUUCAACAACGCACGCCUCAAGAUUCCCAGGGUGACUGAGGAGGCCAUCGUCUCAGCCUUCUCCGACGGCGUGCGCGAUGUCAAGAUGAAGGAGGAGCUGGCGAUGCAUGAAGACCUGUGCACUUCCUUGGAGCUGUUCAACUUGGCAACCAAGUGCGCCAGGGUUGAGGAAGGGCGUCUCUCCCUCCUCGAGCUGCCUGUCGCAGACCCAGAAGAGAAGAAGCCCAAGGCCAAGGAUGUGAAGCGCAAGGGGGCUGUCGUGCUCGCGGCAGAACCAGACACCAAGCGGGGCAGAGAUCAGCCCGAACCUUCCAAGGGCAGUCGGUACUGUGUGUACCACGACCUCCACACCGACAACACCAACGAAUGUCAAGAGCUCUGAGCCGUGCCAGAAGGAAGGAUCGGCUACGGUCGAGGAGGAGGAAGGAACGCAGGACGCCGGGAAGACUGUGGCCCGCGCCAAGGGUGGUGCGAUCAACCUCGCGAGGAUCGUUGGCAAGACCCGCCUCGUGAGGGAGACUGGAGGGAUCAGCCUCGCGAGGAUCGCCCGCAAGGCAACGCAGGCCUCCCUCCACUGCCGCCACAGCCAAGGAGAAACGAGGACCGCCACCAGGAAGAGGGGGUUGGGGGCUUCCCGGAGCCGCGCGUGAUCGCCUGCAUCCUGGGCGGGGCUCAAGCCCCAGCCUCUCAACGCAUCUUCAAGCAGUUCGCCCGCGAAGUGAAUGCAGUCCUCCCCAGGCUCAAAGCCACGCGCCCUCUCAGGUGGUCGGCGUGCACCAUCACGUCCAGCUCAGUAGAUCAGCUCAAGUGUGCGGCUAUAGCCGGAGUCCUCCCGAUGCUUUGUUCCUCAAUCAUCAGCAACGUGGUGGUCACCAGGACCCUCAUCGAUGGCGGGGCAGGGCUCAACGUCCUGUCCGUGGAAACAUUCAACAAUCUCCAAGUGCCCUACAGCCAGCUUCAGCCAACCAAGUCUUUCUCUGGAAUCACCGACGGCUCCACGGUCCCGAUUGGGCAGGUCCGCCUCCCUAUCACCUUCGGGACACGCGACAACUACCGCACCGAGCUCAUCGACUUCGACGUCGCUCACAUUCGCCUGCCGUACAACGCCAUCCUUGGGUACCCAGCGCUGGCCAAGUUCAUGGCCGUAACUCACCACGGCUACAACGUCCUCAAGAUGCCAGGAAGUGGCAGAGUCAUCACGGUGCCCUGUGAAGAAAAGGACACGGUGUGUUCCCUGGCAUGAGCCUUUCAGGCCGCGUCACUGGAAGACCCGGAUCGCGGAAGCAGGAGGCUUCCCGAGACCGCCCCCAAGAAGAAGAAGACAUCGUCCGGCCUAGCCCCUCAGGAGGCAGGCCCCUCUGGGCCCGUGCCUGCCCAGGGGGAACCUCCUUCCAUCGCAUAGGAAAGCGCGCCCGGCGCCCUCCUCGGGCAGGGCUCGGGGGCUCUCCCCUGGAGGGCCACCGACCUGGCUAGGGUCACGAGGGAGGCGCUUGGGCGCCACAUGGAGGCGUGUUUCGAAGCACGUUUCCCUCAAGAAGGAGUAAGACAAGGAGAGCCAGACCCUCAGGAGUUCGUCAGCAAGGCCAUUCAGGAGCUACAGGAGUCAAGAGUCAUGAAAGGCGGCCGCCGCCUACCAGCAGUGGCUCCCCAUCCAGGCGAGGAUGGUGGGCUGCGCGUCUGCAUCGACAUACUAGGGCUCAACCGAGUCGCCUCUCUGGAGCGCCUCUGGCCAUCGCGAGUGGGGCGCUGCGAAGGUCCACCCCACAGCUACGUUCGCAUGCCUUACGGCUUGCCGAACGCGGCUGCCACGUACCAGCGCCUCAUGAGGGGCAUCAUGGAGGCACAAGAGGCCAGGCGUUCCGCGGCCCUGGAGGAGAUGCAGAUGGUCCGCGAGGAGCCACCAGCGCCUCCGGAGCCUCCCGAGGCCCCUGGGCCUGGGGGCUCGUGAGGAUCAGCUUCCGCAGCCCACCGAGUCUGCUACACCAACACCCCUUCAUCCUCAUCGUCAUCAGGUGACAUCUUUCAAGUUUCACUUCCAGCUGGGAGCGCCCCCCAGGGCUGCAUUAUUCCCAGGCCGCGUGGGUCCGUCCCUGCGGCAUGUAUCCCUUUUAUUUCAUGUUGUUAGCUUACCUUGUUGGGAGUGCCCCUCGGGCUGCAUCAUCCCCAAGUCACUCGGGCCUGACCCAGUGAUGUCCACCUUCCCAGCAUCUAUUUGGAUGAAUCCACUCCUUCGCGGCUAAUGUGUUUGACCUAGCUGCCCGCUCAACUGACGCCAACUAACGGAACUACUCCCAAACGGCACGACGCUUGCGCAUGGGUCUGUCCCUGCAAUGCCGACAAACCUGAAUGGCUGAGCUCUGGCCGCGGCAGCCCCGCAUGGCGCCACCUCGUCAAGCCUUUAGUGCCUCGUUACCCCUCGGAAGCAACCAACGGUUGACUGUCAAUUGUCAUGGCAACCCCUCGUUCUUUCUCUGAUGGGUCUACAGGAUCUCUUAAAGGAGCUGCGCCAGGCGAGGCCCUUGCGGUGUCUCCUCCACUCUCAUCCGCGCGAACCGCUUGCACGUUAAAGGGGGGUGCCUGAGCAUCGCGACUCAGGGCUCCUACUGGCUCUCCAGCCCUCACCCUCUGGCCUUGUCCACGGCAUCGCGACCUGGCAUACCAGUGACGGCUGAGACUCACUCGAGGCCCGGGACCCGAGGACGUAGAGCAAAAAGGGGAGCAAAGGCGAGAGGGGAGGGACACACGAGGACCUCGCCGAGCAACCUCGCGCCUGCCGAUGCACGGACCCGGCGACACACCAGAGAGCGGCCCCUGAUUCUCGAGAUAAGUCAUCACCCGGAAGCGCCAGCUGCCGUGGCACCAUCCCCGCACCUAAUGCAAUCCCGUGUUAGCGACGCCGCUGUCCUUUCUCACCAAACGACGGCUGCUUGAGCGCCAAAGGGGACCUCCUAAGCAUCGCGACUCAGGGGCUCUUACCGGACUCCGGGUCGCUCACCUCCUGGCCUUGACCACGGCAUCGCGACCUGGCAUACCAGCGACCGCUGAAGCCGCCUUGGGACUGGGACCUGUCGGCGCAGAGCACCAAGCCCUCGUGAGGUUCGAAAGGGAGGACUGAGCUAAGACGGAAUGAGCAACUCGCACAAUUCUACGACAAGGGUUAUAUUAACAAAACAGGAUCACAGGCACCUUACAAGCCCCCACGAGACGCGUCUUUGAUUCCUCGCAGGGAACAGAUCCUAAAGGGACACUAACUACGCGCGCCCCUGCAGAAGACGCCAUCAUCAACAGUGGGCCGUCAAGCACCGGCGCCAACCCCAUCUAGAUCAGAGUCAGCGGCGGCCUGACGAGCCCGCCCUGCUCCAGGAGCGGCGCCGGCUCGAGGGCUCGUAGCUGUCCUCGCUCGUCUCCGGAGUCGCGAAGAGCUCGCCGGAGUCGCUGGAACCUUCGACGCCUCUGCCGCCUGAGGAGCCACCAAGGGAGCGGUCGGCGGGCCCAGUCCUCGCCGCAGCAGGGUCCCGGCCACCUCUCCCGGGCCAGCGCUCCAGCCGGUGCCCGUUCGCAUCAAAGACCUUGAAGAACAUCACCGAAGCACCAUCGUAAUCCAAGUGGAUCGCGAAGGCGCCCCUUGUCCUGCAAACCCGGGCGAUUUCGCUCCAGCCCCGAGUCAUGAAGACCUCACCCGGGGCAACGACCGCGACCUCUGCCUCGGUCGCAAGGGUGCUGCAGCCGGUGUGCUGCAGCCAAAGCUCCAGGGGCUCUCCCUGCGGGAUGAUGGAGGCGAAGAAGGAAGGAAGGCGAAUCCAAGACUGAGGAGGCAUGGCGGCAUGGAACACGAACUCUCGGGAGGAGCCCUCGGUGUGGACCCCAGGGGGGACGACCCACACCUUCGUAACCCGUCGGCGCCGGUGGCGGCGCCGCCCGUGGCGAUCAGCAUCAGCUCCUUCAGGGCCCUCGUUGUGGGCGUACAAGGGAAGCGGGAACCCCGGCGGUGCCCGCUCGCACCAGGGCCUCGACACCACCUGAUGAGCCCCCUUGUCCGGGCCGCGGAGGACGAGCCGUUUCUUCGGCGGGAGCGGGUCUGGUUCCUCUCGGGGAGCCUUUUCCUUCUCUGCCGUCGAGAACCGGCUGAUCGGAGCCAUCGCAGCAAGAUGGAGCAAGGAUCGGGAAGAAGGAGAAGCAAGAAGGGAUGGACUGGAAGGGCACACGCCGUUCCGUACUUAUGGCCGGCGAAGGUCAACUGCCGACCUCCAUGAUCGCAGGUAAUCAUGACCCGCUUUGCAUGCAGGGACUUGUCCAAUCCGUGCAGUUGCCGAGGCGCCAUGGGGAAGUGGAGACGCCCACGUCCAAUCAACCGCCACGCGGCGCCCAAGGCCGCGGGCUGUUAGGGCCCGCGGCGCUUCACUCUUGCCCUUCCGCCUCCCUGCACGGCCAAGUCCGGGCACGCCUUGGGCCCGGGGGCUACUGCCGGCGUUCUGGGAACGGGGGUCCCCAGACUUGCCUGCCUGCGGCCUGCGGCGUGGCUCAAAGGGGGGCCCAGUACGGCCUAUCUUCAUCAACACAGACCAAAGACCCUCGCGAGGGGCCAAGCCUCGCGGGGUGGACGACACGGAGCUUCCUCAGGCACGGCCUCAUCAGGCUGGCUCGCGAGGAGGCGGAGAGAUCAAGGCGGGGUACCUCAGGAGGUGCCCGUGACGCAAGCCAUGACGACCAAAGGCGCCAGGUGGGCGCCAGCCCGCGCAGUGUCCUCCUUUCCUCUUUGGUGCAAAGGGAACAAGCGCAGCCGCGGAGUACCGAGGCAUCAGGCAAAGGUUGCCAUUUCAGUGCAACAAGAUCAAGACCAGGAGGACUGCAAGACGGAGGUCAUUGUAGAGCCCAAGACGGCGUCACCACCAGAGCUUUGUGCAGGCGAAGACUACUUUUGUCAGGAUAGCUAGUACUAGCUGUCCCCCUUCAAAUUAGCCCGCCAUUGUUGGCUCCCUUCCCGCUCAAUAUUUGGUAAGAGGACCAGGGCCUAUAUAAAUAGGACCAGUCACCCACAGGGUAGGUAGGAAGAGGUGAAGGACGAGGAAGAGAAGAUCAAAAUCAGAGAGAGAGAAGGGUGACUGAACUCCCCCUAGCAGUUGGUCCCCCCAGCCAAGAACAGACCCUCGCGAGGCUGUUCUUCCUUGUAUUGUUCAUCAUCAUCAGCCCAAGAGGCAAUCCACCACACCACACACUGGAGUAGGGUAUUACACCACAAUGGUGGUCCAAACCAGUAUAAACCCUAUGUCCCUUGUGUCGUUCUUCCCAUAGCCUAGAUCUUAGCGAGGCGGAGGGGUGCAGGUAGGUAGGAGGCGAAAUCUCCGCACGCACCCCAGUGUUCGAACCUCAAGGGUCUGCCGGAACCCGAAAUCCAACAUAGGUUGAGACCACCUAGGUGAGAGGUGGGCUUGGCCCCUGGUCGGCAUCCACGAUUACUUCAAAAUAACACACUCAACAAGAUCUUGGUAUUUGAUCUGAGUCUAGCCACUGGCCUAUACACACUAACCAACUACGCGGGAACAGUUAUGGGCACUCGACGUCGUGGUAUCAGCCAAAGCCUUCUUGACAUCAGCGACUGAGCGGAGCGCGCCGGGUUGGAACGCGUAACGCAACUUCCUUUGUGAUGGAGGUUGCUAGGUGUGCUCACCGGCCACGUAUGAAACGUGCAGGUGUGCAACGGGCGAUGGGCCCAGAUCCCUGCGCGCUUAGGAUUUAGACCGGCGUGUUGAGCUCUCUGUUGUGCUUAUGUAGGGUUCUGACGUGUUGAUCUUCCGAGGCCGGGCAUGACCCAGGAAAGUGUGUCCGGCCAGCGGGAUCGAGCGUGUUGCGUAAUGUGGUGCACCCCUGCAGGGAAGUUUAUCUAUUUGAAUAGUCGUGUCCCUCGGUAAAAGGACGACCCGGAGUUGUACCUUGACCUUAUGACAACUAGAACUGGAUACUUAAUAAAAACAUACCCUUUCAAGUGCCAGAUACAACCCGAUGAUCGCUCUCUCACGGGGCGACGAGGAGAGGAUCGCCGGGUAGGAUUAUGCUAUACGAUGAUACUUGGUGAACUUACGAUCUACUCUUCUAUAUGAUUCAAGAUGGAGGCUGCCAGAAGUGUAGUCUUCGAUAGGACUAGCUAUCCCCCUCUUAUUCUGGCAUUCUGCAGUUCAGCCCACGGAUACUAUCCAUUUCAUUAAUACCAAUGCAUAUGUAGUGUAGAUCCUUGCUUGCGAGCCCUUUGGAUGAGUACUCACGGUUGCUUUGCUCCCUCUUUUCCCCUUUCCUUUCCUCUCGGUUGUCGCAACCAGAUGCUCGAGCCCAGGAGCCAGACGCCACCUUCGAUGACUCAUACUACACCAAGGGUGCCUACUACUACUUGCAGGCCGCCGACUACGACCAGGAGUAGUUAGGAGGAUCCCAGGCAGGAGGCCUGCACCUCUUUUGAUCUGUAUCCCAGUUUGUGCUAGCCAUCUUAUGGCAACUUGUUUAACUUAUGUAUGUACUCAGAUAUUGUUGCUUCCGCUGACUCGUCUAUGAUCGAGCACUUGUAUUCGAGCCCUCGAGGCCCCUGGCUUGUAUUAUGAUGCUUGUAUGACUUAUUUAUUGUUAGAUUUGUGUUGUGAUACCUUCUCAUGAGUCCCUGACCUUGAUCGUACACGUUUGCAUGUAUGAUUAGUGUACGCUCACAUCGGGGGCGUCACAAGUUGGUAUCAGAGCCAACUGUCUCUAGGACUCCCCUUUCCAACUCCUUGGCCGAAGUUGAGUCUAGUCAUUGCAAAACUUUUACUAACAUGGUUGUAUGUCUUACGGGCCCACGUCGCCAUUGGGUGGUAUUAGGAUCUUUUAUUCAUCGUCUAUACUCUCGGACUAGGAUCUCUCCUCUACUCGGGUUAAAUGAUUUUGCUAACUCUAACACUAGGUUCUCAUAACUACUUCCUCCCGGAGAGCCCUCACUCUAGAUGAUUGCUUGGUGCACCGAAGGAUCCCGAAGAUACUCUGUGAUGUUCUCUCGAGACUUUGUGCCAUCGCUUUUGCAAUUCCCUUCCAUCGAUAAACCCCCUAUGGACACGUACACUUGUCCUUCAUACAAUCAUUUCCCGUUGAUCUUGUUAUUACAAGAUACCCUGAAAUUCUCUCUAUUGUUCUGAAAAUCCUUGGAGAUACUGCCUUGUAGUUCUUUGCCACAUGAUUACCCCUACGGGUAAUUCCUCGCUAUUCCGAGUAUCCGCUCAUCCCCAGUUGUUCAUGUUUUUCACAAAAUUCUUCAAAAUACUAUCCGAUCUUUCGAGAAUCCUCUGUAGCCUAUGGCUCUUGAAAUGCUUGUCUGCCUGCAUUAUGGUUAAUUCCAAAUGACUAGCAAUAUUCAUGGAUGUCCUUUUCCUUUAUCAUCUUGGGUCCCUUGAUUCAAUAUGUUGCGAAUGUUGCAAUCCUUAAUCAGAUCCUAGAAUUCAUCAUUUCGGCUUAGAUGUCAUUUUAAACAUGAUUUGGAUCUCGACCAAUCAAAUUGCCAUCGAUUGUACCCCUAAGCCUACUCAACUUAUCCAUCCUUGAUCAGAGCGUUGCUUCUGAUCCCUUGAUUUGGAAAUGAUAAUUCCUUUGCAUUUGAACUUUGAAAUAGUCAGUUGUUUCUAUAAUCUGAUGCCCUUUUUGUUCCUUCUUCCUCUGAUAGAGUACCGAUACUCGCAUCAGCUCCGUUCUAGACCAUAAGACCCCUUGUUGGAUUAUUACCCGACAGUGUCCUUCAUAUUCAAUGAACAUUUCCAUGGGUAUAUAAUGCCUUUGGUAAUUUGUAUCCUCUGUUUUGAUAACCAUACUCUACUUUCAAGCUUGUAUUAUUUACUCUGAAGUUUGUGGUAUAUGUGCCUAAGAUGCCCCGAUGGGCUGAACCAACGCUAUCCCUAAUCAGUGCGAACCCGAAAGAUUUCAUGGGUCAUACUUAUCUGGUAUUGCACCAGGUAAAACUUUCAACAACUAAUGUCAUUUUAGAAAUGUGAGAGGUGAAUGAAAGGUUAUGCAUUGCAGAAGUGGGAGUCGAUCUUGAACCUUUGUGUUCAUGCCCACGGGCACGAUAUGGAACUUAUCAUGAAAGCUUCUUGCAAGAAUAUUUAAUCAUUUGAAUAAUUCUUCUGGGAUCGUAAACUGGAUCCAUUGUAGUUAUGGUUCCGACCAUGCUAACCUUAUUCAAUAUAUCUAAAAGGAAACCAUUCCAUUGCCUCGUCUAUUCUGACAACAUUAUAGUAUCUGCUAUCACAAGUCAAUGCUCCAAUUUAGUUUCUAUUUUGAAUUGCCUUCAAGUAUUACCCUAUGGUAUCUUGAUAAUAUCACUGAACCAGGUUGCUUUUUGUGGGUCUCGUUGAUUCCAAUUUUUCCUAGGUCUGAGUUGUUAAGUCACUUGGGGACACCUAUAACUAGAUCAAGUCUGCACCGUGAUUAAACAACUCUUAGUAAUCUUCAUUGCUUGCGAGUAUAAUAAUCCUUCAAGUCAUUCCUAGCCUGAUUGACUAUAUCAUUAUUGUCUAAUUUUAACUAUGCUACCUGGUCCUUAUUCUCAAAGCACAACUUUUGACGAUGAGCUAAGCUUACGUCGAUCUUCCUCGUCUUAUCGUUUCAACUCGAACAACGAGCUUGAUUCCUAGUUUGUGUCGUACCUUGGUUCCAAUAACCUUCUGCUUCAUUAUUCCUUUGACUUGAUGUCAUCAAUGUUCAAUUGCUUCUUCAUGGAGCCUCUCGACAAAAAAAUUGUCUUGAUCAUCAUUAACAUUUUGACUCCUUCCAGGAUAUCUAUUGAAUUCAUGACAAGAAAUACCAUCCUUGCCCUUGAUGAUUUGUGUUAUCAUCUGCCACUUUAUUGCCUUCCCUCCAACACAAACUUGUUCGUGUUUUGUGUUUAUACCUUGAGUGCCUUGCUAUCCAGCAUUUGUUCUUCUUUACCUUGGAAUAUUACCACCUUUUAUGUCAAGACCGUUGUGGGGAUUUCACCACCUCUUAAGAAUUCUUGAUACAAGUGAUACUUCUCACCAUCACCAUUCCUUCUUGGUCCCCGUGUUGGUUAUAACCGGAAUGCCGAUAAAUGAACUAUGAUGUGUGAAUUCAAAACUUCUAGCAACCCUAUUGCUUGUAAGUUACGAAUGAUAGUUUCUUUCUUCAUGUGAUUGGUAAUUGACUCAUCAUCCUAACAUUGAUCGUGCUACUUAGUCCAUAUUUUUAUGCACUUUUCGAUCAAUGUUUAAUUUUGUAUGUUUUCCUCGAGCAUACCUACAUAUAUCAUUUGAUCUGACAAAUGUUAUCUCCUUGUUCACAUAAGUGUGGAAAUCCAUCUUUUAAAAAUCUCAAUGAAUUGUUGCUGAGUCAAUCAGCCACCUCCUCACCUCUCCUUGAUUUAAUGAUGAACUCUUGUUUUGGAACUCGCUUCCAUAGUUCAAUUCCUAAGAAUCUUACAAUGUCAUCUCGGCAAUUUGUGUUGCACCUUUCUUCUCAGGCAUCCUGAGUCUGAGUUAUCCUGACACCGAUCAGAUCUGAAUCUCAGUCAGAUAUGAUGGUUGGAACAUAUUUCCAAGAGUUAUCACAUUGGUCUUUAUGUGACCCGGUAAGGUGGUGUCGUGCCUAGCACACCUGGCCCGAGGCCUUGUUGUUAUAGAUUCCUUUUCGGCAAGGUUAUCCAUUCUUCCAUGCGGAAAUUGUAAGACUUAUUCUACAAGUUAUUCCCAAUGGAUCCUUUGUGUUUCCAAAGUCAGAUCUUCACCUGUUGACCAUGUCAAUGCUAUCUCGAAGCAUGUCUAUGGUACUCCGAUUUUUCACAAGAACAUUUGAAGCCCAAUGCUAAAUGGUUCCUGCUCAAUUAUCCAAACACCGUUGUAUGGGUAAUUGAUACGUCCAUUUUGCAUCAUGUUUUUAUAUCGAUAUUUAUUGCAUUAUGGGCUGUUGUUACACAUUAUAUCACAAUACUUAUGCCUAUUCUCUCUUAUUUUACAAGGUUUACAUAAAGAGGGAGAAUGCCGGCAGCUGGGAUUCUGGGCUGGAAUAGGAGUAAAUAUUAGAGACCUAUUCUGCGCAGCUCCAAAAGUCCUGAAACUUCACAGAAGACGUUUUCCAAAUAUAUAAAAAAUAUUGAGAGAAAGAACUUCACCAGGGGGGCCACACCCUGCCCACAAGGGUGGGGGGCACGCCCUACCCCCCUGGGCGCGCCCCCCUACCUCGUGGGCCCCCUAGAGGCCCUCCGGUGACCAUCUUCUGCUAUAUGAAGUCUUUCGAUGGGAAAAAUAGCAAGCCAUCUUCUCGGACGAAACUCCGCCGCCACGAGGCGGAACCUUGGCGGAACCAAUCUAGGGCUCUGGCGGAGCUGUUCUGCCGGGGAAACUUCCCUCCCAGAGGGGGGAAUCAUCGCCAUCGUCAUCACCAACGCUCCUCUCAUCGGGAGAGGGCAAUCUCCAUCAACAUCUUCAUCAGCACCAUCUCCUCUCAAAACCCUAGUUCAUCUCUUGUAUCCAAUUCUUGUCUCCAAGUCCAGGAUUGGUGCUAGUAGUGUUAAUUACUCCUUGUAGUUGAUGCUAGUUGGUUUAAUUGGUGGAAGAUCAUAUGUUCAGAUCCUAUAUGCAUAUUAAUACCCCUCUGAUUAUGAACAUGUUUAUGCUUUGUGAGUAGUUACUUUUGUUCCUGAGGACAUGGGAGAAGUCUAGCUAUUAGUAGUCAUGUGAAUUUGGUAUUCGUUCGAUAUUUUGAUGAGAUGUAUGUUGUCUUUCCUCUAGUGGUGUUAUGUGAACGUCGACUACAUGACACUUCUCCAUUGUUUGGGCCUCGAGGAAGGCAUUGGGGAGUAAUAAGUAGAUGAUGGGUUGCUAGAGUGACAGAAGCUUAAACCCUAGUUUAUGCGUUGCUUCAUAAGGGGCUGAUUUCGAUCCAUAUGUUUCAUGCGAUGGUUAGGUUUACCUUAAUACUUUUGUUGUAGUUAUGUAUGCUUGCAAUAGAGGUUAAUUAUAAGUGGGAUGCUUGUCCAAGUAAGGGCAGUACCCAAGCACCGGUCCACCCACAGACCAGAAUAUCAAAGUACCGAACGCGAAUCAUAUGAGUGUGAUGAAAACUAGCUUGACGAUAUUCCCAUGUGUCCUCGGGAGCGCUUUUCUCUAUAUAAAAUUUUGUCCGGGCUUGUCCUUUGCUAAAAAAAGGAUUGGGCCACCUUGCUGAACUUUAUUUACUUUUGUUACUUGUUGCUCGUUACAAAUUAUCCUAUCACAAAACUAUCUGUUACCACUUAUUUCAGUACUUGCAUAGAAUACCUUGCUGGAAACCGCUUAUCAUUUCCUUCUGCUCCUCGUUGGGUUCGACACUCUUACUUAUCAAAAGGACUAGGAUAGAUCCCCUAUACUUGUGGGUCACCAAGACUCUUUUCUGGCGCCGUUGCCAGGGAGUGAAGCACCUUUUGUAGGUGGAAUUUGGUAAGGAAAAAUUUAUAUAGUGUGCUGAAAUUUACUGUCACUUGUUACUAUGGAAAGUAAUCCUAUGAGGGGCUUGUUCGGGGUAUCUUCACCCCGACCAGUAGAGCAAAGAGUUGCUCCUCAACCUACUAAACCUACUGAAAAUGAAAAUGACUGCAUUGAAAUUCCUUCGGGUAUGAUAGAAAAACUGCUAGCUAAUCCCUUUUUAGGAGAUGGAACAAAACAUCCUGAUGAGCAUCUAAUAUAUGUGGAUGAAGUUUGUGGAUUAUUUAAGCUUGCAGGUGUACCCGGAGAUGUUGUUAGUAAGAAGGUCUUCCCUUUAUCUUUGAAGGGAGACGCAUCGACAUGGUAUAGGCUAUGUGAUGGGGUCUUGGAAUUACAAACGAUUGAAAUUGGAAUUUCAUCAGAAGUUUUAUCCUAUGCAUCUUGUUCAUCGUGAUCGCAAUUACAUAUAUAAUUUUUGGCCUCGCAAAGGAGAAAGCAUCGCUCAAGCUUGGGGGAGGCUUAAAUCAAUGUUAUAUUCAUGCCCCAAUCGUGAGCUCUCGAGAAAAAUGAUUAUUCAAAAUUUCUAUGCUCGGCUUUCUGAUAACAAUCGCACCAUGCUUGAUACUUCUUUGCUGGCUCUUUUAUGAUGACGACUAUUGAAUUCAAAUGGGAUUUAUUGGAAAGAAUUAAAUGCAACUCUGAAGAUUGGGACCUCGACAAAGGUAAGGAAUCAGGUAUAACACCUAGUUUUGAUUGUGUUAAAUCUUUUAUGGAUACCGAUAUUUUUCGUAAAUUUAGCACUAAAUAUGGACUUGACUCUGAGAUAGUAGCUUCUUUCUGUGAAUAUUUUGCUACUUAUGUUGAUCUCCCCAAGGAGAAGUGGUUUAAAUGUCACCUCCCAUAGAAGUAAAAGUAGCUGCACCUAUUAAAGUUGAAGAAAAGAUUGUCACUUAUAAUGAUCCUAUUGUUCCUACUUCUUAUGUUGAGAAACCACCUUUCCCUGUUAGGAUAAAGGAUCAUGCUAAAGCUUCAACCAUGGUUCGUAAAAGCAAUAUUAAAACAUAUACACCUCCUGAGCAAGUUAAAGUUGAACCUAAUAUUGCUAUUGUUAAAGAUCUCUUGUCUGAUAAUAUUGAUGGGCGUGUUAUUUACUUCUGUAAUGAAACUGCUAGAAUUGCUAAACCCUGUGCUAAAAAUAAACCUAGACUUGUGGUGGGCAUGCCUGUUAUUUCUGUUAAAAUAGGAGAUCAUUGUUAUCAUGGCUUAUGUGAUAUGGGUGCUAGUGCUAGUGAAAUACCUCGUUCCUUAUACAAAGAAAUUAUGCAUGAGAUUGCACCUGCUGAAAUAGAAGAUAUUGAUGUCACAAUUAAACCUGCCAAUGGAGAUAUUAUCUCACCAAUGGGAAUUGUUAGAGAUGAACAGGAACAGAUCCUACGCAAGUGUCACUCCGAAGCUUAUGGAGGACACCAUGCUGGAGAUAGAACUGCACAUAAGGUAUUGCAAUCUGGUUUUUAUUGGCCUACUCUCUUCAAGGAUGCCCGUAAGUUUGUCUUAUCUUGUGAUGAAUGUAAAAGAAUUGGUAAUAUCAGUAGACGUCAAGAAAUGCCUAUGAACUAUUCACUCGUUAUUGAACCAUUUGAUGUUUGGGGCUUUUACUAUAUGGGACCCUUUCCUUCCUCUAAUGGAUAUACACAUAUUUUAGUUGCUGUUGAUUACAUUACUAAGUGGGUAGAAGCUAUUCCAACUAGUAGUGUUGAUCAUAACACUUCUAUUAAAAUGCUUAAAGAAGUUAUUUUUCCAAGAUUUGGAGUCCCUAGAUAUUUAAUGACUGAUGGUGGUUCACAUUUCAUUCAUGGUGCUUUCCGUAAAAUGCUUGCUAAAUAUGAUGGUAAUCAUACAAUUGCAUCCCCUUAUCAUCCUCAGUCUAGUGGUCAAGUAGAAUUGAGUAAUGGAGAGCUCAAAUUAAUUCUGCAAAAGUCUGUUAAUAGAUCUAGAAAAAAUUGGUCCAAGAAACUUGAUGAUGCAUUAUGGGCCUAUAGAACUGCAUAUAAAAAUCCGAAUAAAAUGGUAUUAGCUCACUUACCUCUCGAACUAGAACAUAAGGCAUAUUGGGCUAUUAAAGAACUCAAUUACGAUUUCAAACUUGCCGGUGAGAAGAGGUUAUUUGAUAUUAGCUCACUUGAUGAAUGGAGAACCCAAGCCUAUGAAAAUGCCAAGUUGUUUAAAGAAAAAGUUAAAAUAUGGCAUGACAAAAGAAUACAAAAGCGUGAGUUUAAUGUAGGUGAUUAUGUAUUGCUAUACAACUCUCGUUUAAGAUUUUUUGCAGGAAAACUUCUCUCUAAAUGGGAAGGUCCUUACGUUAUCGAGGAAGUCUAUCGUUCUGGUGCCAUAAAAAUCAACAACUUUGAAGGCACAAAUCAUAAGGUGGUGAACGGUCAAAGAAUCAAAUAUUAUAUCUCAGGUAAUCCCAUAAAUGUUAAAACCAAUAUUAUUGAAACUGUAACCCUGAAGGAAUACAUAAGGGACACUUUCCGGAACGUUUCAGACUCCGAAAAGGAAUAGGUAUGUGGUAUGGUAAGCAAACCGACUCCAAAACAGUUUUUAAGGCAAUAUUUCUCCGUUUUGGAAUAUUUAGAAAAAUAGAAAAAUAAGUAGCAGUACAGGAAGGACACAAGGGAUCCACGAGGGUGGAGGGCGCGCCCUACCCUACUGGGCGCACUCCCCUACCUUGUGGGCACCUCGUGUGCUCUCCGGACUCCGUUUUCGUACACGACACGUAUUUUGGUCGGUAAAAAUUCAUUAUAUAAUCUCCCGGGGGUUUUGACUCCCGUCUCACGCAAAAAUCUCAUGUCUUUGUUUCGAGCUGUUUUCUGUCAGGGUUGUCAAGGCCAGGCAUUAUGUCGUCUCCCUCCUCCUCCAACCAUGAGGGCAACGAUGCUUGGCUAAUGAAGAUAGAGCUGAAGAGAGAAGAACCCAUGGAGGUCAACAAGGAUGAAGGGAUCAAGAAGGCCAUGGAGGACCAAGUUCCGGCAACAAAAGACACCCUUCAACUUGAUCACAAUCUUCUCACCCCAACAGAGAUCGAAGCUUUCAAGAUGAUUCAGUUAGCUCAUAUACAAAAUAAGUAUCUUACACGUAAAAAUAUUUUGUUGAAGGAGCAUAUCAUCGCACUCAAGGGCAUUAUCCGCAAGUUAGAAGACCUCCUACGCUCGAUGUGCGACUACCCAUCAUCGACAACCGCACCUUAUUCACCACCAAAGGAGACAUAAUCACAUGGGUAUGGGCACUCCACUUGGCAACUGCCAAGCUUGGGGGAGUGCCCCAGUAUCGUAUCACCAUCACUUUUAUCUUUACCGUUUUUCUUAGUUCGAUCCUUUUGGUAAUAUCUUGAUCUAGUAGAAUAAAAGUUCUUAGUAUGAUCUAGUUGUGAGUUUUGCUUUAUUAUCCUUCUAUGUAAUCGAGUCCGUGAGCUAUAUAAUAAAGAUUAGUGUUGAGUCAAGGGCUUGAUUAUUUUGCCAUGAUCCUAAGUGAAUAAAAGAAAAGAGAAACAAAUAAAAAGAAACAAAGAGAUCAUAUGGAUCUCAUGGAGAGUAAUGAGCUCACAUAGAAAAAGUAUGAUGAAUAAAAGUUGUUGAGGGUUGACAAACAUAGUUUUGGUCAUCAUUGCAAUUAAUAGGAAGUAAUAAAGAAAGAGAGGUCUUCACAUAUAGAUAUACUAUCUUGGACAUCUUUUAUGAUUGUGAGCACUCAUUAAAAUAUGAGAUGCUAAAGAGUUGACGUUGGACAAGGAAGACAACGUAAUGGGUUAUGUUUUCUUACAUCUGAGAUAAAUUAUAUUGUCAUGGAUCAUCCAACAUGGUUGAGCUUGCGUUUCCCUCUCAUGCUAGCCAAAUUCAUCGCACUAAGUAGAGAUACUACUUGUGCUUCUAUAUACCCUUAAACCAGUUUUGCCAUGAGAGUCCACUAUACCUACCUAUGGAUUGAGUAAGAUCCUCCAAGUAAGUUGUCAUCGGUGCAAGCAAUAAAAAUUUCUCUCUAAACAUGUAUGACUUAUUAGUGUGGGAGAAAAUAAGCUUUAUACGAUUGUGUGAUAUGGAAGAAAUAAAAGCGACAGACUGCAUAUAAAGGUCCAUAUCACAAGUGGCAAUAUAAAGUGACGUUCUUUCGCGUUAAGAUUUUGUGCAUCCAACCAUAAAAGUGCAUGACAACCUCUGCUUCCCUCUAUGAAGGGCCUAUCUUUUACUUUUAUAUCCUACUUUGCAUAAGAGUCAUGGUGAUCUUCACCCUUCCCUUUUACAUUUUAUCCUUUGGCAAGCAUAGUAUGUUGGAAAGAUCCUGAUAUAUAUGGCUAAUUGCAUGUGAGUUUUCAUGAACUAUUAUCGUUGACAUUACCCUUGAGGUAAAACAUUGGGAGGCAAAACUAUAAGCCCCUAUCUUUCUGUGUGUCCGAUUAAAACUCCAUACCCAUAAGUAUUGCGUGAGUGUUAGCAAUUGUGAAAGACUAUAUGAUAGUUGAGUGUGUGGACUUUCUGAAAAGCUCUUAUAUGUUGACUCUUUCCUAUGUUAUGAUAAAUUGCAAUUGCUCCAAUGACUGAGAUUAUAAUUUGUUAGUUUUCAAUGAAGUUUAUGAUUCAUACUUGAAAUUGUGAUUGAAUUAUUACUCUAGCAUAAGAAAUCAUAUGACAAAAAUUAUAUAAGUUGUUGUCCUAAGAAUGAUCAUGAUGCCCUCAUGUCCGUAUUUUAUUUUUAUCGACACCUCUAUCUCUAAACAUGUGGACAUAUUUUUCGAUUCCUGCUUUUCGCUUGAGGACAAGCGAGGUCUAAGCUUGGGGAGUUGAUACGUCCAUUUUCCAUCAUGCUUUUAUAUUGAUAUUUAUUGCAUUAUGGGCUGUUAUUACACAUUAUGUCACAAUACUUAUGCAUAUUCUCUCUUAUUUUACAAGGUUUGCAUAAAGAGGGAGAAUGCCGGCAGCUGGGAUUCUGGGCUGGAAAAGGAGUAAAUAUUAGAGACCUAUUCUGCACAGCUCCAAAAGUCAUGAAACUUCACGGAAGAAGUUUUCCAAAUAUAUAAAAAAUAUUGAGAGCAAGAACUUCACCAGGGGGCACACCCUUCCCAUGAGGGUGGGGGGCGCGCCCCCUACCUCGUGGGCUCCCUGGUGGCCCUCCGGUGACCAUCUUCUACUAUAUGAAGUCUUUCGAUGGGAAAAAAUAGCAAGCCAUCUUCUCGUACGAAACUCCGCCGCCACGAGGCGGAACCUUGGCAGAACCAAUCUAGGGCUCUGGCGGGGCUGUUCUGCCGGGGAAACUUCCCUCCCGGAGGGAAAAUCAUCGCCAUCGUCAUCACCAACGCUCCUCUCAUCGGGAGAGGGCAAUCUCCAUCAACAUCUUCAUCAGCACCAUCUCCUCUCAAAACCCUAGUUCAUCUCUUGUAUCCAAUUCUUAUCUCCAAGUCCGGGAUUGGUGCUAGUAGGUUGCUAGUAGUGUUAAUUACUCCUUGUAGUUGAUGCUAGUUGGUUUAAUUGGUGGAAGAUCAUAUGUUCAGAUCCUAUAUGCAUAUUAAUACCCCUCUGAUUAUGAACAUGUUUAUGCUUUGUGAGUAGUUACUUUUGUUCCUGAGGACAUGGGAGAAGUCUUGCUAUUAGUAGUCAUGUGAAUUUGGUAUUCGUUCGAUAUUUUGAUGAGAUGUAUGUUGUCUUUCCUCUAGUGGUGUUAUGUGAACGUCGACUACAUGACACUUCCCCAUUGUUUGGGCCUAGAGGAAGGCAUUGGGGAGUAAUAAGUAGAUGAUGGGUUGCUAGAGUGACAGAAGCUUAAACCCUAGUUUAUGCAUUGCUUCGUAAGGGGCUGAUUUGGAUCCAUAUGUUUCAUGCUAUGCUUAGGUUUACCUUAAUACUUUUGUUGUAGUUGCGGAUUCUUGCAAUAGAGGUUAAUCAUAAGUGGGAUGCUUGUCCAAGUAAGGGCAGUACCCAAGCACCGGUCCACCCACAUACCAGAUUAUCAAAGUACCGAACGUGAAUCAUAUGAGCGUGAUGAAAACUAGCUUGACGAUAUUCCCAUGUGUCCUCGGGAGCACUUUUCUCUAUAUAAGAGUUUGUCUGGGCUUGUCCUUUGCUACAAAAAGGAUUGGGCCACCUUGCUGCACUUUAUUUACUUUUGUUACUUGUUGCUCGUUACAAAUUAUCCUAUCACAAAACUAUUUGUUACCACUUAUUUAAGUACUUGCAGAGAAUACCUUGCUGGAAACCGCUUAUCAUUUCCUUCUGCUCCUCGUUGGGUUCGACACUCUUACUUAUCGAAAGGACUACGAUAGAUCCCCUAUACUUGUGGGUCAUCAGUAAUGUCAUGAAAUUUGUCUCCCCUACCUAAAGAGUUUUCUACAUUAUAUCCUGUCAUGGAUAUCAUGCUCUACUUGUCCUUGGGAAGGAUAUACCCUUGAAAUAUGUGUUUAAACACAUUUCCCUUUCCAUUGUUCUGUUUAUUCUGAUAAUCAUAUUUUCCUUUCCAUUAACGUUUCUUCUGAUCUAUAUGAUCUAAGUAGUAAUAUUCUCCUGCUUAUGUAAACACCUCGGUGUACAAUUCUAUCAGCAAGACCCUGUUACUAUUGUUGAUGACAUUCAGGUAGCCACCGAUGGACGAGAACUUUGCCUAUUGGCCUGCCUCGUUCAACGAGCAGGAAAAUGGUUCUCUUCGUCCCUCGCCCUUGCUACCAAUGUUGUUGCUGACAUAACUGACAGGCGAUACUCUGACCUGCCUUGCUAUCUUGACCGUGCAAAUUGAUUAGCGCCUUCCUGCUGUUAAUCCACAUGGUGGGCCCAUAUCUCACACCUCCAUAGGAUCGAAACCUGCCUCUCCUGUACAGCCCUGUUCUAAAGUUAUUCCUCAUGCUUGUCUUGGUAUGAAAAAUCACGAGCCACCUUCCUAGUGAUCUAUUCUGGUGUCAGGUGCAAUACUUAUUCCCAUUGCUCUGAACCCCUUUCACCCUCUGUUUCAGGCAAUGGAUGGUUGCCUACCCGCUUGGAGCUUAUUUUUGCCCAUCCUGACCUUGCUCUCAAUAACUUCUUGAAUUUCAACUCGAGAGAUGCCUCUAUGCCACAUUCACUGAGAUAGCCCCUAGGUACCUAACAUAUGUUGAGCUACGUCCUUCCCAAGUUUUCCCCCUUAGCUUUCCAUAAGUACAAUGGAGAUCCUGAAGGAAGAAUGACGACUUCAUCAGGAUGACCUGAAGCAGACAAAUGAAGACAUUAACGUAAUGGAUCGACCUCUUCGAGAAGAGCAACCAAGAUCGAGAAGAAUCGUUAGGAUUUCGUAACCAGAACCCCCCCCCCUCUUAUACACCUCUUAAAUCUCGGGACGAGAUCUCUUGUAGUGGAGGAGAAUUGUGAUGCCCGGAUAAUUAAGCUACAGUAACCCUGUGCUAAUGAUGCAACGUCACCACGAUUAUUGUUGAUCAACUCGUGUUGGUUCGAAACCUAGUUCAAAUUUCAAAUUUAAAAUAAAGUCAAACGGUAAAAGUUUUCAAACAUUAAAACUAAAGUGUUCGCAAUGUGCCAAGUAAUUCAUAAUAAAUAUUGGUGGAGAAAUCAACAUUUUUUAGAAGUAAUUAAAUGCACUAAUUUAAAAUAAGCAAGUCUAAAAACUUACAUAAAUGCAUUUAAGUAAUAAUCAAAUACUAACUAUUCUAUUAUGGUGCCAAAAUAUUUAUGGCAGUGGAAAAUCAAUAAUACUAAUUUAGGGAUUAGGUUUUCAUUUUAUAAAACUUAAGAUAAAAUAAAACUUAAAAAUAAAAUAAAAAUAAAAAUAAGGAGAAAGAACUCCCCCUCGGCCCAACUGGGCUUUAGCCCAGCCAGGCUGACCCAACUCCCUCCCCUGGCCCAACCACGCCUACAACCUCCCCCACUCCCCCUAAGCCUAACCGGUCGCCCCACUUCCCCCCACUCCGUGGAUCCACCUCUCCCCUCCUCUGUCCCUCGAUUGGAUCUAGGGGAUCGACCCGUCGCCGCCGCUGGAACCACGUCGCCACACCCCACCAUAGUCGUUGUUGCCUCCUCAUCCCCGCCCUCGAGCUCGGUCGUCAGAUCGACCGAGGCCGCCCCGUCGUUGCUCGUCACCGACCGUCGCCCGACGNNNNNNNNNNNNNNNNNNNNNNNNNNNNNNNNNNNNNNNNNNNNNNNNNNNNNNNNNNNNNNNNNNNNNNNNNNNNNNNNNNNNNNNNNNNNNNNNNNNNNNNNNNNNNNNNNNNNNNNNNNNNNNNNNNNNNNNNNNNNNNNNNNNNNNNNNNNNNNNNNNNNNNNNNNNNNNNNNNNNNNNNNNNNNNNNNNNNNNNNNNNNNNNNNNNNNNNNNNNNNNNNNNNNNNNNNNNNNNNNNNNNNNNNNNNNNNNNNNNNNNNNNNNNNNNNNNNNNNNNNNNNNNNNNNNNNNNNNNNNGCCGCGCCCCGCACGCACCUUGCCCUGCGCACCGCGACCCCUCCCCGCUCCCGCAGACAGUUGCGGCUACUCCGCGCCGCGCCGCAGCUCGUCGCCGAACCGCGACGCCUCCUCUCGUCGUCGCACCAGCACAUGUGCACCUCGCGCGCAUGCACUCACCGUGCAUGUGGCUUCCCCCUGCGCACGGCUUCUCCUGCUGCUGUUGCACUGCUCCGCCGCUCCGCCCCUACAUCGCUCGCCUUGCCGCGCACCUCACCACCAUCGCUGGCGCCCACGGCUAUUGCACCACGGCACCGCACCGUCCCGCCCCACCAUGUUGCAGCAAUUGCGGCUCCUGUGCCGCCGCCCACCCGCUGCUCUACACCACCCCUGGCCACGCCCCCCCUUCGGCCACAACCCGCACCUCGCCGGAGCCCCGCUGUGCCCCGGCGGCCUCCCCCGUGCUCGGGUGGGCUGCGCCCUGACUGGUGCCCAGGCGGGCUUGCCCACAAUUGAAGCCCGCAGAGCGCACGUGCUCGCUAUUGCCUAUGGGCCACAGACAGGUGGGCCUAGCUCUAGAACGUUUAGAAAAAAUAGAUAAUUAAAAAAAUUAAAAUUAAAAUUAAUUAAUUAAUUAGUUAAGUUAAUUAACCAAAUUAAUUGUAGUUAAUAAAUCUAAUCAAUUAGUUAGACUAACUAAACCUCAUUAGUUAGUCUUAGUCUAUGACGAGUGGGAUCCACACGUUAGUUUGACCAGUCAAUGGUUAGAGUUGACCGCUGACGUCAUGCUGACAUCAUAAUUGUAUUUUCUAAUUAAAUUAAUUCUGUUAAUCCUAAAAAUGAUUUAAAUCUUUAAAAAUUAAUAUAAAAUAAUCCGUAACUCGGAUGAAAAUACUUUGUACAUGAAAGUUGCUUAGAACGACGAGACAAAUCCGAAUACGCAUCAUGUUCGUCCGUCGUACAUGAAAGUCGGGUCGGCUCGUAGAGUACCUGCAAGUGAUUCUGAUGUGGGGGCUGAAAGGACAGUUGGUUCCAUCCCGGUAGUGGUAGGCCUGGGUUCCCGACGGCCCUCGACUCUUACUUUGUGGCGGAGCGACAGGGCAGGUUGAGACUGUGGGAGUCCUAGAUUAGGGGAUCCCCGGGCGUCCGGGCUAUGUGACAUGGGCCAUACUAGUGGGCCGUGAAUAUACAAGAUAGAAGGUUUCCCCCCGUGUCCGGAUGAGACUCUCCUUGGAGUGGAAGGCAAGCUUGGCGUUCAGAUAUGAAGAUUCAUUUCUCUGUAAACCGACUCUGUACGAUCCUAGCCCCCUCCGGUGUCUAUAUAAACCAGAGGGUUUAGCCCAUAGAGGCAGUCAUAAUCAUACAUGCUAGACAUCUAGGGUUUAGUCAUUACGAUCUCGAGGUAGAUCAACUCUUGUAACCCAUAUACUCAUUAAAGUCAAUCAAGCAGGAAGUAGGAUAUUACCUCCAUCAAGAGGGCCCGAACCUGGGUAAACAUUAUGUCCCCUGCCUCCUGUUACCUUUGAUCCUUAGACACACAGUUCGGGACCCCCUACCCGAGAUCUUUCGGUUUUGACACCGACGUUGGUGCUUUCAUUGAGAGUUCCUCCGUGUUGUCGAUAGAAGGAUCGAUGGCUCGCCUCGUCGUUAAUGACAAAAUCACCUCUAGAAGAGCCCUAGUUCCUGGGCAGAUCCUCCAGAUCAGCAUUUUCACCAUAGGCGCCUGCCCGGCCAUCAAGCCCAAGGCGGUCCCUCGGAUUUCCAAAAAUCAUCUCCGCAUCAACCCCGAAAGCGUUGAUAAGAUGGAUCCGGCAGAUGUCUCAUCUUUAAACGAACUGCUAGAUCGCAUCACCGCCAUGGGGUCGCAAUGGACUACGAUCUGAUUGGGCUUAAACCCGAUCAGAGGGAAAUUAGGUCUCCACCUAUCACCCACCUGGUGACUGUCGUGGAAGAACAAGUUGAGGACACCGCUCCGCCUAUGCUGAACACAAACUAUGUUCGGAUUUCCGAGACCUACAAGCCGGACACUCACCUUCGAGAAAGGAUCAUCUGUCCGCCGAACAUAGAAUCAGGUGCUGAGUCUAAAAACCUCAAGGACACUCUGGAUCCUGGGCCAACGAUCUCACAAAUUUUUCAAAAUCCGGAUUCCAUAGUGGGUCAGGGUUUGGAUUUAAACCAACCCACCCACCACAAUCAAUACUCUCCAAGCAAUUCCGGUCCCCCGGACAUAUGCGAUUUAAUGUAUAUACGACAGCAACCUCAGGAGACAGUCCGUCACUUUUGGGCUAGAUUCCUACUUGUUAAAAACAAGAUCAAAGGUUGCUGCGACGACUCGGUAUCAGUCUUUUGCCAUGACUGUACGGACGAGGGCAUCCUCAAGGCCCUCAAUCGGCGCCACAUAUUGCACUUUGCAUAUUUGGCACACAUAGUACAGAAGUAUUGUGCAAUGGAAAGCGCUUGGAAAGCCCAGACAACUUGGUGGGAACCACCAGCCUUUAAGCCACCCACCGGCCGGACAAAAAGGAUGCACCCUUAUGGAGGACCUAAUCAUUACUUCAUGGAAAGAAAAAUUAAGCCCUUACCGGGACACAGAACUGUCCUUGAUGAAUGGCUCGACCAGCCCUGUCAAAUACACGUGAUGCCAAAUUCAACUCAUAGCCUUCGGGUAUGUUGGAUACUCCGGCAGGUGGCUAAAAGCGGGGAGGCUAUUCUCACCAACACUACUCCGGCAAGGCAUCCCCCCGAGGAUAAUGACCUCAAUGUGUUUACGGUCUUUGAGGCCUUUUCUUCAAACAACCGGCGUAAAAGGGCGCUCCGCGACCUCGCCGAAGUCAAUCAAGUACCCGCAAUAAAACCUUGUGACGAUAUGGCGAUAACCUUUAAUGACAAUGAUGAGCCAAGGGCCUGAUCAGUCCUAGCACCAGCCGCUUUGGUUCUAAACCCAAUUGUAGACGGCUUUCGCCUCACCGAAGUGCCCGUGGACGGUGGCAGCGGACUGAACCUCAUCUACGAAGACACGCUCAAUAAAAUGCAAAUGGACAGAAGUUGCAUUGAGCAAAGUAAUACAACCUUUCGAGGAAUUAUCCCCAGUCGGUAAGCAAGAUGCUCGGGGAAUUAAACUCGGCAUGGUAUUCGGCACGCCAAAGAACUAUACGUCCGAAGAAAUAAUCUUCCAGGUGGCCCCUUUCAAUAGCGGAUAUCAUGCCCUGUUAGGGCGAGACGCAUUCACACGCUUUCAAGCCAUACCUCAUUACGGGUACAUGAAGCUCAAAAUGCCUGAGCCCAACAGUGUUAUCACUGUCGCCAGUGAUCUGGACAUAGCACUCCACGCCAAAAACAAAACCGCAUCCCUGGCCCUCGAGGCACUGUCCGAAGCCCUGGCGGCUGAGGAGCUCACCACUCUGCGUUCCACAUUGGAUAGAGACGACGUAAUUCUUGAUAAAAUGCCUAAAUCCACUUCUUUCAAGCCAGCAGAUGAAAUAGUCAAAUUUCAAGUCCACCCGACGGACCCCAAGAAGACAGCUUCCAUUGGGGCACAACUGGAUCUAAUGGUCGACGUUGCAUUGCGCGCGUUCUUGCCCGAGAAUUGGGACAUCUUCGCCUAGCACCCCUCGGAUAUGUCAGGAAUCCCACGCGCACUGGCCGAACACAGUCUCAAUAUACUGAAGGGAUACAAACCAGUCAAGCAAAUGUUGCGGCGAUUUUCCAAACCCAAACAACAGGCUAUGGGUGAGGAGCUAGCCAAGCUACUCGAAGCCGGGUUUAUCAGAGAGAUCAAACAUCUAGACUGGCUAGCAAACCUGGUCAUGGUACCAUAGAAGGAUAAAACCUGGCGCUUGUGUGUCAACUUCAAGGACCUUAAUAAAGCCUGCCCUAAGGAUCUCUUCCCACUACCUCACAUCGACCAGAUUAUUGAUGCAACCACAGGACACGACUCACUGUGCUUCCUCUACGCAUACUCUGGAUACCAUCAAAUCAAAAUGAAGGAAUCCGACCAAGCCGCAAUGGCAUUCAUCACCCCAUACGGGCCCUUCUGCUUCAACACUAUGCCAUUUGGGCACAAAAACGCCAGCGCCACCUAUCAACGCAUGAUUCAAACGUGCCUGGAAAAGUAAAUCGACAAGACAGUUGAGGCGUAUAGAUGAUGUAGUCAUCAAAACUAAGCAUGUAGAAUCAUUGGUGGACGACUUACGCCUUAUGUUCGACAACCUCCAAAGAUAUGACGUACGGCUCAAUCCGGAAAAGUGUGUUUUCGGCGUUCCUGCCGGAAAACUGCUUGGGUUCAUUCUUUACAGUAGGGGAAUCGAAGCAAACCCAGCCAAAAUCCGAGCCCUGUCACAGUUGGCUACACCAACAAACCUCAAGCAGGUCCAAAAAGUAGCCGGGUGCGUGGCAGCUUUGAGCCUCUUUAUCUCCAGAUUAGGAGAAAAGGCAUUGCCAUUGUAUCGUCUGCUCCGACGCACUGACCACUUUGCAUGGACGGAUGCUGCAACAGCCGGACUAGAAGAGAUAAAAGCUUUGUUAGCGAGCAACCCAAUCCUGGCCAUGCCAAACGUCGGCGAACCCAUGUUACUAUACACUAGCAAAACAGCAUGUGUGUUGCAACGGGAGAGAAAACAUAACACACGCUCUUAACUCAACAACUAUCACUCAAGACCACAAUAGGUCCAUCUCUUUUAUUUUUCUGAGGCAUCAUAUUUGUGUUGCCGCUUAUCCUCCUUCUCAUCCUCGCCGGCGAUGGCCUCGGUGUUCACACAAAGCAACAAAAAACAUGUGUUGAAUAUGGUUAAUCCUAAGGCGUCUCUCUCUCCCUCUCUCCCUCUCCCUCCCUCUCUCUCUCUCGCUCGCUUUCUCUCACUCCCGCGAUGAGAAAUCUGUUGUUUUCCCCUGCGACAUUUUUCAAAGGUAUGCAUGUGUAGUUAUCGAUGUUUUCUUUUCCGUAUAUGGUUAUAGUGGGGUGUUUAUUUGCAAUCCGGAUCGCCACCAGUAUGGAAAAAAAGAAUCUUGCGCUAUAAAUUAUAAGGUUGCUUUCAUAACAAUAUUUUAAAAAUAUUUAACAGGUAAAAUUAACAUCAUAUUUAGAUUCCACACAUUUUUCUAAUAAAAUUUCAUAUAUAUAAUAUGUUAAAAUCAAAGUUACAGUUUAAAAGAUACAUAUAAUUUAGAAAAUCAUUUGGUUUGACUCAAAUAUAUUCCAAAAUAAUAUUUAAAAAUACUUAACAGGUAAAAAUAAUCUCAUAUUCAUAUUCUACAUAUUUUUCUAAUCAAAUUUCAUAUAUAACAUGUUCAAAUCGGAGUUACGGUUUAAAAGAUAUGGAUGAUUUUAAAAAGCAUUUGUUUGACUUAAAUAUGAUCCGCGGAUGAAUUACCUAAAACAUCAGGGGAGUUUUCGAAAAAUGUAAAAUAACGGUUUGGGUGUGACUUAAAUCCGGACGGCCGGUUGAUUUCAAGAAAAGACAGGGACUUUUGUGUAAAAUACAAAAAUAAUGACUCGUUUUAACUUAAAACAGGACCGCCGGUUGAAUUCUCUAAAAUAGAGGGACUUUUCUGAAACAUGCCAUGACGGACGAAAGAAACCCAAUUUGCUUUAUUAUUAGGUAAAGAUAUCUGCAACGCACCAGGUGGUGAGUGCGGUGCUCAUCCUCGAACGAGAGGAAGAGGGACAUAAAUUCCCACUUCAAAAACCGGUAUACUAUGUAUCGACGGUCCUCACACCAUGCAAAUCCCGAUACCCACAUUAUCAAAAGAUAGCGCAUGCGGUCUUCAUGGCAUCCCGGAAGCUGCGACACUACUUUCAAGAGUGUUCGAUCAUGGUGGCUACCGAAGUACCACUUAAUGACAUCAUAAACAACAGGGACGCCACCGGCCGGAUUGCCAAAUGGGCCAUUGAGCUCUUACCAUUUAAAAUAACAUAUAAGCCACACCGAGCCAUUAAAUCUCAGGUGUUGGCUGACUUCGUCGCCGAAUGGACAGAGGCCGAACUUCCUAAAGAGUACGUCACAUAUUCCAACUGGGUGAUGCACUUUGACGGCUCUAAAAUGCUAGCCGGACUUGGGGCUGGUGCUGUCCUGACAUCCCACAUAGGAGACAGAGUUCGUUAUGUGCUCCAAAUACUGUAUACAGAAUCUAAUAAUGCAGCCGAAUAUGUGGCCCUAGUGCAUGGUCUACGGAUGGCCAUCUCUAUGGGCAUACAACGCCUAGAGGUGCGUGGGGAUUCAAACCUAAAAAUAUCCCAAAUAAACGGAGAAUUUGAUGCAAAGAUCCAAAGAUGGCGGCUUACCACAACGCCGUACUCAAAAUAUCAGCUCAGUUUGAGGGGCUCGAGUUUCAUCACGUGGCCCGAGAGAGUAAUCAAGCAGCGGACAUCCUUGCUCGCAUGGGCGCCAAGCGCGACCCCAUCCCACCCAAUACCUUUGUGGAAAGGCUCUUCAAGCCAUCCGUGGCAUGGCAGGACGAGAGCAGCAACACUAGUCCGGAGUCGGUCAUACCCCUAGAUUCCGAACACAAUUCCGAUAUCAUCGAGGUAUCAGACACCGAAAUAACACCAUCUGUGGCCCAUUUGUGGCCCAUGUAAUCAUGGCAGUGAUCGCCCCAUGCAUCGAACCCUUCCUGGCCUACCUUAAUAGGCGAGAGCUCCCUGAGGACCAGAAUGAGGCUCGAUGCAUCUUCCGACGCUCGAAAGCCUACAAGGUUCAUGAAGGAGAGCUCUACAAGAAAAGUACUACUGGAGUCCUUCAAAGAUAUAUCUCCGAAGAAGAGGGACGGUAGCUCUUGGCCGAAAUCCAUGAGGGUCUUAGCGGUCAUCACGCCACAGCUCGGGCCCUUGUAAGUAAGGCCUUCCAUACCGGCUUUUUCUGGCCUACGGCCCGAGAAGAUGCACAAGACCUCGUCCAACGUUGUGUAGGAUGCCAGCUUUUCGCCAAUCAAAACAAUAUACCGCCUACCUCCCUACAAACAAUCCCGAUUACUUGCCUUUUUCGGUCUGGGGGCUUGACAUGGUUGGACCCCUUAAAGGAGGAAGCCAUAAGAAAAAAUACAUGCUGGUCGUGGUAGACAAAUUCACUAAGUGGAUAGAGGCCAAGCCAGUUAAAACGGCCGAAGCCGGACCGGUGAUAGAUUUCAUAUCCGGUGUCGUACACUAUUAUGGUGUCCCACACAGCAUCAUCACUGAUAACGACUCUAACUUCACAGCCGAUGAAGUAAACACUUGGUGUGCUAAUCGGGGCAUCAAGCUCGAUUACGCCUCCAUAUAUCACCCUCAAACAAACGGUCAUGCCGAACGGGCUAAUGGCCUGAUAAUGAGAGACAUUAAACCCAUACUAGUGCAAUCCUUAAAGGAGUCAGAUAAACACUGGAAUGAGGAGCUUGACUCCGUACUCUGGGGGUUGCAGACCACGCCGAAUCGCACGACCGAAUACACACCAUUCUUCAUGGUGUACGAUGCAGAGGUCGUCUUGCCCUACAGUAUUAUGGUGGCGGAUAGGAGGAGCGCGAUGUCGCAAAAGCUCACUCAGCAUUCUUGUCAGGACCCUGAUUCCAAGUCACAUCAAUCUAGCCGGUAACACCUCAUAUCACAUUGCGGCCUCACGCACGGUAUCCCCACGGGUGUUGCCUUACCAUGGCCCGGGACCGUUUGCGCCUUUUGGCUCACGUAUAUGAUAGUGUCGCUAGCAUCCAUAUGACAGAGAACCCGGGCUGACAUGGCUAGUCGUGAACCCAAAGUGGCACAGACCUAUGGAGACAGGCAUACGUGAAUCAUAUCGAGCAUGUCGGUCAUUAGCGUGUGAAUCCGGGCUGUAGCACUGGGCUAACAGGACUCCGGGGAACCCGGGCUGUAACAGGCUAGGCAGGACUCCGGAAGUCACCGCGUGACAUUUCCCCGAAGGGACAGACAUAGGAACGAAGUGAAACACAUGUCGUCCAGUCAAGUGUCCUGAGCAGUAGUGCUGGGCUAGCAGGACUCCGGUGAACCGGGCUGUAGCGGACUACUAUGGCUCGAGGAGCACUAGACUACAUUUCCCCGUAAGAAAGGCUGCCAAGGAUAAACAACUAGAUUGUCGGAUCCCACACAUACCAAGCAUUUCAAUCAUACACACAAUAUGCUCGAUAUGUGCAAAUACAACAUGGCAUCACAACAAAACUCUACAACUCAAGUACUUUAUUUAAAGGCUCCAAAGAGCCAUACAUAACAUGUUCAUACAGGUAGGGGUCGCAUGACCCGACACUCAAGUCAUACAAGCAUACAAGCACAUGCGGAAGCAAAUAGUCUGAGUAGACACACUAGAAAGCAAGAAGGCUUCUCAAAGCCGGUCUAUCUACAUAGGGCCCUCCAUGGCCAGGAUCACCACCUGGGUGGCAAGUCACUCAUCGAUGUCGAGAUCUACAUAAAACCCAUCGGAGGGGGCGGUGUUGUCGUCUGAAAACAGUAAUUAAGCAAACAUGAGUACAAAGGUACUCGGCAAGUCUUACAUCAGAACCUACUAUACAUGCUCAUUCUCAAGAAGGUGGUGGAGUUAUUGCAGCAGGCCAGCUUUGACUCUUGGCUAAGCUAUCCUACGGGACACCAUUAGUAAAAUAGUUUUCGCACAUGAGUCCACUAAUCACCAACACAAUACUCCACCGGGGAUCCUCCCUCGUCAUCCUACGAGAGGGCCAUCCUCGGUACUCACACUUAUCUUGAGUCUUUUAGUAGUAUCCAUUAACUUGUCUAUGAACUGUAUAGGCAACCAAGUAGUCCUUUACCACGGACGCGGCUAUUCGGAUAGUUUUAUACCCUGCAGGGGUGUACUUCGUCACACAUGUUUCCACCACUUAGCGUCUGCACACGACAUGUGCUCGGCAGACUUCAAGCGAAAACCGACGUGGGUGUAGACCACGACCUGACUAACCGCACAAGUCUCUAGUCCAAGUUUAUCGCCUAUUCAGGUUCCAUCCGCAAGGAAAUCCAGCCAGGGUGUCCUCAACGGCCCCAAACGAUGUGUACAGGGUCCCGAGACGCCAAACGGGCGCCCGGCAUACCCGGCCACAGUGUAUCUACCGCAUCAUAGCCCACCCCUAGGGUCAGCGCUACGCACGGACGCCAACACAUAACCUACAAACAACAGAAACUAGUUGCAACUCCUGGGCAGAGGGCGAGAGGGGUCAGUAAGUCGAGCGGGAUCAUAUUUCAGGGCCCAAUGUGUGGUAGUAGCUGAAUCUUAAAUCACGCAUGCAGAUCUCAGUUCUUAUGGACGGCCUCAAUGAAACAACCCACCAUGUACUCCUACAUGGCCUCUCAUCGAUACCUUUACCAAAACAUGUUCAACACAUCCCUCACAUUACCGACAUAAUCAUUUCACUCUAGCCCAUAACCCAGAUGAACCAGACCUGACACAACUCUAAGCAUAGCAGGCAUAGCAAGGUAGGAAUCACAUACAUGGCUCAAUCAACUCCUACACAUGCUAGUGGGUUUCAUCUAGUUACUGUGGCAAUGACAGGUCAUGCAGAGGAUAAGGGUUCAACUACCGUAGCACACAGCAGUUUGAAUCGCAUUGUCUUAAUGCAGUAAACGAGAGCAGAAGCAAGAACAUGGGUUUGUACUGGAAUGAUCAAUGAGUUGCUUGCCUGAUGGAGUGGUAGUAGGGUACUGUCCUUUAGUUGGAUACUCGGAGAUAUCCUCAGAGGCAGAACCUACCACGAAGGAUACACAGAACAUAAUCAACACAUGACAAUAUGCAACAAUAUGAUGCAUGCUAUGACAUGGCAAAAUGAUGUGUCCUGCCUAAUGCAAUGUGAAACAAGUUGAAAUGGGUCCAUUUGAACCAAAGAUUCAAAUGGAAGUUAAAGUUCUUAUGCAUAAAAAGUGUAUUAGCUUGUUUCACCUAAACAGCAAGGUUAAAUUGGUUUGUCAUGCAUGAAACCAUUACAGAUGAAUAGAUUGAAUUUUUCUGAUCAUUUUUCAUAUAUAAUUUGUUUGAUUUGGAGCUAUGGUUGAUUUUCUAUGAUUUUUAGAAGUUUUGGCUAUUUUCUGGAAUUUCCUAUAUAUAAAUAAAUCCAGAAAAUGAAUAAUUGCGUCAGCACUAUGUCACUGCAACAUCAGCAGGUCAACUGGGUUGGUCCAGGUCAAACCUGACCAGUGGGGUCCACUGGUCAGUGACCCAGUCAACUAACAGAGUUAAUUAGCACUAACUAACAGUUAAAUUAGGCUAAUUAGUCCCUGGACCCACAUGUUAGUGACUGCGGGUUUAAGUUAAGUUAAUUUAACACUUAGCUAAUUAACAGGCCCCAUUUCAAGUUUAAAAGAAAUUUAAACAUGAUGCACAAGUUCAUCCAAUCCUAAUGCAUGACUAGAAGCAGGGAUGUGAUAACUCACCCCCACUCAAAAGAAUCUCGUCCCGAGAUUUAGGUUCCACCGGGAAGAAGGUGGGGUACUCGAGUCGAAGACGAUCCUCCCUUUCCCAAGUGGCUUCUUUUUCAGAGUGGUGUGACCAUUGAACCUUGAGAAACUUGAUGUUAUGGCGUCGAGUGGUACACUCGACUUGAUCAAGGAUACGAACGGGAUAUUCCCGAUAUGAAAGAUUAUCUUGUAGAUCAAGCAUUUCGUGGUCCACUCCACGGAUAGGAUCCGCGAAGCAAUGCCUGAGUUGAGAUACGUGGAAGACAUCAUGAACUCUGGAAAGAUGCGGAGGUAGUUCCAAUUGGUAGGCAACUUCUCCUCGUUUGGCAAGAAUGUGAAAGGGUCCAAUGUAACGAGGAGCCAAUUUGCCUUUGAUACCGAAACGAUGGGUUCCCUUUAACGGAGUAACCCGAAGGUAAGCUUUCUCGCCGACUUCAUAAGUCAUGAGCUUAUGUUUACGAUCAUAUUGGCUCUUUUGACGAGAUUGGGCUGUUUUCAAUUUCUCACGAAUAACGCGAACCUGCUCUUCUGCUUCCUGAAUCAUAUCCGGGCCAAAGAGUUGUCUUUCCCCGGUUUCUGACCAGUUAAGAGGCGUUCGACAUUUUCGUCCAUAGAGAACUUCGAAAGGAGCUUUGCCCAAGCUAGCUUGAUAACUAUUGUUAUAAGCAAACUCCGCGAAUGGAAGGCAUUUCUCCCAACCCAUUCCGAAUGAGAUGACAGAAGCUUGGAGCAUAUCUUCCAGAAUUUGAUUGACUCGCUCUACUUGACCACUUGAUUGAGGAUGGAAGGCGGUGCUAAAAGAGAGACGAGUUCCCAUAGCAUUUUGGAAACUUUCCCAAAAUCGAGAGGUGAAGAGACUCCCACGGUCUGAGUUAAUUUCCAAUGGGACACCAUGAAGAGACACUAUUCGGGAGAUGUAUAAGUCAACUAGCUGGCUAGCGGUGAUACUCUCGCGAACAGGUAGGAAAUGGGCUACUUUGGAAAGACGGUCGAUCACGAUGAAGAUGGCAUUAUUCCCUCUCUUGGUCCUGGGAAACCCAGUGAUGAAAUCCAUACUGAUUUUAUCCAUUUCCACUCAGGAAUAGCCAAAGGUUGAAGGGUGCCAGUAGGCCGUUCGUGCUCUGCUUUAACACGAUGACAGACGUCGCAACUAGCAAUGUAUUGAGCAAUUUCACUCUUCAUCCUAGUCCACCAAAACCUCUGGCGUAGGUCUUGAUACAUCUUGGUAAUACCAGGAUGAAUGGUGAGAGGGGAGUCAUGAGCUUCCUUAAGAAUCAACUAGCGUAAAUGUUGUUUCUUGGGAACCACCAAGUGGUUCUCGAAGAAGACAACACCUCGCUCAUCCAUGGAAAAACAUUUAGCAACUCCGCUAGCGAUGUUUUCCUUAAUCCGGGAUAUGCCCUUAUCACAUUUCUGGGCAGUUAUAAUUUGAUCCGUAAGAUUAGGCUUCGCCACCAGGGUGGAUAGGAAUCCUCGAGGAACAAUGUGAAGAUUAAUCUUACGAAAUUCCUCAUGGAGAAGUGGUUGACUUUGUUGUAACAUCAGGUUGUUACAAUAGGACUUACGACUUAGUGCAUCAGCCAUGACAUUGGCUUUGCCCGGGGUGUAAGUUAUUCCUAAGUCGUAAUCCGAGAUCAACUCGACCCAACGCCGUUGCCUAAGAUUCAAAUCCGGUUGGGUGAAGAUAUAUUUCAAACUUUGGUGAUCAAUGAAGAUCUCGCAACGAUUACCGAGGAGGUAAUGUCACCAAGUUUUGAGUGCAUGGACUACAGCUGCAAGCUCUAGAUCAUGUGUGGGAUAGUUUUCCUCAUGUGGGUGUAAUUGCCAUGAGGCAUAGGCAAUUACCUGACGAUCUUGCAUGAGUAUGCAACCUAGUCCUUGUCGUGAGGCGUCGCAAUAGAUAAUAAAGUCCUUGGAGAAAUUUGGUGGUACCAGUACGGGAGAAGAUGUCAGGCGUCUUUUCAGUUCCUAAAAGCUGAACUCGCACUGUGGGGUCCACUCGAACUUCUUAUCUUUCUUGAGGAGUUCAGUUAGAGGUUUAGCAACCUUGGAGAAAUUCUCGACGAAGUGGCGGCAGUAGCUCGCUAAACCAAGGAAGCUCCGAACUUGCUUGACCGUCUCAGGUGGAGUCCAAUCAAGGACGGCUUGAACUCACUCGGGAUUGACAGCAAUACCCUUACCAGAGAUUACAUGGCCUAGAUAGGUCACUUCUGGCAACCAAAUUUCACACUUGGAGAAUUUGGCAUAAAGGCGAUGCUCUCGAAGUUUCGUCAAUACCAGCCUUAGAUGUUCGGCAUGUUCCUCUUCAUUCUUGGAGUAGAUGAGUAUGUCAUCGAGGUAUACUAUGACGAAUUUAUCCAAAUACUCCAUGAAGACCGAGUUCAUUAACCGAGAGAAGCUGGCUGGGGCAUUGGUUAAACCGAAGGACAUAAUGGUGUACUCGUAUUGGCCAUAACGAGUAACAAAGGCCGUUUUCGGAAUGUCCCCGUUUCUGAUUUUGAUUUGAUGGUAGCCCAACCUCAAAUCCUUCUUGGAAAAGACUGAGGAUCCAGCGAGCUGAUCAUACACAUCGUUGAUCCUGGGAAGCGGAUACUUGUUCUUGAUGGUGACCAAGUUGACAGGUCGGUAAUCUACAACCAUCUGAUCCGUUCCAUCCUUCUUCUUGACGAAGAGGACGGGGCAAGCCCAAGGAGAGGAACUAGGACGGAUGAAACCCUUUUUCAAGGACUCAUCGAGUUGGUUCUUAAGCUCGGCUAGUUCUAAGGGUGCCAUCUUAUAGGGUCUUCUAGAAAUUGGAACGGUUCCUGGAACAAGGUCUAUUACAAACUCGACAUCCCUGUCAGGUGGAACACCUGGCAGUUCUUCGGGAAAGACAUCCGGAAAGUCUCGGACUACCGGAAUAUCCUCAAGGUCUGGAAGGGGGUUGGCAUUUAGGGAGUAAAGUUGGCGCUUGGCCACUCGAGUUAAGACACUGACUAUCUUGCCCGAUGGGUGACUAAGUUGAACGGUUCUAGUGGCACAAUCAAUCUUAGCAUAAUGAGCUGACAUCCAGUCCAUACCCAAGAUGAUGUUUAUGUCCGAGGACUUGAGAGCUAUUAAGGAUGCAAGGAAGACAAGUCUAUCGACAAGAAUUUCGUUCCCAUGGCUUACUCUAGAAGUUUGCCAUCUAGAGCCAGGGGUUUGAAUUUCAAUGGUAGUGGGCAUGUCACAGAAUGUCGUGCUAUGCAAUCGAGCAUAAUUCUCGGAUAUGAAUGAAUGAGAUACUCCAGUAUCGAAAAGAACAGACGUCGGAUGGCAAUUAACAAGGAGCGUACCAAGGACGACGUUAGGAUCCUCAUGAGCCUCCUCGGCUGAGACAUAGUUGACAUGGCCACGUGUAGUGGUGACCGGCUUGGCGUAGAAUGUCUUUCCCGCGGGCUUACCACGGCCAACGGACUUUCCAGACUGAUUGGGGUUGUUGUUCUGGGGACACUCUCGACUAUAGUGACCCAGCUCUCCACACUUGAAACAUGUCACAACAUUGGGGCGGGGAGCAGCAUUAGCAGUGGGGCCACCAUAGGGCUUGGGCGGUGCAAACUACUGGUUGGGACGAGGCGCCUCAAAGGAUGGCCUCGGAAUGAACCUGGGUGGCAGUGUCGUGCUUGGAAUCCACACCCGGCACUUCUGAGAUCCAGAGCCGGAUGAAGAGCCAAAAUCACGAGAGUGCUUGCAUGAAGCGUCAUAGUCAGACUGGCCUGUCUCAGCACUGAUGGCUUUAUUGACCAUCUUUUGAAAGGAGGUGCACUCGUGCAGACGAAGAUCGCGGCGAAGCUCAGGGCUAAGUCCCUUGCAGAACCUUGCCUGCUUCUUAGCGUCGGUGGAUACCUCUUCAGGAGCAUAUCGUGCCAGAUUCCCAAAUUCACGACUAUAUGCAUCCACAGUCAGUCUUCCUUGGAUAAAAUUGCAUAACUCUUCCCUCUUGCGAUCUAUGAGACCUUCCGAAAUGUGAUGCUCACGGAAAGCCUCACUGAAUUCAGCCCAAGUAGUGAUUUGGCCGACCGGGCGCAUAGCUUCAAAGUUUUCCCCCCAAAGGCUAGCAGGGCCUUCGAGGUGAUGGGCAGCAUAAGUAACCUUAUCAGCUUCGGCUAUGUUGGCAGAACGUAGGUUGUGGGUGAUGCUGCGAAGCCAGUCAUCCGCGUCGAGGGGCUCGACGGAAUGGUUAAACUUUGGUGGGUACAACUUGAUAAAGUCAUUGAUUGACACCAAGUCAUUUCGCUGAUGGCGUGCAAUGUUCUGCUCAAUCCGCUCCAGCAAGCGGUUAGUCUCACGCUUGUUUAUUUCCGCCUCCAGCAUCACUUCGGCCAGAGAAGGCGGGUGGGGCAGAUUUUCACCCCUAGCUGCACUGGCUUCCCCUGCUCCGAGGCAGCAGGGUUGCUGCGGGUGUUGACCAUCCUAGGAGAAAACAAGACAACGGUUUAGAUAAGGAUGGCACAAACUUAGCAAGGAAGUUCAGAAUGUAAUGGAUAACACGGAAUGCAGAGAUGUUCAUCCGUAUGUCAUGGUAAUAUAGAACUGCCAUAUAUAUACCAACGGUCAUACACACCAUACAUAGUUUAGUACAAGCCUAGGAUACAGUACAACUAUGAUGAAAGACGUUACAUCUCAUCGGAGGCAUUCCAAGCUCCUAUACAUUAUUUGUCUACACCUCUGGAAUUGAUUACACACAAUGUCAUAUUCCACAAGUCACGCGGGACGGUGGAGAUACAACUAUUACCAUACUAGUGAUACUACUACUAACUCAGACAGCUCCGUAGUAGUCCUCAUAAAAGUCACCUCCAUAGCCUGGAAGUUCAACGUGAUCAUCCGGGAACAGAUGGUCCUGAGGAGCUUGUGGACCAAAGGGGCUAGGAUGAGGUCUUGGACCAACAAACGGUGGCCUGCGGGGACCACGAGGUGGGGUGAUGCCUCCCACAUCACGCCAAUCCACCAUGUAUGGCAGAGCAGAUCUCACAGGAUACAUAUCCCUUGUAUCCAUACAUCUAGCUUGCACCGCAGGUGCAAACCGAGUCAAAGUGGCCCAAUGAUCAGCACGGGUGUUGAAAAGCUCCAGUCUCAAGGCCCGAUUCUCUCGGUCCUUAUCCUCGAGCAUCUCGACAGUGGUGCGAGUUAGUGAGUCCUCACGUGUGGAGUCAGCAUAGAUAGCCUAGAGAUACCCUUGCGCUCCCGGGAGUGAAGCUGGCAUAUAACGGAAGUCGGUGUUCCGAAGCAGGCCAGUCCGGACUCGCAUGAUGGUCAUCAUAGAAUAGGCAGCAUCCUGCACAGCCAUCUCAACAGUAACCCUGAGUCCAUAGGAACAGUGGAGGGGCUCGCUAGAUCCAGGAUAAGAAGGAAAUAUCCUGACGGUGCAGAAAUAUUGGCUUUGAUUAAAGUCUCGGAAUUGCUCUUCGACAGUGUAUUCGGGAUACCAACGGUAACCCGUCUCGAUCAUUACCCGGACUAACAUAGCAGUAUGACCGGGCACAUCGAGGCACCAGGUCAGGCGAACCACUUGGUUUUGAGCAUGAGUGGCCAUCUGAAAGCACAACCACAAUGCAAAGACAUUAGAAUUUCUAGGGAAAAUUGGACAGCAUAACAGCUGUAAAUGCUCAGAAAAAGAUUUGAGACAUCCACAGUUUGCAAUACCACUCAACAACAUCAUAUCAGGGUUCUGAUUCAACUGGCAACAUACUAAAAGUAGUAGAAACUGUACUAAGGCUUGUAACAACAAUCCUAUAAGCUACUAUGGAUUAGUAACACGUGAACCUGAUAGAAGAAGAGAGCCUAGUCCUUAACCCACGUUGAAUGAGAAGAGAAUGACUCAAAUCAGAGGGCAUAAGGUAAAGGAGUAAAAGAGCCUUACGUUCCCUCCCACAAUCAAUUUCCCCUACAUAUAACUAAAGCAUUUCUAGACUCGACAUCGACCAGUUUGGCUCAACGAACCUACAGGCAGUCCGGCUCUGAUGCCAACGCUGUCAGGACCCCGAUUCCAAGUCACAUCGAUCUAGCCGGUAACACCUCAUAUCACAUUGCGGCCUCACGCACGGUAUCCCCACGCGUGUCGCCUUACCAUGGCCCGGGACAGUUUGCGCCUUUUGGCUCACGUAUAUGAUAGUGUCGCUAGCAUCCAUAUGACAAAGAACCCGGGCCGACAUGGCUAGUCAUGAACCCAAAGCGGCACAGACCUAUGGAGACAGGCAUACGUGAAUCAUAUCGAGCAUGUCGGUCAUCAGCGUGUGAAUCCGAGUUGUAGCACUGGGCUAACAGGACUUCGGGGAACCCGGGCUGUAGCAGGCUAGGCAGGACUCCGGAAGUCACCGCGUGACAUUUCCCCAAAGGGACAGACAUAGGAACGAAGUGAAACACAUGCCGGCCAGUCAAGUGUCCUGAGCAGUAGUGCUGGCCUAGCAGGACUCCGGUGAACCAGGCUGUAGCGGACUACUAUGGCUUGAGGAGCACUAGACUACAUUUCCCCGUAAGAAAGGCUGCCAAGGAUAAACAACUAGAUUGUCGGAUCCCACACAUACCAAGCAUUUGAAUCAUACACACAAUAUGCUCGAUAUGUGCAAAUACAACAUGGCAUCACAACAAAACUCUACAACUCAAGUACUUUAUCUAAAGGCUCCAAAGAGCCAUACAUAACAUGUUCAUACAGGUAGGGGUCACAUGACCCGACACUCAAGUCAUACAAGCAUACAAGCACAUGCGGAAGCAAAUAGUCUGAGUACACACACUAGAAAGCAAGAAGGCUUCUCGAAGCCUGUCUAUCUACAUAGGGCCCUCCAUGGCCAGGAUCACCACCUGGGUGGCAAGUCACUCAUCGACGUCGAGAUCUACAUAAAACCCAUCGGAGGGGGCGGUGUUGUCGUCUGAAAACAGUAAUUAACCAAACAUGAGUACAAAGGUACUCAGCAAGUCUUACAUCAGAACCUACUAUACAUGCUCAUUCUCAAGAAGGUGGUGGAGUUAUUGCAGCAAGCCAUCUUUGACUCUUGGCUAAGCUAUCCUACGGGACACCAUUAGUAAAAUAGUUUUUGCACACGAGUCCACUAAUCACCAACACAAUACUCCACCGGGGAUCCUCCCUCAUCAUCCUACGAGAGGGCCAUCCUCGGUACUCACACUUAUCUUGAGUCUUUUAGUAGUAUCCAUUAACUUGUCUAUGAACUGUAUAGGAAACCAAGUAGUCCUUUACCGCGGACGCGGCUAUUCGAAUAGUUUUAUACCCUGCAGGGGUGUACUUCGUCACAAAUGUUUCCAUCACUUAGCGUCUGCACACGACAUGUGCUCGGCAGACUUCAAGUGAAAAUCGACAUGGGUGUAGACCACGACCUGACUAACCGCACAAGUCUCUAGUCCAGGUUUAUCGCCUAUUCAGGUUCCAUCCACAAGGAAAUCCGGCCGGGGUGUCCUCAACGGCCCCAAACGAUGUGUACAGGGUCCCGAGACGCCAAACGGGUGCCCGGCAUACCCGGCCACAGUGUAUCUACCGCAUCAUAGCCCACCCCUAGGGUCAGUGCUACGCACGGCCGCCAACACAUAACCUACAAACACCAGAAACUAGUUGCAACUCCUGGACAGAGGGCGAGAGGGGUCAGUAAGUCGAGCGGGGUCAUAUUUCAGGGCCCAAUGUGUGGUAGUAGCUGAAUCUUAAAUCACUCAUACAGAUCUCAGUUCUUAUGGACGGCCUCAAUGAAACAACCCACCAUGUACUCCUACAUGGCCUCUCAUCGAUACAUUUACCAAAACAUGUUCAACACAUCCCUCACAUUACCGACAUAAUCAUUUCACUCUAGCCCAUCACCCAGAUGAACCAGACCUGACACAACUCUAAGCAUUGCAGGCAUAGCAAGGUAGGAAUCACAUACAUGGCUCAAUCAACUCCUACACAUGCUAGUGGGUUUCAUCUAGUUACUGUGGCAAUGACAGGUCAUGCAGAGGAUAAGGGUUCAACUACCGUAGCACACAGUAGUUUGAAUCACGUUGUCUUAAUGCAGUAAACAAGAGCAGAAGCGAGAACAUGGGUUUGUAUCGGAAUGAUCAAUCGGUUGCUUGCCUGAUGGAGUGGUAGUAAGGUACUGCCCUUCAGUUGGAUACUCGGAGAUAUCCUCAGAGGCAGAACCUACCACGAAGGAUACACAGAACAUAAUCAACACAUGACAAUAUGCAACAAUAUGAUGCAUGCUAUGACAUGGCAAAAUGAUGUGUCCUGCCUAAUGCAAUGUGAAACAAGUUGAAAUGGGUCCAUUUGAACCAAAGAUUCAAAUGGAAGUUAAAGUUCUUAUGCAUAGAAAGUGUAUUAGCUUGUUUCACCUAAAUAGCAAGGUUAAAGUGGUUUGUCAUGCAUGAAACCAUUACAGAUGAAUAGAUUGAAUUUUUCUGAUCAUUUUUCAUAUAUAAUUUGUUUUAUUUGGAGCUAUGGUUGAUUUUCUAUGAUUUUUAGAAGUUUUGGCUAUUUUCUGGAAUUUCCUAUAUAUAAAUAAAUCCAGAAAAUGAAUAAUUGCGUCAGCACUACGUCACUGCGACGUCAGCAGGUCAACUGGGUUGGUCCAGGUCAAACCUGACUAGUGGGGUCCACUGGUCAAUGACCGAGUCAACUAACAGAGUUAAUUAGCACUAACUAACAGUUAAAUUAGGCUAAUUAGUCCCUGGACCCACACGUCAGUGACUGCGGGUUUAAGUUAAGUUAAUUUAACACUUAGCUAAUUAAAAGGCCCCAUUUCAAGUUUAAAAGAAAUUUAAACAUGAUGCACAAGUUCAUCCAAUCCUAAUGCAUGACUAGAAGUAGGGAUGUGAUAAUUCUACCAGCAACAAGCUCGAAGAUACCAAAGGAGACAUGUGUGGGCCAAGACUUAUAAUGUCAGUGAACUCGUUCUACGCUUACCAGAGAAUAAAAAGGACAACCUCAAGCCCAAAUGGGAGGGUCCCUUCAUUAUAGAUGAAUUUCUCACUGGAGGAGCCUAUCGCCUUCGUAAUGCAUCGGACAAUCGCCUAGAGUCGAACCCAUGGAACGCUGCCAAACUCCGAAGAUUCUACACCUAAGUCUGGACUCAUUGUUCAUUACCUUUUUCUCUUUUUUCUCUUUCUUCUUUUUGUUUUUUAUACGACUUCUAGCCCGUGUUUGGAUAAACCGCACACUUAAGGGGUAUACAUCCUUAAAUGUACAUACCCCCCCCCCUAAUACCUGGGGGCUUCUUGUCACAAAAGCUUAUUACUAUUCGAGCAUCAGGCUCACUGUAUAUAUGUGUCGUCUUCUCAUAUAUGUCUUUUCUUCGCCAUUAUAUGCACCUUUAUGACUUAACUUUUUGCCAAGCUGGGUUGCCUUGCUCCUAUGCUUAUGCCCUACGUUCCCGCUUGUUCGGCUAGGGCAUAAAGGGAGCACCUCUGCGAUUGUUACAGCCAGGUUAUCCGGGCGUGUACCUCAAACAGGUGAAGCCAAAAGCUAGCGUUCUUAAGGGAAUAAUAGGUCGGCGGACAAAAGAUGAACCUCCCUCAUUGCGAUACAAGCCCCCAAAGUAUAACCUGUACUGUGAUUUUUAGCAUCACAGCUCAGGCAUGCACAACAACGCAUGUUGGCCCAGGGAAACGAACCCUUAACGGAACUAUUCUCUCUGGAAGAUGUUUCUUACGAUCAAAUGUAAUAUUAUAUAACUCCCCGAAUACAACUUGUCUAUUCAAGCAACCAAGACCGGACUGCCUGGUUUCUGAACAUACUUCGGUGUUUUCCACUGAUACAGUAUUCGGAAACACUCCAAAACUUUGGAUUUCGGAGGUUAAAGCAGAAGGUCUGCCAAGACAAUCGCUUUUUAUAAUUCGGACGAAGAUACGUUUGUCGAUAAAAAGUACAUUACUACUUGGACUCGAAAAAUUCCUCCUCCUCUAGACGAUCUAAUAAGUUGUCUAGCUUACAAUCAUGUUGCGAAAACUUGGCGGCUAUCUUUACUUGGUCAUAUACUAAGCUAACAGGAAUUUCAUGUCCAUCUGGUCCCGGAGGCCCGACCCGGGCCAUAUGAUUCGGAUCAAGUCCGGUGUAUCUUGUGUUCACCAUAGCCCAGGCCUCUCGUGCGCCUUCUCAGCAUGCUGAUAUCUUCCAUAGUCCAAAGCGGCGAUGAGCUCCCUUGAAUAAAUUCACGAGUUCCUCCAUACUUCUUGGAGGAGAAUCGGCUAGCCAUAAAGCCUUAGCAAUGUUCCUCAUUGCCUUUCGGGCCCGCCCAUGCACUUUGGAUAGCUCUUGUAGCAGAUCGCCUUGAAAUCCGGAUACCUCUCCUUCGGGCUGCCCAGUCAGCACACCUACAAAAACAAACUUGUUAAACUUCCCAUUAGGGGACUGUACGGAAAUGAGGUUAAAAAGCAUAUUGAAUAUGCUGCCUUUCGGUUUCUAUUCUCUUUCAAGGCAUCCACCAGUUGGGUUCGUAUGUCUUUCAGCUCCUCGGCCUGCUUGAUAUUGGCAUCUUGUAGCUUGUUCUUCUCAUCCCUGGUCCAUGUUAGUAUACGCUGACCAGCGGCCUCUUGCCUUUCGGCAUGUUGUUUAUCUGCCUGCGCGGCCUUUAGUCUCUCUUCCAGCUGAUUCGGCGAUCCUGCCGUCGUAAAUACAUCAGUGUUUAUUUCAAAAAAAACAUUGUUGGCACAUGAUUAUAUUUUCCGGACAAUAGAGGACAUUACCAGUCAGUGCCUCCUUGGACUUUGCCAUUUCGGCGAUGACAGCAGUUAGCUGGGCCAGACAUUUUUCUAGCUCCUGAGACAGCAUGUUGUUCUUCUCCGUGAGUACCUGAUUAUGCAACGAUCCUUAAAUUAGUUGUGUCAACUACUUCAAGUCUCGGGGGCUACUGACACAUGAUUAUUAAAACCAUACAGCAGGUCUUACCCGCAUAUCCUUUGAAAGCUGGUGAGUGGCUCCAGUGAGCCCAUCUCGAACAGCUCGGAUAUAUGCAUCCGCUGAGCUAAAGGCAUUGAAUGCCUCUUCGGUGAAAGUUGGGUCUUGCAUAGCCGCCCUCCAGCGCCGAUGGUUCAUCGCACUAUCCACUUCGGAGUUGGUAAGGGAUACAUCAUCCGAAUCCUCGGGGAGAGGACAAUCCGGCGUUGCACUUGUAUCCCCCCUAGUCCUUGGGACGGGGUCCAGGGUUGGAUUGGGUGAUGCAUGACCAGCAAAGCCUCCAGACACAGUCCGGCGUAUGCUUUUCCUAAAAAAUGUGGCAUAGCGGGAAACAUCACAAUUCAGUAUAUCUGCCAAGGGCAUAUUAAAAACCAUACCUUUUUGAUGAAGGUAGGGGCUCGACAGUGUCACCGUCCACCUUCCUUUUUGGAGAUCCGCACUGCGCAGGCAUCGCCUUCUUAAGGGACGUUUCUAAUGCGGCAUGGCGAGACGAGCGCCGCCCCUUUGGAGCAUGAGAUAGUGCGGUGGGUGAGGCGCGAUGAGAAAACUCUUUUGGGGAGACGUCUCCUGGGUACUUACGUGGGAGGAAGGGAGAAGUCCGGGAUAAUCGGCUCUGAUGGCCACUUCUGUGUCGUCGUAGCUCGCCUGAUGAAAGACUCCCUCCUUCAGCUCUACGAAUAUAUCUGGAUCCUCUUCAAAUCCGGGAUCCAGGUCUCGAGAAUGGUCCUCCGGCUGCAGAGCAGGGCUAUAGAUCCCCGCGACAACCUUCCUCCAUUCCUGUUAAACAUAGUCGGAUUAAGUUCAAGUAGGUGUGACUCGGGAAGAGGAUUGAGUAAGGUUACGAAGCGAAAGCUCACCCAGCUAGGAGGGUUGUACAUGGAAAAGCCCUCUCGGCACUUAAGGCGAGCAAAAUCUUCUUUCUCCCCUUUAUAAAGAUCAGCCAACAGGGCGGCCAAGGCGGCAAAGUUGUCCGGACCCUUGCGCCCACAGCGUGAUGCGUCAUCCUGCCCAUUGUGGUGCUACAUGGGGAGUCCUCUGGAUUGGAGUGGCUAAACGCCUCGCGUUAUAGCAAAUCUCCAUUACCUCAAUUAUGGAUAGUCCGGAUUGGGCGAGCAUCUUUAUCUUGCUCAUUAACUUCUUAAUCUCUGCACUGUCCUCCUCUUUGAGGCUCCGGGGACGUCAGCUGUGGUGUUUCUUUAACGGAGCAUUGCAAAAUUUGGGUAGGCCCAACCGGAUUGGGUCUAGGAGGAAUACGUCUUUGAUAUAAAACCACUCUGAGGGCCACUCUUUGGAUGCCUUCUUCGGAGUGCCGGACAGGUAUCAUGUUCUGGCUAUACGCCAUACUUCGGCACCGCCCACUUCGAAUAUAGAUCCCUUUUGGGAGCGGGGGACGAGGCAGAAAAGUUUCCUCCAUGACUCAAAAUGGGCCUCGCAACCUAAGAACAGCUCGCAGAGAGCCACGAAGCCCGAGAUGUGCAGAAUGGAACCCGGCGUGAGAUUGUGCAGCUGGAGGCCGUAGUACUCCAAGAGACCUCGGAGGAAAGGGUGGAUUGGAAACCCAAUGCCUCUUAAAAGGAAGGAGACAAAGCACACUCGCUCCCCUUUGGUAGGAUUGUGGAAAUUUUCUACCAAGGCUUCGCCAUUUAGGGAAGUUAAUCCCGCCCGAACGGGAACCAGGUCCGCGGGAGGGAGAUAUCCCUGCACCUGGAGCUUGUUUAGAUGAGCGUGGGAGACCGAGCAGCUCUCCCAAUCACCUUUUUGAGGGCCAUGAGGGCGUGAGGAAGAACUGGGAGCGCCAGCCAUGUUUGCGUGGAUUUCUAUGGCUAACUCUAAGGAUUUUUUGCCUGGAUUGGAAUGGCAUCUGAGAUUCAAUCUCCUUAAAUAGACGCCUUCCAUACGCUGCUAGGGUGUUAUCUGUAAAAGUACUUGGACCCUUCAUAUUCAUUUGACAUGUGGAAGCCGAGGCAAUGGUGGCGCAGAAGCCGAAUUAUACAAUGUUUAAAGUAAAGUCGGAGCUGUCCGGAGUAUCAUGGAGGGCCCACCUAACAAAACUAAAGAUAUAAAAGCUGGAUACCGCGUCAUCGUUGAGGAGUCAAAUACAGUUCUUUUUUGCUUUGGAAUAUCCAUAGGAGGAACCCGCCUUGCAAUGCUGAAGACAAUCUGCGCGCCGGACAUGUCGUCAUUGAAGCCUGGUUCGGCGGCUACUGAGGAAGUCCUGGAUUAGGGGGUCCCUAAGCGUCUGGGCUAUGUGACGUGGGCCAGACUGGUGGGCCGUGAAGAUAGAAGAUAGAAGGUUUCCCCUGUGUUCGGAUGAGACUCUCCUUGGCGUGGAAGGCAAGCUUGGCGUUCAGAUAUGAAGAUUCCUUUCUCUGUAAACUGACUCUGUACGAUCCUAGCCCCCUCCGGUGUCUAUAUAAACUAGAGGGUUUAAUCCAUAGAGGCAGUCAUAAUCAUACAGGCUAGACAUCUAGGGUUUAGUCAUUACGAUCUCAAGGUAGAUCAACUCUUGUAACCCAUAUACUCAUUAAAGUCAAUCAAGCAGGAAGUAGGGUAUUACCUCCAUCAAGACGGCCCGAACCUGGGUAAACAUCAUGUCCCCUGCCUCCUAUUACCUUUUAUCCUUAGACGCACAGUUCGGGACCCCCUACCCGACAUAUGCCGGUUUUGACACCGACAGAGACCACCUAGGUGAGAGGUGGGCAUGGCCCUUGGUCGGCGUCCACGGUUACUUCAAAAUAACAUGCUUAAGGAGAUCUAGGUAUUUGAUCUGAGUCUGGCCACUGGCCUAUAUGCACUAACCAACUACGCAGGAACAGUUAUGGGCACUCGACGUCAUGGUAUCAGGAGAAGCCUUCUUGACGUCAGCGACUGAGCGGCGCGCGCCGGGUUGGACCGCAUAACGCAACUUCCUUUGUAAUGGAGGUUGCUAGGUCUGCUCACCGACCGCGUACGCAACAUGCAGGUGUGCAACGGGCGAUGGGCCCAGACCCCUGUGCGCUUAGGAUUUAGACCGGCGUGCUAACCUCUCUGUUGUGCUUAGGUAGGGCUGUGACAUGUUGAUCUUCCGAAUCCGGCCAUGACCCAGGAAACUGUGUCCGGCCAGAGGGAUCGAGCGUGUUGGGUAAUAUGGUGCACCCCUGCAGGGAAGUUUAUCUAUUCGAAUAGCCAUGUCCCUCGGUAAAAGGACGACCCGGAGUCGUACCUUGACCUUAUGACAACUAGAACCGGAUACUUAAUAAAAGCACACCCUUUCAAGUGCCAGAUACAACUCGGUGAUUGCUCUCUCACAGGGCGACGAGGAGAGGAUCGCCGGGUAGGAUUAUGCUAUAUGAUGAUACUUGGUGAACUUACCAUCUACUCUCUUCUAUAUGCUUCAAGAUGGAGGCUGCCAGAAGCGUAGUCUUCGAUAGGACUAGCUAUCCCCCUCUUAUUCUGGCAUUCUACAGUUCAGCCCACAGAUACUAUCCAUUUCAUUGAUACCAAUGCAUAUGUAGUGUAGAUCCUUGCUUGCGAGUACUUUGGAUGACUACUCAUGGUUGCUUUGCUCCCUCUUUUCCCCCUUUCCUUUCCUCUCAGUUGUCACAACCAGAUGCUGGAGUCCAGGAGCCAGACGCCACCUUCGACGACUCCUACUACACCGAGGGUGCCUACUACUACAUGCAGGCCACCGACGACAACCAGGAGUAGUUAGGAGGAUCCCAGGAAGGAGGCAUGCGCCUCUUUCGAUCUGUAUCCCAGUUUGUGCUAGCCAUUUUAUUGCAACUUGUUUAACAUAUGUCUGUACUCAGAUAUUGUUGCUUCCGCUGACUUGUCUAUGAUUGAGCACUUGUAUUCGAGCCCUCGAGGCCCCUGGCUUGUAUUAUGAUGCUUGUAUGACUUAUUUAUUUUUAGAAUUGUGUUGUGAUAUCUUCCCGUGUGUCCCUGAUUUUGAUCGUACACGUUUGCGUGUAUGAUUAGUGUAUGGUCAAAUCAUGGGUGUCACAGAAAAAAUAUUUUCGGCUGCCAAAAUUUUGGCCUAAAAACUGCCCGGGGGUCUCCAGACUUUUUUUUCUUCUGAAACCUACUCAGGCAAGGAAACACGAAUCGGAAAAAAAUGGAUCUUGAAAACAAACCUAAUAUGAAAAGAACUCCGAUUGGUGGUGGGUAUAUCAUGGUAAGAUAUGGCAGCGGUUGUGGUAUAUGGAAGCGGUGGUGGUAUAUGGUAGCGGUGGUGUAUAUGGAUAAGGAUUGGUGGUGUUAUAUCGAUACGGAUUGGUGAUGGUAUAUGGAUACGGAUCGGUGGCGGAUAAACGGUGGUGGUAGAUGGCACGGGUGAUGAUGAUGGUACGGUGGCGGCGUGAUAACUUAUGACCAGAACUCGAAACUCCAAAAUACUAGACGCUAAGACCAGCAACUAGAUGCGACGAUGCAACCGCAAAUUCAACAAAGCAAAAACCCUAAAAAGAUUAUGCAAAGGCUCAGAUUGGUUCGGAUAUGAUGAACUAAUCCUAAUUUUUUUGGCUAUUUCAUGGACUGUAGGUAUGAAGGACAGAUUCAAUCUAAAACUAUGAAAAACUAUAAAAUCUCACCGAGCAACCUGGAAAUCUGAUACCACUUGAUAGAGGCGAAGGUGUCCCAAUGUUUCGAUGAGAUAGCUAUCGUUUUCUGUGGGAGUCGACUUUGACGAUCCGACCACGAGCGAGGGAAGACAUCGCGCCUUAGCAAUCGCUAAACCAACUUCCGAGGGUUAUUGACCAUGCCGGAGCACGAUCAACCUAACCACGAGGGUCUAUUUCCUGCAAGCAAAACGAAGAACAAGCAAGAAACUGAGAUUGCAAUCUGGAUAUUGCGAAUAUAAGAUGAAAGCUUUAUUGAUCAAGGUGGGGUUCUAUGACGCCUUUGUCUGGCCAUUGAACACAAACGAAGUACGCAAAGUUGCAGCUAUGGCGAACUUUUAAACUAAAUAGAAUCCAAAGUCUAAACGAUGCCCUAAGGGCUGUAUAUAUGGAGGGAAGAGGGGGAAUUUCGUGGCCCUUGGAGGAGGGUUCCGAAACCAACCCUAACUCUUGUUUCCGCACACACACAGACUCUAAUAACAACCUAUAAUCAAGUAUUUCGAAAUUACAUGGGCAUGGCCCAAAAAUAAGGUGACGCAGCACCUAGAAUAGCCUCUGGACGAAAUCUAUGAAGUGGCAUGUUGUAUAUUUCUUCCAAGGCUUCAUGCACUCCUUAUGGUGGCUUCAAAGUCUUGAAAUAAUCACUUGUAACUCUAUUCUUGUUCCCCUUGCACAUGCCAUCAUCAACAUGCUUGGUCUUGCUCCAGUGUUCAUCCCUCUUAUCCAUGUCAGGCCCUUCAUUUGUAAGCAAAACAAAUGUAUCCAAUUUAGGUAGCAUCAUAUUCUCAUGAACAUUAGAAUCAUUACCAAGAAACGAAAGUACCUGAUAAUUUAAUUGGCUUGCGGGAGCUUGAGUAAUUAGUCUAGUAUAUGUAGUUGUAGGGGCUGUGGGUUUAACAAUGGUAUUGAUGUCCUCAUCAAUCCUGCCGGCGAAAGCUCGUUCAAUUACAGUAAAGAGGCAUUCCACCUCUGCAUGGAUAUAUACAUGCACGGGUUCCCGGCAAGGUUUAUCUCUUUCAUUGGCAUGCAGAUACAAGUACAAGCAUUACAGAACACAAAGAUGGACUCGAGAGAUUACAUUAUUUGAAUUAAAAUUUGGCGAUUGCCUACAAGUUUAAGAUUAAAAAAAUAAGUGCCCCAUGAUCCCCUCUUUUCGUUUUCCCUCCUUCAGGCACUGCGGCGGAAGGACGAAAAGACGAGAAAAGGAGCACCCAAGCAGGAGCCCACCUCGGUCCUGUUGAGGCCCGUCAGGCACAGCCUAACAAGACCGGGAGUGGCAAGGUUGUGAAGGAGGAGUGCGGGCGACGGGGUGGCGCCUUCUGGUCACCAGCUCCAGAGCCAGCAAGAAGCCCCGGCUUGAGCAGGAUGACCGUCGGAGGCGAAGGCAUCCUCGCCAUCAUACUCCAACCUGACCCCCUGCCACACGCCUUCUCCGUCUUCCCCCGCUUUCUCCUCACCACCGCUGCUCCCAGGAAGCGCCAAGACUCCGACCCGACCCCUCCAGCGGAGAAACAGCAAGCAGCCGGAACGGCCAGGGGGGCAAGCCGCGUCGCGCCCCACCUUAGCGGGAAGGAAGGCGCGCCUCUCGUCGACGUCAGCCCCAAGACCUCCAGGAGGGGAGAUGCUGGGAUUGCCAAUAAUCUCUGGCCCCUCCUCCCGGAUGAACAUCGAAGAUACCAAAAGACUCGCCACGUCAAGGACCAAGCUCACUCCCCAAGCAUCAGCACCAGCAUAAGACAACGAUAACCCCAAACAGGAGCCCGGGCCCCAGGCUUCCUUCUACAACAUGACCAGCAGAAACAAAAGAUGAGGAGAGAAGGGCCACGAAGAUGGAUGGAUCUGCCCUCCUGCGCCCCUCCCUUUUAUAGGGUAGGCGGGGAAGGGUAGCUGCUCCAUCCACGGGUGAUCACCGCCCUCCUCCACCAAUUCAAGACGAGCGGGCCCUUUCCGAGGUACUCUCCUGCGCCAUGCGCCUCCGUUACCUAACCUGCGUGUUGCAUGCUGCAUACGUGGCUAAGGAUAAGGGCGCGCAGUGGGAAGAGUAAAUUGGUAGUUCCUACCCCGUGCGUCAAAGUCAUUCACGAACCAUCACUGGAGGGGCCCACCACUAUUGGCUUUACACCACGCAUGGGGAAAUCGGAAACUGGCCCGAAAUCAAGGCUGAUGAAGCAGCGACGGAAAACUCAAGGGGGCAACCCCUUCAGCAACCUUGCAUGUGCACUUAUUAGGCCCUACCCCGAUGACACUCAGCAGCAUGUUCGGGGCAGGCCCGGGGGCUUCUGUUGGUGCAACAAACCCUGGGUCUGUUGUAACACCCCGGAUGUAACUUUCCCUAUUUGUACUCCAACUCUUGCCGUUUCCGGCGUUAAGUUAUAUUUAUUUCCUCGGGUUUGGGUUUUUGUCUCCGUGUGUUGUUGUCGUUGUCAUGCAUCUCAUAUCAUGUCAUCAUGUGCAUUGCAUUUGCAUACGUGUUCAUCUCAUGCAUUCGAGCAUUUUCCCCGUUGUCCGUUUUGCAUUCCGGCGCUUCGUUCUCCUCCGGUGGUCAUUUCUAACUUUCUUUCAUGUGUGGGGAUUAAACAUUUCCUGAUUGGACCAAGACAUGCCAAGCGGCCUUGGUUUACUACCGGUAGACCGCCUGUCAAGUUUCGUACCAUUUGGACUUUGUUUGAUACUCCAACGGUUAACCGAGGGACCGAAAAGGCCUCGUGUGUGUGGCAGCCCAACACCCCUCCAAUUUGGCCCAAAACCCACCAAACUCUGCUCCAUCAUCUAGAGCGUUCGAUCACGAUUGAGUGGCCGAAAACCGCACCUCAUUUGGACUCUCCUAGCUCCCUCUAUGCCUAUUUAAACACCCCCCGAAAUCCGGAUCCCUUCUUUCCCCGAAACCCUAGAAAUCGCCCCCGCCGUCACCGGACACGUCCGGCCGCCGCCGGACGAAAUCGCCACCGCCGCCCGCGCCAAUCAGGCACUGCCACGUGGGCGUGCGCCCACAUCCCCGCCGCCUCGCUCCCGCUGGCCCGCCAGNNNNNNNNNNNNNNNNNNNNNNNNNNNNNNNNNNNNNNNNNNNNNNNNNNNNNNNNNNNNNNNNNNNNNNNNNNNNNNNNNNNNNNNNNNNNNNNNNNNNNNNNNNNNNNNNNNNNNNNNNNNNNNNNNNNNNNNNNNNNNNNNNNNNNNNNNNNNNNNNNNNNNNNNNNNNNNNNNNNNNNNNNNNNNNNNNNNNNNNNNNNNNNNNNNNNNNNNNNNNNNNNNNNNNNNNNNNNNNNNNNNNNNNNNNNNNNNNNNNNNNNNNNNNNNNNNNNNNNNNNNNNNNNNNNNNNNNNNNNNNNNNNNNNNNNNNNNNNNNNNNNNNNNNNNNNNNNNNNNNNNNNNNNNNNNNNNNNNNNNNNNNNNNNNNNNNNNNNNNNNNGCCGCCCCCGGCCACCGGCGUCCGUGCCCGCCGGCCGCCGCCGGACGGCCUCCCCCUCGUCGCCGGCAACCUCCUCCUCUCCGGCAGCUACAGUUCCUUGCUGGAGUUCCUCGAUUUCCGUGCGCGAGAUCUAGAUAAAAAACCCUAGAGGUUGAUUUUUUGUCUAAGUCCUGAAAUUCUCAGUCCAAGUGCUCAUGUUCGCGGCUCCGUAACUUUGCAUCCGUAGCUCUGAUUCAUGCAUAUAGCAUAUAAAAUGUUCAUCUCAGAGAGUACAUCAUUUCGUUCCAUUGCAUCAUUUUCAUUUGAGCUCAUCUUGAUGCCCGAAAUGCUGUUAGAAGAGGGCUACUUGAGUUAAUUGUCAGAUCUACUACUCCGUUUAGCACUUUUGUCAUUUUUGCCAUGAUUAAUGUGUGCAUGCUAUGACCUGAUGCUCUACGUGUGUUUUGUUAAGGGUUUUGUCAUCUUUCCAGAGGUGCAACCCGUGUAUUUUUAGGAUGUGUGUGGUGACUAGUGCAAGCUUGCAAAGUGGUGCACUUGCUAAUUCUGUUUUCAGGGACUUAGUAAUAUCACUAAGUCCUGGAUCUGUUUAUCUCAUGAUGCCAUAUGUUCUUGUUGUUUCCUAGUGAUCCGUGCCUCUUUUGAGGAUGAUCAGUAAGGGAGUUUUGUUAAUAUUGUAGUGCUCUAUCCAUCCAUGUCUUUGUUUGCAAUUAUGGAGCACCCUAGCUUGAGUCAAUCAAGCUCUACUUUUGCUACUUUGUGAAUCUGGGCAGAUUGUCAACUUGUUUGCAAUUUUGCCGGUGGUGUUGUAGUUGAUCCGUGCAUGCUAUGCUAUUGUUCUUGCCAUGUCUAGCUUGCAUUUUGUGCCUUCUUGAUGGAUGUAUGCUUGUCUUGCCAUGACUUGCACCGUAGUGAGUGCAUCGAGCUCGUAAACAUGCCUACUUGAGUUAUAUUUCAGCAUGUGUCAGUUUUGACUGUGUGAAAACUGAUUAUGUUUUUGCUAUGUUCACAUGCUUGCAAUUGUAUUUUCUGAUCCCUUUUGGCUCAAGGUCACUAAAGGACUUUUGUUAAGCUCUUUGAGUAUCUCCAUGCCAUGCUUUACUUUGCCAUAUUCAGGUCCUGUAGCAUGUAGUUUUGUUGCUCCGAAGAGGGCUACCUGAUCUGAAAUUUCAGACAAGUGUUAAUUUCACCAAGUCUGAGAUUUGUUUGCCAUUUGCAUUUUUGCCAUGUUUGUUUGAACCUAUUAAUGGAUGAAUUGGCCGUAGCUCAGUGCUAGACUUUUGUUAAGUAUCUUGUAAGCAUCCCUGCCAUGUAUUUUGUUGUCAUGUUUGGGUGUUGUAGCAUGUUCAUCUCAUUGCAUUUAGAUGCCUACUUGCUGUAAAUCGCAGACCGGUGUCAUUUUUGAAUCACUUGCCAUUUCCAAACCGUAACUCCGAUUCCGGCGUUCUUUAUAUCGUUUUCAAGCGAUUUCAUCUCAUCUUUCCAGUGGCACACUUGGUUUUCCAAGUUGAGGCCAGGUUCAUGCAUUUCCUGUCAUAUCUUGCAUUUUGCAUCCCGCAUCGCAUUCCGCAUAGCAUAUCAUCUUUGCAUCAUGUUGUUUGAGUUGCACGUGGUUGAUUGUAUCCUUGUUGCUUGUUUGUCUUGUUUGGGUAGAGCCGAGAGACGAGUUCGCUAACGAGGAGCCCGUUGAGUUUGCUUUCGAGGAUCCAGUCAACUCUGACAACUGUGCAGGCAAGAUGAUCAUACCCUCGAAAUCACUACUAUCUUUGCUAUGCUAGUUUGCUCGCUCUUUUGCUAUGCCAUUGCUACGAUGCCUACCACUUGCUUGCAAGCCUCCCAAAUUGCCAUGUCAAACCUCUAACCUACCAUGUCCUAGCAAACCGUUGAUUGGCUAUGUUACCGCUUUGCUCAGCCCCUCUUAUAGCGUUGCUAGUUGCAGGUGAAGAUUGGAGGCCGUUCCUUGUUGGAAAAUUUAUUUACUUGUUGGGAUAUCAUUAUAUUACUUUGUUAUCUUAAUGCAUCUAUAUACUUGGUAAAGGGUGGAAGGCUCGGCCUCUCGCCUAGUGUUUUGUUCCACUCUUGCCGCCCUAGUUUCCGUCAUAUCGGUGUUAUGUUCCCGGAUUUUGCGUUCCUUACGCGGUUGGGUUAUAAUGGGAACCCCUUGACAGUCCGCCUUGAAUAAAACUCCUCCAGCAAUGCCCAACCUUGGUUUUACCAUUUGCCACCUAGCCUUUUCCCUUGGGUUUCGCGGACUCAAGGGUCAUCUUAUUUUAACCCCCCCCCACCCCCGGGCCAGUGCUCCUCUGAGUGUUGGUCCAACCUAGAGCACCGUGCGGGGCCGUCCCUUGGCAACUUGGGUUACGUUGGCUCCCGUACGCUUAGCUUAUCCGGUGUGCCCUGAGAACGAGAUAUGUGCAGCUCCUAUCGGGAUUUGUAGGCACAGCGGGCAGUGUUGCUGGACUUGUUUUACCAUUGUCGGAGUUGUCUUGAAUUACCGAGAUACCGAGUCUGAUCGGAACGUCUUGGGAGGAGGUCUAUUCCUUCGUUGACCGUGAGAGCUUGUCAUGGGCUAAGUUGGGACUCCCCUGCAGGGAUUGAACUUUCGAAAGCCAUGCCCACGGUUAUGGGCAGAUGGGAAUUUGUUAAUGUCCGGUUGUAGAUAACUUGAACCUUAAUUAAUUAAAAUGAAUCAACUGAGUGUGUUACCGUGAUGGCCUCUUCUCGGCGGAGUCCGGGAAGUGGACACGGUGUUGGAGUAAUGUUUGCGCAGGUUGUUCUCUAGUUUCUCGCUCGUGCUUUGCCUCCUCUUCUCGCUCUCUUUUGCGAAUAAUUUAGCCACCAUAUUUGCUAGUCGCUUGCUGCAGCUCCACCUAUAUUUACCUUGCCUUACCUACAAGCUUAAAUAGUCUUGAUCGUGAGGCUGCGAGAUUGCUGAGUCCCUGUGGCUCAUAGAUUACUAUUACACCAGAUGCAGGGCCUGAUGAUUCCGCUCCAAGAGACGCGUAUGAGCUCAAGUGGGAGUUCGACGAGGACUCUCAACGUUACUAUGUUUCCUUUCCCGGUGAUCAGUAGUGGUGCCCAGUUGGGGGUGAACGGGACCGUUGUCGCAUGUUGGGUUCUCUUUUAUUUUGGCGCCGUAGUCGGGCCAUGAGUGUUUGGAUGAUGUAAUGUUACUUAUGUACUUGAUUGACGUGGCGAGUGUAAGCCAACUAUGUUAUCUCCCCUUUAUUAUUUAUAUUACAUGGGAUGUUGUGAAGAUUGCCUAACUUGCGACAUAUGCCUUCAAUGCAAUUAUGUCUCUAAGUCGUGCCUCGACACGUGGGAGCUAUAGUCACAUCAAGGGUGUUAUAAGUUGGUAUCAGAGCCUUCCCCGACCUUAGGAGCCCCCUUGCUUGAUCGUUUUAGCGGCCGAGUUGUGUCUAGAAAAAUGUUUUGAAUCAUUAGGAAUUAUAUAUCGAAGAGAUUAGGAAUUCUUUUUACUUCCCAGUCUCCUCAUCGCUUUGGUAAGGCAUCCUGACAUAGAGUUUUGACUCUUCUCUUCUCAAAUUUCACUAAAAAAAUUUAGGAUCAUGCGGGUAUCUUAGAAUCGUUCCGAUGGUUUUAUGAUGAGAACAUUGUCUUGGUGCCUCCUGUCAGGGGUUUAGUGGAAGUGUCCCGGGGAGUUGAGCUCUGAGGUGUUGUCAUCAUAAUUUUAUCGUUGCAGUUCUGAAAUACCUGAGUUUAGUACGCCAACAUCGAAAAUAUCUUUUAUGCAGUUCGUUGGUGAGAUAACCUCGAUGCCACCCAGUACUGGGGCGGGAGUUUGGGAGUAUCACCAUAACUUGUAUAACGGAUGCUUUUCGAAGGUUGAGGUAGAUGGUUUUCGAAGGUUUCUUGGUUAUGUGUUGAAGGAUCGAUACAGCUGGAUGUAGGUGCUAGUUUGGGUGAGAUAUUAUGCUUCCCCUGUACCUGAUUGCAUAACCGGAAAGGUUCGAGAGUUUCAUAGGUGGGAAUUCUAGUAGCUCUAGUUUUUCUUCCACGGAUAUUGGUUUGAGAUUGGGUUUUCUUACCGAUUAUUCGUUCUUGAUCCAUACCUUGUUGAUUUAUUUCUCUACCUUAAUUCUACGUGGCUUCUCAAUUUAUGGAUAUGUGACCAUUUCAAGAGGAAUGCAUUCGUUCAUUUUGUUCGGAUGUGAAGACUAUAUGUUGCAAUUUUCAUUCCGUUGGAUUCAGCUUCAAUAUUUGUCUAUCAAUGUGCUAAUGGUGGUCAACCUCUUCAGGAUGGCUCCUCCAACGCGCACGACUCCGAAUCCUGAUCCGCCACCACCUCCACCUCCUCCGGAGGCAUGGCAAGUUGUGAUGGCCGCAACCAAUGCAAACACACAGUUGAUCAUGCAAAUUCUCCAAGAGCGCAAGCAAGGCAACCAAGGGAAUCAAGGCAGCAAUCAGAAUUGCUUUGCUUCACUCAACCAGUUCCUUGCUAACGGGCCAAAGACUUUCAGCAAUUGUGUUGAGGCAACCGAUGCUGACGAUUGGCUUGUGGAUCUGUGUAAGCAUUUUGAGUGCAGUAACGUCAGGCCUGAGGACUUUAUCAAGUUCGCUUCCUUCCAACUCAAAGAUCAAGCUGCAGAAUGGUUCCAGCAGUACAAGGACUCCAGAGGUGGACGUGUUAUCACUUGGGAUGAUUUCCGUCGAGAUUUCCAAGCUCAUCAUAUUCCUCAGAGCGUGGUUGAAAGCAAGCGUGAGGAAUUCCGCAAUCUGAAACAAGGCUCUUUGUCUGUCUAUGACUACAACAAGUUUUUCCAGAAGCUCGCUCGCUUUGCUAAGCAGGACGUCCCUGAUGAGAAGAGCAUGAUAUAUCAGUUCAGGGGUGGUCUCAGAGAAGAAAUUCAGCUAGCUCUUGUCCUCUUUGAGCCCUUGAGAUACGAUGAGUUCUACAACAUGGCACUGAAGCAAGAGGCUGCUCAGUUGAGGUGUGAUGCUUCCAAGAAGCGAGUCAGAGAUGUUACUCCUCCUUCCUCUACUCAAGUGGCCAAGCAGCAGAAGUUUUGGCUUCCUCCUCCUCCGUUUUGUCAGCCGUAUCAGCAGAAGAGCAAAGGUGGCAGUGGUUCUUCCCACCCACCCAACCCUGGCUUUCAGAACAAGACUUCGUCUCAAGCUCCAAGAUCGAGUGCUCUGUAUCACCGUCCGCUUUCAGAGGUCAUGUGCAACAAGUGCCAACAGAAGGGUCACUAUGCCAACAAGUGCUUCAACCAGAGGCGUCUUCCUCCUCCUCCUCCUGUCAGAUCGGCAAGUACAGAUGUGGUCAAGCAUAACCCCAAGCACGCCAAGGUCAACUUGCUGAAUGCAGCUCAGGCAGAGGAAUCAUCAGAUGUCAUCAUGGGUAACUUUCCAGUUAACUCUUUUCCAGCAAAAGUUCUUUUUGACACUGGUGCAUCGCAUUGUUUCAUGUCAAGAUCAUUUGUUUCCAAGCAUGACUUCGUUUCACAAAUGUUGGGUAAACCUAUGGGAGUGGUUUCUCCGGCUAAGUCUAUGAGGGCUACUUCAAUAGUCCCGGAUGUUUCUAUCAUGAUGGGUGAUUUCAAGUUUCUGGCUUCUCCAAUGGUUCUUGGUAACUCGGAUAUUGAUCUUAUUCUCGGGAUGGAUUGGCUUUCUAAGCACAAGGCUCGGCUUGAUUGUGCAGCCAGGCAGAUUCAAUUAACUCAUUCGUCUGAGGAUGUAAUUGUCUUUGAUGCGAAUGACGAUACCAUCCGUCUAUUUUCUCUCAAUGAGAAGGGUGAACUCGAUGCUAUCUCGCAAAUUCCAGUCGUUUGCGAAUAUCAAGACGUCUUUCUAGAAGAGCUCCCAGGAAUGCCUCCGCACCGGCCAGUUGAAUUCGUUAGUGAUCUUGAGCCUGGUACGGAACCUGUGUGCAAACGUCCUUACAAGCUCGGACCUGAAGAGUUGAAGGAGCUGAAGAAGCAACUCGAUAUUCAAGAGAAAAUGGGUCUCAUCCGGCCUAGUUCUUCUCCGUGGGGUUGUGGUGUUCUUUUUGUGAAGAAGAAGGAUGGAACGGACCGACUUUGUGUUGAUUACCGUCCAGUGAACAAGAAGACCAUCAAGAACAAAUAUCCACUUCCCAACAUCAAUGAGCUCUUCGAACAACUCAAAGGUGCCCAAGUAUUCUCCAAGCUUGAUCUCCGUAUGGGUUAUCAUCAGAUUCGAAUCCGUGAGCAAGAUAUUCCCAAGACGGCUUUCAGGACAAGCUUUGGUUCUUAUGAAUACAUUGUCAUGUCUUUUGGCCUCGCCAACGCUCCUCCGACGUUCUCUCGCAUGAUGAACUUCAUCUUCAACGCCUACACCAAUGACUUGUAACACCCUCGAUGCGACUAUAGCUCCCACGUGUCGAGGCACGACUUAGAGACAUAAUCGCAUUGAAGGCAUAUGUCGCAAGUUAGGCAAUCUUCACAACAUCCCAUGUAAUAUACAUAAUAAAGGGGAGAUAACAUAGUUGGCUUACACUCGCCACAUCAAUCAAGUACAUAAAUAACAUUACAUCAUCCAAACACUCAUGGCCCAACUACGGCGCCAAAAUAAAAGAGAACCCAACAUGCGACAACGGUCCCGUUCACCCCCAACUGGGCACCACUACUGAUCAUCGAGAAAGGAAACAUAGUAACGUUGAGAGUCCUCGUCGAACUCCCACUUGAGCUCAUACGCGUCUCCUGGAGCGGAAUCAUCAGGCCCUGCAUCUGGUGUAAUAGUAAUCUGUGAGCCACAGGGACUCAGCAAUCUCGCACCCUCGCGAUCAAGACUAUUUAAGCUUGUAGGUAAGGCAAGGUAAAUAUAGGUGGAGCUGCAGCAAGCGACUAGCAAAUAUGGUGGCUAACUUAUUCGCAAAAGAGAGCGAGAAGAGGAGGCAAAGCACGAGCGAGAAACUAGAGAACAACCUGCGCAAACAUUACUCCAACACCGUGUCCACUUCCCGGACUCCGCCGAGAAGAGGCCAUCACGGUAACACACUCAGUUGAUUCAUUUUAAUUAAUUAAGGUUCAAGUUAUCUACAACCGGACAUUAACAAAUUCCCAUCUGCCCAUAACCGCGGGCAUGGCUUUCGAAAGUUCAAUCCCUGCAAGGGAGUCCCAACUUAGCCCAUGACAAGCUCUCACGGUCAACGAAGGAAUAGACCUCCUCCCAAGACGUUCCGAUCAGACUCGGUAUCUCGGUAAUUCAAGACAACUCUGACAAUGGUAAAACAAGUCCAGCAACACCGCCCGCUGUGCCGACAAAUCCCGAUAAGAGCUGCACAUAUCUCGUUCUCAGGGCACACCGGAUAAGCUAAGCGUAUGGGAGCCAACGUAACCCAAGUUGCCAAGGGACGGCCCCGCACGGUGCUCUAGGUUGGACCAACACUCAGAGGAGCACUGGCCCGGGGGUGGGGGGUUAAAAUAAGAUGACCCUUGAGUCCGUGAAACCCAAGGGAAAAGGCUAGGUGGCAAAUGGUAAAACCAAGGUUGGGCAUUGCUGGAGGAGUUUUAUUCAAGGCGGACUGUCAAGGGGUUCCCAUUAUAACCCAACCGCGUAAGGAACGCAAAAUCCGGGAACAUAACACCGAUAUGACGGAAACUAGGGCGGCAAGAGUGGAACAAAACACUAGGCGAGAGGUCGAGCCUUCCACCCUUUACCAAGUAUAUAGAUGCAUUAAGAUAACAAAGUAAUAUAAUGAUAUCCCAACAAGUAAAUAAAUUUUCCAACAAGGAACGGCCUCCAAUCUUCACCUGCAACUAGCAACGCUAUAAGAGGGGCUGAGCAAAGCGGUAACAUAGCCAAUCAACGGUUUGCUAGGACAUGGUGGGUUAGAGGUUUGACAUGGCAAUUUGGGAGGCUUGCAAGCAAGUGGUAGGCAUCGUAUCAAUGGCAUAGCAAAAGAGCGAGCAAACUAGCAUAGCAAAGAUAGUAGUGAUUUCGAGGGUAUGAUCAUCUUGCCUGCACAGUUGUCAGAGUUGACUGGAUCCUCGAAAGCAAACUCAACAGGCUCCUCGUUAGCGAACUCGUCUCUCGGCUCUACCCAAACAAUACAAACAAGCAACAAGGAUACAAUCAACCACGUGCAACUCAAACAACACGAUGCAAAGAUGAUAUGCUAUGCGGAAUGCGAUGCGGGAUGCAAAAUGCAAGAUAUGACAGGAAAUGCAUGAACCUGGCCUCAACUCGGAAAACCAAAUGUGCCACUAGAAAGAUGAGAUGAAAUCGCUUGAAAACGAUAUAAAGAACGCCGGAAUCGGAGUUACGGUUUGGAAAUGGCAAGCGAUUCAAAAAUGACACCGGUCUGCGAUUUACAGCAAGUAGGCAUCUAAAUGCAAUGAGAUGAACAUGCUACAGCACCCAAACAUGACAACAAAAUACAUGGUAGGGAUGCUUACAAGAUGCUUAACAAAAGUCUAGCACUGAGCUACGGCCAAUUCAUCCAUUAAUAGGUUCAAACAAACAUGGCAAAAAUGCAAAUGGCAAACAGAUCUCAGACUUGGUGAAAUUAACACUUGUCUGAAAUUUCAGAUCAGGUAGCCCUCUUCGGAGCAACAAAACUACAUGCUACAGGACCUGAACAUGGCAAAGUAAAGCAUGGCAUAGAGAUACUCAAAGAGCUUAACAAAAGUCCCUUAGUGACCUUGAGCCAAAAGGGAUCAGAAAAUACAAUUGCAAGCAUGUGAACAUAGCAAAAACAUAAUCAGUUUUCAGACUUAGUGAAAACUGACACAUGGUGAAAUAUAACUCAAGUAGGCAUGUUUACGAGCUCGAUGCACUCACUACGGUGCAAGUCAUGGCAAGACAAGCAUACAUCCAUCAAGAAGUCACAAAAUGCAAGCUAGACAUGGCAAGAACAAUAGCAUAGCAUGCACAGAUCAACUACAACACCACCGGCAAAAUUGCAAACAAGUUGACAAUCUGCCCAGAUUCACAAAGUAGCAAAAGUAGAGCUUGAUUGACUCAAGCUAGGGUGCUCCAUAAUUCCAAACAAAGACAUGGAUGGAUAGAGCACUACAAUAUUAACAAAACUCCCUUACUGAUCAUCCUCAAAAGAGGCACGGAUCACUAGGAAACAACAAGAACAUAUGGCAUCAUGAGAUAAACAGAUCCAGGACUUAGUGAUAUUACUAAGUCCCUGAAAAUAGAAUUAGCAAGUGCAUCACUUUGCAAGCUUGCACUAGUCACCACACACAUCCUAAAAAUACAUGGGUUGCACCUCUAGAAAGAUGACAAAACCCUUAACAAAACACAUGUAGAGCAUCAGGUCAUAGCAUGCACACAUUAAUCAUGACAAAAAUGACAAAAGUGCUAAACGGAGUAGCAGAUCUGACAAUUAACUCAAGUAGCCCUCUUCUAACAGCAUUUCGGGCAUCAAGAUGAGAUCAAAUGAAAAUGAUGCAAUGGAACAAAAUGAUGUACUCUCUGAGAUGAACAUUUUUAUAUGCUAUAUGCAUGAAUUGGAGCUACUGAUGCAAAGUUACAGAGCUGCGAACAUGAGCACUUGGACUGAGAAUUUCGGGACUUAGACAAAAAAAUCAACCUCUAGGGUUUUUUUGGAUCUAGAUCUCGCGCACAGAAAUCGAGGAACUCCGGCGAGGAACUGUAGCUGCCGGAGAGGAGGAGGUUGCCGGUGACGAGGGGGAAGCCGGACAGCGGCGGCCGGCGGGCACGGACGCCGGUGGCCGGGGGCGGCGGCGCAGGGCGCGAUGGCGNNNNNNNNNNNNNNNNNNNNNNNNNNNNNNNNNNNNNNNNNNNNNNNNNNNNNNNNNNNNNNNNNNNNNNNNNNNNNNNNNNNNNNNNNNNNNNNNNNNNNNNNNNNNNNNNNNNNNNNNNNNNNNNNNNNNNNNNNNNNNNNNNNNNNNNNNNNNNNNNNNNNNNNNNNNNNNNNNNNNNNNNNNNNNNNNNNNNNNNNNNNNNNNNNNNNNNNNNNNNNNNNNNNNNNNNNNNNNNNNNNNNNNNNNNNNNNNNNNNNNNNNNNNNNNNNNNNNNNNNNNNNNNNNNNNNNNNNNNNNNNNNNNNNNNNNNNNNNNNNNNNNNNNNNNNNNNNNNNNNNNNNNNNNNNNNNNNNNNNNNNNNNNNNNNNNNNNNNNNNNNNNNNNNNNNNNNNNNNNNNNNNNNNNNNNNNNNNNNNNNNNNNNNNNNGUGACAGCGCCUGAUUGGCGCGGGCGGCGGUGGCGAUUUCGUCCGGCGGCGGCCGGACGUGUCCGGUGACGGCGGGGGCGAUUUCUAGGGUUUCGGGGAGAGAAGGGAUCCAGAUUUCGGGGGGUGUUUAAAUAGGCAUAGAGGGAGCUCGGAGAGUCCAAAUGAGGUGAGGUUUUCGGCCACGCGAUCGUGAUCGAACGCUCUAGAUGAUGGAGCAGAGUUUGGUGGGUUUUGGGCCAAAUUGGAGGGGUGUUGGGCUGCAACACACACGAGGCCUUUUCGGUCCCUCGGUUAACCGUUGGAGUAUCAAACGAAGUCCAAAUGGUACGAAACUUGACAGGCGGUCUACCGGUAGUAAACCAAGGCCUCUUGGCAAGUCUUGGUCCAAUCCGGAAAUGUUUAAUCCCCACACACGAAAGAAAGUUAGAAAUGACCACCGGAGGAGAACGAAGCGCCGGAAUGCAAAACGGACAACGAGGAAAAUGCUCGAAUGCAUGAGAUGAACACGUAUGCAAAUGCAAUGCACAUGAUGACAUGAUAUGAGAUGCAUGACAACGACAACAACACACGGAGACAAAAACCCGAACCCGAGGAAAUAAAUAUAACUUAACGCCGGAAACGGCAAGAGUUGGAGUACAAAUAGGGAAAGUUACAUCCGGGGUGUUACAUCUGUUGCCCAGACUUUGCGCAUGCACGAGAUCAAGAUUGAAGCACUAGCCCAAGCCAGAGAUUGAAGGACCAAGAGAUUUGAAGAACCACAACACACAGUCCACAGAGACCAAGAUCGAGCCAGAAGAACAAGAUAUCGGCAAGAGAAGGGCCUCCCUUGCCGGGCAGGCGAGCCCAGCAAGGGGCAAGGCCAUCGCAAGAAGCAGGCAACCAAGGCACCCCGACAAGGUUUGUCGGGGCUCGCGGGGGCAGAACCACCCCACUAACCACUCAAACGUGACCCACGUCGUCAAUCAGUGCGGUGUCAACCCGCAAGAUGAUUAAGUGGUAGCCAUUCGCCACAUGGCGGCCAUUUCCUACAGAAGAAGCCUACAGAUGACACCCGUCCUGCGACGUGUCAAGGGAGGCACGGAGCUAGCAAGAUAGCCCGGCAAUCUUUGCCGGGCGACCAGUGAUGUGCCACCAAGCGGCGCAUUUAAUGCACCUUGUCAGCCUGCAGAAUUAGGUAUGAUAGCAUUGUUCAUUAUCAUAUCAGUGGAUAAUGACUACUUUGCCAUUGUGGUGACACCUUAAUCUAUAAAAGAAGGCCCAUGGCACUCGUAGGAGGGGUUGGAAAGUUCAUGAACCCAAGCCACCAUACGUGCGUAGUCGCUGCGGUCCCGAGGCGAACCCUGCCGGGCAAGUGUACUACGCAUCACCGCGUUCAUUCCACCAUCAAUCCACCAAAGCGGGAGUAGAGUCUUACGCCUCACGAUGACCGAACCUGGGAAAAUCGCUUGUGUGCUCCCUGCCACGCUGCCGUACGCUAGUCUUCUCUUUGUGCAACGCGACGUCCCCCUGCCAAACCAGCAAGGGGCCACCUGGUCCCAUAGGUGGCCGCGGACAUCCCGUGACACAACUCAGCUGCUAAUACCUUCAAAUGUGCUUUGUCUCCACUUGUGUCUAAUCUAUAAAUUUGGGUUGAAUACUCUACCCUCGAAAACUGUUGCGAUCCCCUAUACUUGUGGGUUAUCAAGACCUUUUUCUAUCGCUGUUGCCGGGGAGGUAGCUAUAUUUGUUGAGUCAAUUGGGGUUAUUAUCAUAUUAUCACUAUGAAGAAUCUGAAGGAUGUUAAGACUAAUAUUUUUCCCUCAAAGACGAGGGGAGGUAAGGAACUGCCAUCCAGUUCUGCUUUAGAUUCACCUUCUAUUAUAAGUAAACUUGCAACACCACCACAUGCUAUUAAUUCUAAUAUGUCGCAAGUUAUUGAUGAUAUUACUUCUUCUAUGGAUAAUGCUUAUGAUGAUGCUAGUACCUUGCUUGAUAAUGGUGAUGUGCCACUUGGUGAAUUUCUUAAUAAACAAAUUGCUAGAGUAAUACAACAUGAUGUUGUUGAAUCUGAUGAUGAGCUUGAAACUGAAUCUCCUGAAACAACUGCUAGAACUAGCCUUCCUAGAUAUGAAUUGCCUAAGCUACCGGAAGGUUAUGUUAUGAAUGAGGAGACAACUAGAGAUAUUCUUGCUUGUAGGGAUAGAGAUGAUCUAGAGAAAUUAUUAUGCAAGUAUAAAGAAAAAUCUUUGAAUGCUAGAAUGAAAUAUGACCCUAAGUUUGCUACUUCACCUAUCUUUAUUGAUGAUAAGGAUUAUAAAUUCUCUGUCGAACCAGGGUUAAUUACUUUGGUUGAAUUUGAUCCUUUCCAUAGUUAUGAAACUCAAACUGUUGUGGCACAUCUUACUAAGUUGAAUGACAUAGCCACUCUUUUUACACAUGAUGAGAAAACUUGCUAUUACUUUAUUCUCAUAUUAUUUCUGUUUAGUCACUGAUCGUUGUAUGACUUAUUUAUUUUUAGAGUUGUGUUAGAUAUCUUCCCGUGAUUCCCAGAUCUUGAUCGUAUACAUUUGCAUGUAUGAUUAGUGUACGGUCAAAUCGGGGGCGAAACAGAAAAAAUAUUUUUGGCUACCGAAAUUUUGGCCUAAAAACUGCCCGGGGGUCUCCAGACUUUUUUUUCUUCCGAAACCUACUCAGACAAGGAAACAUGAAUCGGAAAAAAAUGGAUCUCGAAAACAAACCUAAUAUGAAAAGACCUCGGAUUGGUGGUGGAUAUAUGAUGGUAAGAUAUGGCAGCGGUUGUGGUAUAUGGAAGCGGUGGUGGUAUAUGGUAGCGGUGGUGGUAUAUGGAUACGGAUUGGUGGUGAUAUAUGGAUACGGAUUGGUGGUGGUAUAUGGAUACGGAUUGGUGAUGGUAUAUGGAUACGGAUCGGUGGCGGAUAAACGGUGGUGGUAGAUGGCAGGGGUGAUGAUGAUGGUGCGGUGGCGGUGUGACAACUUAUGACGAGAACUCGAAACUCUAAAAGACUAGAAGCUAAGACCAGCAACUAGACACGACGAUGCAACUGCAAAUUCAACAAAGCAAAAACCCUAAAAAGAUUAUGCAAAGGCUCAGAUUGGUUCGGAUAUGAUGAACUAACCCUAUUUUUUUGGCUUUUUCGUGGACUAUAGGUAUGAAGGACGGACUCGAUCUAAAACUACGAAAACUAUAAAAUCUCAUCGAGCAACCUGGAAAUCUGAUACCAGUUGAUAGAGGCGAAGGUGUCCCGAUGUUUCGAUGAGAUAGCUAUCGUUUUCUAUGGGAGUCGACUUUGACGAUCCGACUACGAACGUGUGAAGACGUCACACCUUAGCAAUCGCUAAACCAACUUCCGAGGGUUAUUGACCACGUCGGCGCACGAUCAACCUGACCACGAGGGUCUAUUUCUUGCGAGCAAAACAAAGAACAAGCAAGAAACUGAGAUUGCAAUCUGGAUAUUGCGAAUAUAAGAGGAAAACUUUAUUGAUCAAAGGUGGGGUUCUGUGACGCCUUUGUCUGGACAUUGAACACAAACGAAGUACGUGAAGUUGCAGCUAUGGCGAACUUUAACCUAAACAAAACCCAAAGUGUAAACGAUGCCCUAAGGGUUGUAUAUAUGGAGGAAGAGGGGGGAAUUUCGUGGCCCUUGGAGGAGGGGUCCGAAACCAACCCUAACUCUUGUUUCCCCACACAUACGGAGUCUAAAAACAGCCUAUAAUCAAGCAUUUCAAAAUUACAUGGGCCUGGCCCAAAAAUAAGGUGACGCAGCACCUAGAAUAGCCUCUGGAUGAAAUUUAUGAAGUGGCAUCUUGUAUAUUUCGUCCAAGGCUUCAUGCACUCCUUAUGGUGCCUUUAAAGUCUUGAAAUCAUUACUUGUAACUCCCUUCUUGUUCCCCUUGCGCAUGCCAUCAUCUCCAUGCUUGUUCUUGCUCCAGUGUUCAUCUCUCUUAUCCAUGCCAGGCCCUUCAUUUGUAAGCAAAACAAAUGUAUCCAAUUUAGGCAGCAUCAUAUUCUCAUGAACAUUAGAAUCAUUACCAAGAAACGAAAGUACCUGAUAAUUUAAUUGGCGUGCGCGAGCUCUAGAAAUUGGUCUAGUAUAUGUAGUAGUAGGGGCUGUGGGAGUAACAAUGGUAUUGAUGUCCUCAUCAAUCCUGCCGGGGAAAGCUUGUUUAAUAACAGUAAAGAUGCACUCCACCUCUGCAUGGACAUAUACAUGCACGGGUUCCCGACAAGGUUUAUCUCUUUCAUUGACAUGCUGAUAUAAGUUCAAGCAUUAGAGAACACAAAGAUGAACUCGAGGGAUUACAUUAUUUGAAUUAAAAUUUGGUGAUUGCCUACAAGUUCAAGAUUAAAAAAAAUAAGUGCCCCGUGAUCCCCUCUUUUUGUUUUCCCUCCUUAAGCACUACGGCUGAAGGAGGAAAAGACAAGAAAAGGAGCACCCAAGCAGGAGCCCACCCAGUCCUGUCGGGGCCCGUGAGGCACGUCCUGACAAGACCGGGAGUGGCGAGGCUUCGAAGGAGGAGUGCGGGGGACGGGGCGGCGCCUUCUGGUCACCAGCUCUAGAGCCAGCAAGAAGCCCCGACUUGAGCGCCGGUGGAGUCAUCCACCAAAGCUCAGCCGAAAGACUGCUGGAGGCGAGGAGAAGGCACCAAGAGAACAUCCCUCCCCAGCUAUCACCCGAAGAGGCUGGUGAUGACGGUGUCGGGGAGGGAGGGGAAGAGCGGGAAGACGAGGCAGCAAGAUGACGGUCAGAGGCGAAGGCAUCCACGCCAUCGUACUUUGACCUGACCCCCUGCCACACACCUUCUUCGUCUUCCCCCCUUUCUCCUCACCACUGCUGCUCCCGGGAAGCGCCAAGACUCCGGCCCGACACCUCCAGUGGAGAAACAGCAAGCAGCCGGAACGGCCAGGGGGGCGAGCCACGCCGCACCCCACCUUGGCGGGCAGGAGGGCGCGCCUCUCGUCGACGUUAGCCCCAAGACCUACGGGAGGGGCGGUGCUGGGACUGCCAAUAAUCUCUGGCCCCUCCUCCCGGACGAACACCGAAGAUACCAAAAGACUCGCCACAUCAAGGACCAGGCUCACUCCCCAAGCAUCAGCACCAGCAUAAGACAACGAUAACCCCAAAGAGGAGCCCAGGGGCUGGCCCCACGCUUCCUUCUCCAACAUGACCAGCAGAAACGGAAGAUGAGGAGAGAAGGACCACGAAGAUGGAUGGAUUUGCCCUCCUCCGCGCCUCCCUUUUAUAGGCCGGGCGGGGAAGGGUAGCUGCUCCAUCCACGGGUGAUCACCGCCCUCCUCCACCAAUUCAAGACGAGUGGGCCCUUUUCGAGGUACUCUCCCGCGCCACGCGCCUCCGUUACCUACCCCGCGUGAUGCAUGCUGCAUAUGUGGCUAAGGAUAAGGGCGCACUGUGGGAAGAGUAAAUUGGCGGUUUCUACCUUGUGUGUUAAAGUCAUUCACGGGCCAUCACUGGAGCGGCCCCACCACUAUUGGCUUUACACCACGCACGGGGAAACCGGAAACUGGCCCGGAAUCAAGGCUGAUGAAGUAGCAACGAAAAACUCAAGGGGCCAACCCCUUCAGCAACCUUGCCUGUACACUUAUUAGGCCCUACCCCGACGACGCUCAGCAACGCGUUCGGGGCAGGCCCAGGGGCUUCUGUCGGUGCAACAAACCCUGGGUCUGUUGCCCAGACUGUGCACAGGCACGAGAUCAAGAUUGAAGCACCAACCCAAGCCAGAGAUUGAAGGACCAAGAGAUUUGAAGAACCAACACGCAGUCCAGAGAGACCAAUAUCGAGCCAGAAGAGCAAGAUAUCGGCAAGGGAAGGGCCUCCCUUGCCGGGCAGGCGAGCCCGGCAAGGGGCAAGGCCACCGCAAGAAGCAGGCAACCAAGGCACCCCGGCAAGGUCUGCCGGGGCUCGUGGGGGCAGAACUACCCCAUGAACCACUCAAGCAUGACCCACGUCGUCAAUCAGUGUGGUGUCAACCCGCAAGAUGAUUAAGUGGCAGCCGUUCGCCACAUGGCAGCGAUUUCCUACAGAAGAAGCCUACAGAUGACACCCGUCCUGUGACGUGUCAAGGGAACAGGCGCGGAGCUGGCAAGAUAGCCCGGCAAGCCUUGUCGGGCGACCAGUGAUGUGACACCAAGCGGCGCAUUUAAUGCACCUUGUCAGCCUGCAGAGUUAGGUAUGAUAGCACUGUUCAUUAUCAUAUAAGGGAUAAUGACUACUUUGCCAUGGUGGUGACCCCUAAAUCUAUAAAAGGAGGCCCAUGGCACUCGUAGGAGGGGUUGGAAAGUUGAUGAACCCAGGCCACCAUACGCGCGUAUUCGCUACGGUCCCGAGGCGAACCCUGUCGGGCAAGUGUACUACGCAUCAUCACAUUCAUUCCACCAUCAAUCCAUCAAAGCAGGAGUAGGGUCUUACGCCUCGCGGUGACCCGAACCUGGGUAAAUCGCUUGUGUGCUCCCUACCACGCUGUCGUACGUUGGUCUGCUCUUUGUGCAACGCGACGUCCCCCUGCCGAACCAGCAAGGGGCCACCCGAUCCCAUAGGUGGCCGCGGACAUCCCGUGACACAACUCAGCUGCUAAUACCUUCAAAUAUUCUUUGUCUCCCCUUCUGUCGAAUCUAUAAAUUUGGGUUGAAUACUCUACCCUCGAAAACUGUUGCGAUCCCCUAUACUUGUGGGUUAUCAAGACCUUUUUCUGCCAUCGUUGUCGGGGAGCAUAGCUAUAUUUGUUGAGUCACUUGGGAUUAUUAUCAUAUUAUCACUAUGAAGAAUCUAAAUGAUGCUAAGACUAACAUUUUCCCCUCAAAGACGAGGGGAGGUAAGGAACUGCCAUCCAGUUCUGCUUUAGAUUCACCUUCUGUUAUAAGUAAACUUGCAACACCACCACAUGCUAUUAAUUCUAAUAUGUUGCAAGUUAUUGACGAUACUACUUCUGCUAUGGAUAAUUCUUAUGAUGAUGCUAGUACCUUGCUUGAUAAUGAUGACGUGCCACUUGGUGAAUUUCUUAAUAAACAAAUUGCUAGAGUAAUACAACAUGACGUUGUUGAAUCUGACGAUGAGCUUGAAACUGAAUCUCCUGAAACACCUGCUAGAACUAGCCUUCCUAGAUAUGAAUUGCCUAAGGUACCGGAAGGUUAUGUUAUGAACGAGGAGACAACUAGAGAUAUUCUUGCUUGUAGGGAUAGAGAUGAUCUAGAGAAAUUAUUGUGCAAGUAUAAAGAAAAAUCUUUGAAUGCUAGAAUGAAAUAUGAUCCUAAGUUUGCUACUUCACAUAUCUUAUUGAUGAUAAGGAUUAUGAAUUCUCUGUCAAACCAGGGUUAAUUACUUUGAUUGAAUCUGAAGUCCUUUAUAUCCACCGCUCCUGGCUUCUUAGGUAGCAAUGUGACAAUGGCUUUGUUGAUAGCAGCCAUUCCCCUAAUAUCCCCUCUAUGGAAGUGGUCCAGCGCCCUCAUGAAAUCGGCUUUGAUCACAUGCCAGCAAGUGGCAAAGAAACGCCCGGUAAACCCGUCCAGGCCUGGCGCCUUGUCAAGAGGCAUUGACUUAAUGAUGUUGAAAACUUCCUCCUCCUCGAAUUGUACCUCCAGCCGCUCUAGAUCAUGGGUCGGCAAAUCCAGCACAUCAAGGUUGAUCGUCAUCUCCCUUGCUCUCGUCGAGCCGAACAGCCGCCCAUAGUAGUCAUCAACCGCCUUAGCUAUAUCCUCCUGACCCGUGUGUGUUUCCCCGUUGGCCUGGAUAGCCGUGAUGACGUUCUUGCGUUGUCUGUGCCUCGCAUGUCGCUGGAAGUACUUUGUGUUGGCCUCUCCUUCCCUCAGCUGCAGAAAACGCGAUCGCUGCCGCACAAUGGUCCUCUCCAGCGAGCACAGCCCUAACAAUUUCCUUAUGAGCAGCUUGCGAAGACCGUGUUCCUGAUCCUCCAACGGCCUCUUAUCCGAGGCGGCAUCUAGUCUAGCAAUGACCUCCAUGGCUAAGGCUAUUUGCAGGCGAGUUUUUUCCAAUCCACCUGUCGCUCCAUGAUUGCAGUGCCUUUGCAGUGGCGUGUAGCUUAUUGUCCCGCACAGUAAACGGAUUCCCCACCGACUGAAUCGAGUCCCAUGCCUCCUGGACCAUGUCCAAAAACCCUUCCACCUUGGGCCAGAAGCACGCUUGCCUAGAUGGAAUUCAGCAUCCGUAUCCAGUAGAAGAGGGCAAUGAUCUGACACUGAUGAGCCCAGAGCAGUGAGCAAGCUGUUUGGAUAUACGUCUUCCCAUGUGUUGGUGACAAACACAUGGUCGCUCUUCUCGAGUGUCAGGUCUCUUUGUUCGUUACUCCAAGUGUAUCUUCUUCCAUUCAGGUAUUGUUCCUUUAGUUCAAGCCUAUUUAUCAGAGCGCGGAACCUCGCCAUCAUCCUUCUGUUCGUGGUAGGCUUGUUCUUGUCGUCCAUGGAGAUUAAAAGGUUAAAAUCUCCCAGCAGCACCCAAGGCCCAACGUGAAGAUCCCGUAUAUCCCUCAACUCCGUCAUGAAAUCUACUUUGGCCACAUCACUCUGAGGGCCAUACACCCCGGUUAGCCACCAAUGUGGUUUCCCUUCCUGCGAGACUAGAGCCGUGAGCGUGUUCGCCGUUACGUGCCUGUUUGAGAGUGAGACCACUAGGCUGUCCCAAGCGAUCAAGAUACCACCGCGUGUGCCCACCGCAGGCACAUAGUAAAAAUGCUCGAAUUUAUUAUCCAGGCAAUGUCUAACCACAUUAAUGGAGAUGGACUCCAUUUUGGUUUCUUGGAGGCAUACAAUGCUCACAUUUGCAGCCACAACUACUUGGUACACCGCAUUCCUUCUAGCCGGCGAAUUGAGUCCUCGCACGUUCCACACGAGUAUUUUAGGCAGGUUUGAAGUCAUGGAGAGUGCCCAUCGAACCACGUGCCACACAGGCUCGUACUACUGGCCCUCGGCCCCUCCUGCCUCCUCGCACUGCAAGGGCAGCACCGAAGCAUCCCACCCAAACAGUGCCCAGAUCGCCCUCACAUGGCAGUCAAGCAACGGCUUAUCGAACAAUUUGACGUAGGCUUGCAGUGCGUCAUCAUCGAUCUGGUUCCCUUCAUUGGCUAGGCAAAGCUUCCGGAUCAACACCGCCUGUUGCUUUGAAGCCUUGGAGCCCCUCCCACCCUUUGCCAGCCUCACACACCGGCGCGGCGAGGUCACCGUUGGUCGCUUCUGCCGUGGCCUCCUCUGCUGUUUAGGUAGCUCUCUGGAUGUAGGCUGGGUUAGCAAAGGUGAGAGCGCUUUACGCAGCUCCGAGCAUAACUGCGCCACUUGCUCCUGCGGUGCGGAGACGGGCCUGGGAGGGGGCCAUAUGUGUAUGUGCCUGCUGGAGUGGCGUCCCCACCUGCCCCUGGGAGUGUCCCUGCGGUCACCCCGGAUCCGUUUCACCAUCUACCUGCGACAGGCUUACCAGAAACCAGCCUUCCUUCGACGUGCAUGGGCGCGUCCCAUCCGCAUGCAGGGUGGGGCCCAGCGGGGUCCCCAUGCCACGCGGGCUGCCUAACAGGCUGUUGUCCAACUCAGGUCCAUCCACUUAGGGCGUGGUGAGAUCCGCACGCCAAUCGGAGCCAUGGGCGUCGCGAGAUUCGCUCUGGUCCACUUGUACCUCCCAUCCGCCAAUCCUGACUGAUUGCAUGGGCUCCGGUCCCGCCACCGCAGGUUCUAUCAACACUGCUCUGUCAGUCUCGCCCUCUGUCUGUUGCGGCCUCGGACUUCCCCUCACUUGGUUCACCGAACCUGGCGAUCCUGAUGCGCUGAUCUGCGGCCCGUCCACUGAACCGGCUACCCAACCAGCGCCCCCACUCUGCUUUCCAACGGGGAGACAGCCCUGCUGGCCUCUGCUUGCAUGACACGUUGCACCGUGCCUCGGCCCACCACGCUUUACGUACCCUGGCAACCGACAGGAUCAGGGUCCUCCCUGCGCUCGGAUAGCGGCGUGACAUCUCCCGCCAGCUCACGCUGACCAGCCUGGGUUUGAAUGGCCCGCUGGCCGCCCUGGGUUUGAACAGCCCGGUUUCUGCCAGGCGAAGGGGCCGACGCCGACGAGGAAUCUGCCCGGCGAGGCGGCGAAGGCGGCGGCGGCGGAGGCCCGCCCAAGUCAUCGGCGCGCGAGCCACCGCCGCCGUGGCCAGCAGAUGGCUGGGGAGGGGGCGACGGCGGCGGCGUUGGCGUCCCGGCCUGCCGCCCAAGGUGAAUCGGCUCAGCCACCAGCCGAAUGCCAAUCGGGUACCACAGGGCAUCAGAACCACCAUCCACCUGCACAGCAACUCUGCUCCGCCUGUUCGGCUCCUCGACGGCAAGGAUCCGCCUGAAGGGGACACGAGUUGGGUCGUCCGUGCGUAGCCAGACCAGGAACCCCGCCAUGUCGCUCCGCUCCGCGGUCGAUGCCCCGACCUUGACCACCACCCCCAGGCCAUGCAGAAGAACCUCCGCCGUGCGCCGAGUCCACGCAUUCGCCGGAAUGCCCCGCAGCACCAGCGGCACCAGGAACGGCAUGGAGAUGGCCGUGGCGUGCGAGUGGCGAGACCAGGGCGCGAGCAGGAGAUCAAACUGGUGCGUGCCAGCCCGCCCACGCCUGAGCAACCUGCUCCUGAUCUCCGACGAACGGCACAACACAAGGAAAAUCCUCAGGGAAAUAUGCUCGAAUGGACAUGUCCAGCCAGGCUAGCUCAAACUCCUGCACAAGAACUCCAGCCACCGCAGCCAGAUCCGCCGCGUCUCGAUCACCAACUACGGUCACCACCACGGCCCGAGAGAGCUCCUUCUCGAGCGCCCGGAGGUCGGGGCCCGACUCCAGGAAGCACACAUCCACCUGAUCAUCCACCAUGGGGGGCGACGCCUCACCCGCAACCACCGGCUCGAACGGAACCGAGAAAGCCGGCCCGGGCACCACCAUGCUGCCCACCGACCCAGCGCUGACCACCCGACUCCACGGAACACCGAUCCGAACUGCGCCCGCCGGCGGCGGCCCGGGAGGGGGAGGCGGAAGCGGCGGGGACAGAGUGCGUGCCGCCCCAGACGACGGCGGGGCGUGGCCAUGACGGAGAGCCGGCGGAAGUCGCGGAGGAUCCACCGGAGACGAACUGCGGGGGCGGGGGCGCGGACGCGUGCAAUCCCGCGAGAUGUGGCCCUCCCCGUCACAGCGCACGCAGACCGGCGGGUUAGUGCACAUGGCCGAGAUGUGCUUGUCGCUCCCGCAAUUGUAGCAGCAGCCAACAAGCUUCGCCAGGAUCCGGCCCCUCGACGGCCGCGACGACGGCAGGAUGUUGGGCCACCUGCCCGGAGGGGAGCGGCGCACCGGCCUGGUCAGGGAGCGCGCCUGUGGGGCUACCGCCCGACGCCGGCCUGCGUCUGCCAGGGCGCCUCGCCCACCGCCAGAGGAAGGGGGGAGGGGGUUGCAGCCUCGGUCCACAUGAUUGGACCACGCGUCGUGCCCACCACGUCGGGCACAACGACCAAUGAGCAAGACCGGCCUAGGAGGCGGCGGCGGCGGAGGGGAGAGGGGCAAGGAGCCGGAGGAGGACGCCGAGAGGGACACCCGAGAUGCCAUGGCGAACGGCACCGAGGAACGAGCUAGUGCGAGGAGGUGGACGCCGGGGACCGGAGUGCCCACCGGCGAGGAGGAAGAGGUGGACGUCGGCCCCGGAGCAGGCGCCGGCGUGGGUUUGGUGGUCGCCGGGGCCGGAGUGGCCGCCGGCGAGGGGGGGGGGGGGCGCUAGGGGGAGAGAAGGGGAGCGCUAGGAUCGACUCCCUAAUUUCUUACCCAAUGAGUCCCCUGCGUUUUCUCGAAAGUGCACGAUGAUUAUGUACUGUAGUAUGUACCGAAUGGCCUUAUUCAUUUGCUCCUGUAAAACUCACGAACUUAUUCAGAGUGGAAGUAACCAAAUUCAAAACUCGAUCUAUUUGGUGGAUGGUUACAAAAUAAGUCAAGAAGUUAAGUCUGCAUUUGCAUCUAUAAUGUUUAUGCAUAAAUGAAUCAAACUAAUUACCAUGAAUAACCCCCAUUUCUAGAACAGCUUCAAUUACUGACUCAGAUCGGGCAGCAGUCAUUGCAGUGCCAUGUUGCUCACAAGCUGCUAAAUGCUCCAGGAGAGUAGCACAUUUUUCUUGCAGGCUUGGAGAUGAUUCUUAAGAACUUUGAUUAAGCGUGAGAUGACAUCAAGGUCAAAGAUUGAAUCGCUACAACUGUUACAAUCAUCAGUAACCGGUGUUAAUAGCAUUAAUCCAGGUAAUAAAACACAUCAGCAGGUCCACCACAGAAGAUAUAAUCAAUUCUCUGUACGGACUUUCUGGAGAAAUAAUUACAGACGAUUUAGUGUAUUACAUUAGCUUCAGCGGAGAACAUGGCUACAGAAUCUGUCAUUAAACUAGUAUCAACUUCAUGGAUUCAAUCUACAAAUGUAAUUAUUCUACAGUAUGCAAGUAUGAAAAGUAUAAAAUGAUAUAACUCUUGCUCCUAGUUCUUGUAAACAGCUUGCUAUGACAUGGAUUCAAGCUUUUCCAAGGAGAAGACUUCUUCACCAGCAAAAGUACAACUCCCAUCAAAAUAAUAUUCUUUUACUCCUGUCCCAGUUAAAUGUGAUACAGUACCAAGAAUUAUUAUCUUUCUGUCGAUAAACCCAAAUCACUACUGUGUAUUGAAUAGGAGUGCUGAAAUGAUAUUGAGCGAUGAAGUAAUGUGUACGGGGUAAUAAUAAAGGCAUUAAUUAGUAGAAAAGCUUAGGUAGUCCAUUUCAUUUGUGAUUUCAGAGACCCCAGUGCUUAACCUCAAUUGUUAGGAGUAUCAUUGACAGAUUUAAUAUGAGGAUCCUAUAGAGAAACUUCAUGUGUGCAUGAAGCUAAAACAUCACUUGCUUACAGAUAGAGAUGGCAAAAAGUGACAAUUUGUUUUUGUGAACUUCACUGAAGUAAAUGAUAUUCAGGAAUCUAACAAGGCUUGAACGAACCUAUCCAACUCGUCUUGUUUCAAUAAAUUUUGGGACGUUCCAUUGAGCUCACCAUCUACAUUACCUUGACUGCACUUCUCAUCGUCCGCUAUAUCCUCAGACCCAGUACUAGCAUAGUAAUCAGGCUGAUAAAUUUGAAAUAUUGUAAUUCAGGUUCGUUGAAACACAAUAAAGUACACUUGACAUAUUAAGAAGCCUAACUAACCGCAGUAAUCAUGCUGACCUCCAUAUCAAGUAUUCGAGAAAGUAUAUGGAUUAUCUGAAUCAUAACUGCCAAGUUAGUACGUGAUAAUGGCAAUAUUACACUGGAAUUUUAAAAGUUAAACUGAUAAUAUUAAAGGUUCUGAGUUGUGACCUUCUCCAAUUGUUCUACUGGGGUAUCUGAAUCCUUCAGUACAUUUACAAGCAGCUCUCGGCCAUCUUCUACUCUGAUCUUCUCACAAACUUCGGAACUAUGUAAAAAAAAGGAGAAAUAAAGAACAUUGAUUGUCAUGAAAGGAAAACAUAUGUAAUGCAAAAUCAUGAACCUAUCAGAAUUUUGUAGAAAUAAUAACUGAUCAUGUUGCGCCCAUAUCAACCCUAUGCUAUCUGGUAACCCAUACAGAAACACUAUAUCUUCUAUAUAACUCUUCACUGUUGUAGUAUGUUAGAAUAAUCAAGGCGUGUAUGGAUCUACAGUGAGGCAAGGCUUUCUUUUAUAAUAAAUACACCCUACCCGAUUUUGGUUGACGGUUGUGUUCUAAUCCAAUUAUUCGCUUGUUUUUCUUGUCACUGUGGCGAGACCAGCUGAGAGAGAACUAUUUUCCAUUUCCAGACAGACCCCGAGCGAGGAUAUGGAACAAUUUUUUAUGACCAAGUCGCAUGAGGCACGACACCGAUAUUUGUUAACGAGGUUCACCGAACUCGGCUACGUCCCUGUUGAUACCGCUACAAUACUGCACACGGCCGUCCGGACUCCCACAGAAGCCGCCGGCCCCCCCUGCAUUUGUUUGUAUUAUUACGUUGGCAUAAGUUACAUCAUGUGUCUUCCCCUAUAGUAUUAUAUAGGAGUCCCAGGGUAGAAUUGCCGUACGCGAUCAAGACUCCAUGCCCUAUCUACGCACUGUAAACUACCAUGUAUAAGAUAUUCGACAUAAUUAGAACAAAUGCCACCUCUGCGAAUACUCUUCACCACCUUGAAUUUGUCCAUGCGUCAAACCUCCAUGUACGUUAUGGAUUACUUAUGUUGGCCGUAGGAUUCAGAAUCAGACUGACCUACACAACAGUAUGAACCAAAGGAAGAGGGCUCAAUUUGGAUUACUUAUGUUGGCCGGAGGAUUCACGAGUGAAUACAGCGUCACGGGAGGCUGCAUCGGGAUCUCGUGCUCCUUCUGUAGGCAGCCGGCCAGGUCCGUACGCGAAUGGUCUUCUUACUCCCCAGGUCUGGCUCAGGUCAAGCCAUCGAGGAGUGCAUACUGGUAAAUCGGGUGCUCUCUUGCUUGGAGGAGUUGGAUCUGUCGAUCUAGCCAGGUGACCAAGAUAUCUAGCAGGGCGAGCCUCGCCCAAUGAGCCACAGCACCUCAUUGUGGAGAAGUCGGAUGUCAUGCAACCUAGUGGCGGUCAGCUUCGCUCCCCAGAACAUCAAUCGGUUCGGCGCUCCGGUGAUGUAUGGAAGGAGUCCUUGAUGCCCGGCGUACGUCCGGAUGUCGGCGGGAUAGAACCAAUUUGGCUGCCACUUCUUGACGGUGUCUGGCUGCGCCAACUUGAGUACUUGUCCUUGGGCUUCAUCUGGAUGCCAGUUCCACCUCUGAUGGACAGGUCGUUGCGGCUCUUGUGCACCUUCACCAUAAAGAGCUUCAUCCAAAGGCCGAAAUGGGGCAGAGACCCCAAGAAACACUCGCAUAGCAUGAUGAAGCACGCGAUGUGCAGAAUGCCGUUAGGGUUGAGGUUGUGCACCUGGUUGUCUUAGAGCAUCUCCAACAGCAGCACUAAAAUAGGGCGGUUUCUGCAUCACCUCAGCCGAAAAAGGAGCUCCAACAGCAGCCCUAAACACAUAUUUUUGUGGUCCCACUUUAGGGCUGCCCAAAAAACCAGCUCAAGGUGAUGCAAAUUUCGAUCACACAGCUGGCUGCCCAAACACAAAAACGGCUGCGACCCACAUGCCGCACGCAGCUGAAACCUCCCAACCGCCCCCCUCCCUGCACGCGUCAUCUUCUCUACCACGAGCCGCCACCGCCAAAUCCCACUGCCGCACCAUCGAAUCCACCGUCGUCGUGCCUCGCCGCCGUAGAUCCAGCACCCCCCUCCUUUCUCCGGCUGCCGGCACUGCCAUAUCCACCACCACCACCGCCGCCAAAUCCGCGGCCUGCCACCGCCAAAUCCGCAGCUUGCCGCCACGAAAUCCCGCUGCCCGCCACCGAAUCAGACGCCGUCGACCCUCGCCACCGCAGAUCCAGCUCCUACCGCCUCCUCCCGCCUCUCUCGACCGUCAGCGCCACCAUCAGGAUACCGCCACGCCGCCCGAAGAUCGAAAGAUCGCGGAGAGAUCUGUUUCUUGAGUUACCAACUCUCGGCCUAGUGGCGGAGAGGAGAGGAAUGGUGGUACGUAGAAACCUUAGCUCUAGGAUGACCGAUAAAGUAUCGGAUGCCCCGGUUGAAUGGAGUUUUUUGAGAGCCAUCCUUCUUAGGUUGGGCUUCUCCUUGGCAUGGGUGGAGAUGGUUAUGCAGUGUGUGAGUACAGUAAGAUACCAUGUCAGGUUUAAUAAUUUUGAGACGGACGAGAUUAUACCCACUAGGGUGCUUUGGCAGGGGGGCCCCUCUCCCCUUGUUCCUUCUGUGUACUUCGCAAUAUUCACAAAAUGUGGAAGUCCUUGGCAAUAUUCUGAAAAGGUACUGCGUAGCUUUGAGCCAGCUAGUAAGUGAAAGCAAAUUCUCUAUUUAUUUCGGUCCUAAUACUGACGUUACCGAAAAAGGGUUUCCCCCCGCUUUGUAUUCCAAAGCAAACCACCAUUGUACACAUCGCAAUGCUGGGGCGAGCAGCACAUCAAGCCCAAAGAAAAAGAAGAAGAAAUAAAUGCCAACAGCGGCAGCUCGACAAAGCACUGAAGACCCGCGACCGCUGCGCCCUCCGGAAACAAACCACCACAGCCCGAGGCUCCGAUCUACCAUGAACUAAGCAGCAUCUCCAAGAAGGGAUGCGACGCCGACGACGUUGCUGCCCGGACAAGUCCUAGGGUUUCCCCCAGUACGCGGAGGGAGGUGGGGGAUAGGUACUACAGACACCCUCCAAGAAGGGAUAGUGGCACCCGCCGGUGUCACCGCAUCGGGACCGGACAAACCGGCAAGGAUUUCUCCCGCACUCCAAACCCCACCGGCCAACCGAAGCCGACCAGCCAAACCACCGCCCAACACCAUGCGCCAUCAUGGUUGCGCCGCCACCAACGUCGUCUCGCUGCGAGUACCACCACGAGGCCAAGACCGGAGAGAAGAUCCAAGCGGCGGGAGCAGCAGCACCAAGGCCGAGCAGGAGGGAACCACUUCCACCGCCGUCGUGCGAGAGGCCCGCGCCUCCAGCACCGUCGCGGUAGCCGUCCGGACACGGCAGCGGGGCAUUACAUGGAGUUACACUAUGGAAACUGAAAGUCCCAGGCAAAAUUAAGGUUCAUGUGUGGCGGACGUUACAUGGAGUUAUUCCGUGUUAAUCUAUUCUUGCUAACCGGCAUAUGAAAACUAAUACUGCAUGCCCUUCAGGAACGUACUGAAGACAUCGUCAUGCUAUGUUUGAAUGUGGUCGAGCGCACAAAGUUUGGGAGAACCUGGGUUUAUUGGAGAAAGUGGAAAAAGCUCUCAACUUUGAUAUGGCUAGCUCUGCUGUACUAGAUGAAUUGAUUUGUAGUUCGAGUGAUGAUCCAUUAUAUCUUGCUCAAAUCCCUGUACCAUGUUUGAUAGCGGUGGCUAGCUGGUUUUUAUGGUGGGAAAGACGACAGUGUGCAAAAGGAGAGAAGAUCACGAUGCCUGAUCGUUCUGCCUUAUCAAUACAAGCUCUUGCAUUGAACUUUCACCGGGCGGCUACUAUAGGUCAUCCGGCAAAGGAUGUGAUGUGGGCUAGACCACCACAGGGUACAGUCAAAUUGAAUGUUGAUGCAUCGCUUGAAUAUGGAAGGAAUAUAGCUUCCACUGGCGUAAUUCUGAGAGAUGUUGGUGGAGAUUUCAUCGCAGCAGAGAUCUGCUACUUGGGGCCAACAAUAGAUGCAUAUACAGCAGAAGCUUUGGCAAUGAAGAAGGGGUUGCAACUUGCAGAUUCUUUGGGCAUUCAUGAUCUGCUGGUUCACUCUGAUUGUGCAGAAUUGGUUAAGGAGAUUCACCAAGGAGCGGUUAAUUCAGUAGCGGCUGGCAACUGGCUAUAUAAGAUUGCCAUGUCAUCAAGAGCUAGCAUAUCAUUCACUCAUAUCUUAGGCUAGUGAUUUUUUUCACUUUCUCUCUUUCUCUUUCCUCUCAUUUACUCAUUCUACCUAGGAGCACGUGUAGAGGCUGGCUCUUGCAUUAGAGCCCACUCUCUCCCUUUUUGCUUGUCUCUCUCCUCCACCUAGGCAAAAAUGCCAUGUAAGCGGGCUUAUAGCCCACUAUUGUACUUCCUCUUAAAGAUUGUUUUGAUACUUGUAAUAAUUUUGGGCAUGUUGCUAUUGAGCAUUGCGCGCGCGAGUUGAACCGCGUGGCUCCUGAGCCAGCUAGAAGGGCUAGGGUUGAUCCUCCGUGUGUGUGUCAACGGACGAACCUCCCUCUUUUAUUCAUAGUCUUAUGGUGGAUGAUGUAUCUUUAUUUGAGAUGAAAUAAAAAUAGCCAUGAUGGCAUUUCCUCAACAAAAAAAGUAUCUGAUGUCCCCGAGAGUGUCCCAAGCUCGCCUAAUAUACCUAGCCGAGCUAGGGUCACAUGACUCAAGCCGGCUUGUCUGUGGGCUCACGCCCUUCGGUCCAACCGAACCAUGCCAUGCGUCGGCGGCCUUCUCCCAGGUCUUCCCAGCAGCAACCCCCGAGCAGACUCCCAGACCUAGGCGGUUGGGUUGGAGCCGUGUGCCAACCGAGGGCUAAGGUCUCAAAAAAGAAACAAAAGAGAAGGACAAAAAACAUGCUUGAAUAAAGAGAAGACAAUAAUACCUGACACUUAGUUUUUCCAAUGCAUAAGCACUCGCUUCUCUGACAGGUACAUCAUUAUGCAUCAGCAACUGAAGUAAAGAUUUCACAGCCCCAGCUUCCAUGAAUGAAGUGCGCAUGUGUUCAUUUACUGAUGCAUCACCGAUUGCAUGAGCAGCCUUUGCAAUUGCAGAGACAUCUUGGAGACCAAUUAUUAAAACUAGCCGUGCAACACCAUCUAUCCAAGGUAAGAUGGUGUGGUGAUCAUUCCUUUGAGAUCCAGAUUGUUCUUUCCCUUCAUAAUCAAACUCAAUAGCUCCAACGCGUGCAAGAAAUUGCUGAUUAGAACGCCCUAUCAUAGCAUUAAUUUUAGCUUCAUCUGGCUCUGCUUUCUUCUCAUUUAGAAUCAGGCCAAGAAGCAAUUCAGUUGCACCAUAUUUUGAAGGCCGAGAACUCCGUUGAAUUUCCGAGCCAUCAGGAAAAGAGGGCCAUGAAUGAGGUUGAGGUCUGAAGGCUUUAUAAGCGGAUGAGCCAACCAGAGGAAUCCGGACUAGACCCUGACCCACUAUAAGGGCAUGGUAACUAUCAUCCGUGGAUAGUUCCACGAGCGACCUUCUAGCUUCCUUUCUGAUACUUUUAUAAUCAUCGUCUUUGGUUUGCAGAAGAUGAACCUAAAAACAAUUUGAAGAUAAAUUUAAAGGAAUGCUAACAAGUAUAUUUAAGCAAACUAGUAAAUGCGCAUGUGCAAUGCACGUUAAUAUUUAGUCAAUAUAUUAAUUGCAUGCGGAUAUUAGGUAUGCUAUUAUUUGUGUGUUACUUCUGUGAUUAGUGCAAUAUUUGGUAUGAUAUUAAUUGCACGUUAAACAUGUUGAAUGCUCGCCAUUGGAACAGUCUAGGCCGUUGGAUUGACUUAGUUUGAUGGCCGAGAUCAGUUGGAUCUGCCCCUUUGGGUCUUUUUAUAUUGGUAUAGAUAUAGAUAUAGAUGAUAUUGGUAGACUGUAACCCAAAUAGAUAACCACUAAGAUUUUAACAUAGAUUGCAAAUACAAAUGAAAUAACGAAAGUUGUCAAUGUAGCUAAUGGAAAAUUUAAUAUCCAGCAAGAAAAGAUACACAUUUGAGAACUUCAUAUGCACCAACAGGAAGUUCAGGCACUGGAUGAAUACGAAAUAACAGAGUUUAGAGAACGUACAUCUGCCAUAAGAAUCUCACACAAAAUAAGUGCCCAAAAUCAAAAUAAUGAAUAUUACUUGUACUUGAUAAAUUACCACUUGAAGGAUUACCCAACCACAUGUUUGGCUGGAUACCCCCUUGAAUUCCUUAGACUUUUUAUUGGUGGAUGAUAUAAAAUUUAUUUGAAGCUAAUGAAGCCUGGUUUAUGCUAAAAAAUUGUAGCAACGACAAUUCAGCACGGUGCUAGUGCAAAGUAAAUAUGUAAUUUCAUAUUACUUUGAAGAGGACAGAUGUAUAUUGGGUAGGCUCAAACAAGUUGGGGUAGGCUCUUGGGUGAAAUUACAUAUUUACUUUGCAUGCCCUAGAGCAGAAGCGACCGAUGGCGACACCACUGCUCUGGUGAAAGUGAUCUUCAGGUACAGAAACGUGGCAACCAAAGCUGACGUGAGCGUGACGGACAAGGACACCAUGGUAAAGAGGCCAGAGCACGCAUCGGAAUGGUCGGCAGAGGUGGAACCAAGGCGAGCCCGUGUGGAGGCCGGUAGGACAUUGUCGCAGCGCAGGCGGCUCUGGAGCAGGGCAAGCACCAGGAGGUGGUGGAGAUAUCAGAGAGCUGUCAGCUGGCACAGGAGCAGAUGGAGGCGGCAGGGGACGGCAACCCCGUGAUCGUGUUGCUGGGGCCAAGCUGCACGACAUGCAGAGGCGCUGAACCGGCACAGCUACUUACGGCCAGAGCGGGCAUACAUGCUCGCCGGCAUGAGCACGCACAUGCAGCAACGCGCCACCUCUAGGCAGAUGUAUAUGCCAGAGGACGAGCGGACGUCAGUGUCGGCAGGAGACGACGUUGUCGUAAGCGACGGAAGCCAUGCGUGCUAUGCUGAUGCGCUCGUGAAAGGCGCGGGAGGUGUCAGCCGAGCAAGUACACGUUGCAGAGCAGGCAGACACCUUGGCCAUGCAGGAUCCUGGUUAGCCUUCUAGGAAUCCUAGUAUAAAAUUCUAUGGAUUUACAUAUUAGACGUGUAGUGGUGCCUGGUCAAGUGGCUAGCUCAUAAGGAUGUAGCACCUGGGGUACUCAGUUUGAACCCCAAAAGACGCCCCUUUUUCCUUCCUAGUUCUCCACCCCACAUGCUGACAAGCAGGCACCACGUAGCCAGGGUUAAUGAUAUUAGCACUGUAUUUGCACGGUCACACAAGUUUUGGAACCGGUUCACUGUAUUUUUCAACUUCAUGCACCAAAGUGAUCAUCACACGCAACUUCAUGUGCCACCAAUGUAUUUGAUUCUGAAAUAAAACGCAUUUGUUUGCAUACAUCCACUUGAGAUUAUCUUUAAGAUAGACUACUAAUAUUUGAUAUUAUUACAAUAUGAAGACUAUUGCAUUGCAGAGUUAUAAACUUAUGCGCAGAGCAUCCAUGGUAAGAGUGACUUAAAGUUCUGGCACAGGUUAAUGUGUUGCAAGCAUGUGUAGACAUUAAUUGAUUAUUUAACAAGAACAAAAAUGAGCCACAACUUACCAGUUUUGGAAUUACACCAGCUUCGACCAGAGCUCCAUGAUAAGAAUGACUUAAAGUUAAAUAUGAUGUGAUACUAGCAGCAACUUCUUUCACUUUUAUGUCUUCAUCAUCUAGGAACCUAACUAUUGGUAUUAGCAUAUCACUCCCCAAAAGCUUGUAUCUCAAAUUUUCGUCAACAGAGAAGUUCCAAAUGGUACACAAACACUGCUCCUUUAUCUGCAAGAGAAAUAAAGAAUGUAUGUCUGGAGAAGUCAUUAGGUAGUUCAAGAUUCUUCCAUAAUGAAGUUUAUCUGCCUGUCAUGUGGGGCAUCCCCUAUAGGCGUAGGGAAAGCCAGACGAGUCAGGCUAGGGCUGGCAACCGAUCCAAUCAAGGAUUCGGACCUACUUAAUUAAAGAAAGUAGGAGUCAAUUAUAGGGAGUCCUAAUUUUUUUUUAACCUGAAUAGGGAGUCUUAGUUGUGUGUGUAUAGGAAUCAGCAGUCAGCAUUAGGAAAGUACAAGUCAAAGGAGUCUGUAAUGCGACCUCUACAUAAGGAGGCAGCCAUGUGACACCUAGGCAUCGAGAACAGUAUAAGAGCAUCUCCGACAGCUUAGCCUAAAAAUGAGCCGAAUACCUAAGACCUGAAAAAUUAGGCUUUUUGCCUCAAAAAAGGGCUCCAACAGACCUUUAUGGAUUGCUAAAAAUUUAGGCUAUAGCCUAUAUUUUACUAUCCAAUUGGUAAAUAUAGGCUUCCAUUAGUCCAAAGCCUAAAACCAAAAUCACGGCCACAGCAAAGCAACCACCGUGUGGUGAAGUUUCACCGCCACCGCGCCGACCGAUUUGGCCGCCGGCUACCCUGAGCCCCACCGCCAACGCGCCGCCCAAUUCCGCCACAUGACCGCCCCGAGCUCGAAAGGCACUGCCCGGUCCCUCUGAUUCCAGUCGUCCCCUAGCCCCGUCGUCGCCCAAGAUGAGCCCCAAAGCCUCACCGCCGCCCACCGAGCUCAAUUAGGAGCCGGACGACGACGCACGCGCAACGGCAGCGACCCCCGCUGAGUCGGGCCGAAUUGUUGGCGCUCGGACACCGCCGCGACGCCAGACUAGCCAGCACCCCCAGCUCCCACCGUACCUCCCNNNNNNNNNNNNNNNNNNNNNNNNNNNNNNNNNNNNNNNNNNNNNNNNNNNNNNNNNNNNNNNNNNNNNNNNNNNNNNNNNNNNNNNNNNNNNNNNNNNNNNNNNNNNNNNNNNNNNNNNNNNNNNNNNNNNNNNNNNNNNNNNNNNNNNNNNNNNNNNNNNNNNNNNNNNNNNNNNNNNNNNNNNNNNNNNNNNNNNNNNNNNNNNNNNNNNNNNNNNNNNNNNNNNNNNNNGAGCAUCCCGGCCCCAACGACCUUCACCAGAUGAAAUCGAGUUCGGCGCCGCAUUAGCUGUCGGAUACGCCUCCUGGCCUCCCCACCGUCGGAUCUUCAGCUUUUAUUUGCUUUUGAAAAUUGAAGUAUCCCAUUUUACGUUUGUCGUAGAAGUAGCAAUUCUUUGCCUAGCUAGAACCUUCUCUCUACAUGCCUAAAACUAUUUUUGAGUAUCCAAAUUUUAGGCUAGCUGUAGAAGGGGUUUACUGUUUAUUUCUCUUGUACCAUAUAUCAAGCCCUUUGGGCUCAUCGCAAUACGAGUUGCCUUUCUUCUAAUAUGCUAUCAGGCUACAUUUCCCUACAGCCGUCAGCGCAACUCCUCUGCGUUUGUCCGCCACCGCAUCUCUCUCUCCCUCCUCAUGGUGCCUUCCCCUCUAGCCCAAUCUCCUCUUGUUAGAAUUAAUCCAAGGCGCAUAUCAACCAUCCGAAGACCAAGCAAUCACACGAGGCACGACAUCGAGAUUUGUUAACAAAGUUCACCGAACUUGGUUACAUCACCUGGGCCUAACUACAGGCGCUCCUUCCCGUGAUACCGUCACAAUACCGUACCCCGGCCGCCCGGGCGACGACACAUGCCGUCGGGUCCCCCUGCGUGCCUAUGCUAUUAUGUUGGCAUAGGUUACAUCGUGUGUCUACCCCUCGUUAUAUAAAAUGCCUAGGAUACAAGAGUCCUACAAGGACACUACACCAUACCCUAUCUACACACCUACGACUCCAAGUCCAACUGUAACCAACCUUGUACAUAAUAUUUCACACAAUUCUAACAAACUCCACCUUGGCGAAUAUUCUCCACCACCUUGGGUUUGUCCAUGCGUCAAACUUCCAUGUAGAUUAGACUUGAGUUAGGCCAUGAGUAUUGCUGCUACUCGCAGACUCCAUAUGACUCCACCUGCAACUGUAGUCCCUUCUUGUCUUCCCCACAAUCACAACUCGAGCAAAAUUAAGUUAAUAUUUACUCUACUUUGUGCUCUCAACUUUCGGAGUAUCCGUUCGACGCCAUCACACACCGAUCACUGUCUACGUGUAAGUAACAACUCACAAUUGGACGCCACAAAUGAGUUACCCGAACUCAACAUCUUAGCUCUUUCUCGACUGCCGGUUUUGAACUUUGAAGGAAUUUCACCGUUGCCCUGUGCCACCCCGAGUCAAAUUCGCAGUUGUCUCACCCUUUUCCUGAUAGUCUUUGAAAUGUCCCACAGCUAUAGCACUCCGCCUCCUUCUGAACUUGUCAUCCACACUUUGCCAUGUGCACUGAACACCGCAGAAUAUACGGUCAUGUACUCUCUCAACUUUUGACAAAUUCAGACUUUCCGCCACUUUCUCAUAUUCUCCAUGGUCAACUCAUGUCAAUCAACCGGCCCCGAUAGACCAAGUCACCAACUUGAAUCUGGUACUCGCCAACAUUGCUUCAGCACCCUCUGCACACUUCAUCCGACCAACAGUGCCUUGGUCUAUCAUUGUGUCCGUGCUUACCACACACGUCUUCCCGCUAUCACCACGUCGAGCCUCUGCUGUCCUGGUCGAGUCUCUCAUGUAGCUAGCCCACACUUUCUCAACCCCCACUGUAGAGAACCACCGAUCUUCACUGACCGAUGCCGAGUAUCACAUUUCCAUCAGACCACUGGUACCCAGUCCAAACCACAUGUCUCUUGCUUUCCCGCUGAAAUAGGCUACGAUUCUCCAAAUCCUCACACCGUAGCCCCUCCAUCAGCACUGAGUGAAGUCUUCCGCUAGACUCUAGCUCCACCUUCAACAUGACUCCAUGUAGUUGCGCCUUGCUAUCCCUCGCCCUGUCGGCUUCAAGCUCUCAUGUGUGCACUGCCUUGAAUCAACCCUGCGUCAUAGUCUUGUCGAAGCCGCACAAGCCCUCAGGCCCGCACAACGUGUUUCCACGCCCUAGAAGUCGAUCACCAUCAGCACCACGCUCAUGUGUCGUUGUCGCUGAAAUCACCGUCGUCUUCUGUACCGACCAACAUCCAUGUUGAUCCACCAGACUGUCUAGGUCACUGCCUUGUAUGUUUGACCCCAGCUGAAUUUGUACGACUGCAACCAUGCUCCACCUCACGCCGUAUCAGCCCAGCAAAUCACUAUGCAUUGCUCGACGCCCAUGUAGAACAUAGCCCUUCAACAGAACGCUUCCUUGGCUCAUCAUGUCUAACAAUUGUCAAACCGCUGACCUGUACCUUCACUACCAAUCACCGUCUGUCCACUCCUAUGGAACAACGCACACGUCGGAUAUAGCUUCUGAUCAGUUCAUGUCCGCUUACGACUUCCAGACCUUCAUGGAUGUGUUUUCAUUCCUUCAAUUAUAUAGCCGGGCAACUCAUGAAAAAACUCAAACCAUGCCAAUGUCUUUGUCUCCGAACAACUCGACCAUGUCAUUGUCUCCUUAGUAGUACGACUGAACCAAAAUGAUUUUCCUGGUAGCUUCACGUACAUAGCAAACAAAAUCUUAAACAUACCAAACCACAUACCAAUGGAUUGGACGUGACCCCUUUGCCUUGAAACUUGUGCCUCCUUUUUCCACAAACAAAUCUUGCGUCACGGCUUGAACUUCCACGCACCUCAGCCGGCUCAGCCUCUCAUACGUGCAUGGGCAUAGUCCAGGAUCCCCUGCCGGCUUGGACAGCCGUACCUAGGCCAACCCGCCAGCUAGCUUGGGCCAUGUUGCUGCCUGCCCACCUGGGCCUUCUUGACGUGGUCUUCGCCUGGCUUCGGCCACGCGCAUCACGCCGACGCGCCUCUGUUGGCAGCUGCCCAAACAUUGUUGUUGUCUGAUUUGAUCUAGAUCCAAUCUGCCCACAAAUACCUGCACCGAACCGAUCUCACCCCGAGCGCGGCGUUACUGCCACCGCCUGCUUAUUGCUUUUACCGAUCCCGUCGACAACUGCGAUUUCUGUGGACAAAUCUUUCACCGAUCAGCCCAUAGCUUUGCUGAUCGAUACUUUCACACGCAUUCACGCCGUCUCGAUGAAGAUCCAUCCUCUAGAUCAUCUACAGUUUCCUCACAACCUUUCAAACUUUCCUCCGAUACCACUUGUUAGAAUUAAUCCAAGGCGUAUAUCGACCAUCCGAGGACCAAGCGAUCAUAUAAGGCACGACACCGAGAUUUGUUAACGAGGUUCACCGAACUCGGCUACAUCCCCGGGGCCUUACUAGGCGCUCCUCCCCGUGACACCGUCACAAUACCGUACCCCGACUGCACGGGCGCUAGCUCCCCCUGCGUGCCUAUGCUAUUAUGUUGGCAUACGUUGCAUCGUGUGUCUACCCCUCAUUAUAUAAAAUGCCUAGGAUACAAGAGUCCUACUAGGACACUACGCCAUACCCUGUCUACACACCGUACGACUCCAAGUCCAACUGUAACCUACCUUGUACGUAGCCGCCUCUCCUCCUGGCUACGCCCUACNNNNNNNNNNNNNNNNNNNNNNNNNNNNNNNNNNNNNNNNNNNNNNNNNNNNNNNNNNNNNNNNNNNNNNNNNNNNNNNNNNNNNNNNNNNNNNNNNNNNNNNNNNNNNNNNNNNNNNNNNNNNNNNNNNNNNNNNNNNNNNNNNNNNNNNNNNNNNNNNNNNNNNNNNNNNNNNNNNNNNNNNNNNNNNNNNNNNNNNNNNNNNNNNNNNNNNNNNNNNNNNNNNNNNNNNNNNNNNNNNNNNNNNNNNNNNNNNNNNNNNNNNNNNNNNNNNNNNNNNNNNNNNNNNNNNNNNNNNNNNNNNNNNNNNNNNNNNNNNNNNNNNNNNNNNNNNNNNNNNNNNNNNNNNNNNNNNNNNNNNNNNNNNUGCGACACUUACCGUGGUGUGCGGACUAACUAUACUCAGAGGGCUGAUGGUGGUGCUCGGUCUGCAGCCGUCCUCUUUGUCGGUGUCCUGCCUCAGUUCUCGUCUGAGUUUGUGGGACUCUUUACGGCCAUCCAGAAGUGGACUCACCUUCGCUAGCGUUAUCAGCCCUCGGGUGACACUAUGCACUUGUCAGUGGUUCACCGGGAGAAUGCACUUUAGCAGGCUGAUGCCACUGUCGAUGAGUUUUAUGCUCGGAGUUCUUCUAUCUGGUGUCAGCUUGAUUCUCCUCACUGCUAGUGCCUCUUGUCCGUGUUGCCAGACUUUUCGUACGGACUUGGAACUUCACCGUGUUUAUGAGUUCUUGACUCGGGCCCUGUAAGGAGUUUGAGCCACGAUGCCCCAGCAUUCUUGCAUGCGUCCCUCGUGUCACUCUUGUGGAGGCACUCUCAGAGAUCUGCACAGAGGAGAUUCGUUUACGUGGUGCUGGUCUGCUGGAGCCUCCCUUAGUGCUUAGUGCUCGCUCACCUGCUAUACCACCUACUGCACCGGCUGCUUCCCGCUCUCGUGCUCCGCCUCUUCUACCGGCUCCCACAGGCAAUUGAGUUGUCAUCCUCAUCACUGCGACUUCUGCAACAUGGAUGGUCACCUUGAGUCGAGGACUCGAGGUUAUUUGGACAAACAGGCCCUUAGAAUGAAUCACUCCGCAAACUUCUGGGUCAGGAAAAUUUAUGAGCUUAUGAAUUUUGGAGGGUGCAAUGAGCUAGCUUGCAGUAACAUUUGGAACUGUUCACCGCCCAAAAAAUGCAAAACCUUUGCAUGUUUACUUGUCAAACGUCGGAUCAAAGUCAGAGUGGUUCUAAAAAGACAAGGACUUGUCGACGAUGACACCUGCCCCUUUGGCUGCAGCGACCAAGAAACAGUUUCCCACCCGACUUUGAAAUGCAGCAGGACGGAACAUAUAUGGGACGUUCUCGGCAUCCAAGUGGAUGGGGCGGAUGAGCCGGCUGACAUAUUCACUGACAGGCAGAAGCUCCACUGUGAACAAAAACGACGCUCCUGGGAACUGAUUACAAUCGCUGCACUGUGGUCUAUCUGGUUGGCGAGGAAUCAAAGGGUCUUCGACGGCAUUACCAUCCCUCCAGCGGUAGUUGCGAAACAAUGUGCAGGCAUGGUAAAAUCUGGGCGCACAGGGGGAAGAAAGACGAACUUCUUUCUUUGGAGAUUGGGCAAGCUUUUCUAGUUCUAUCUCUCCCUCGUUCCCCUCUCCUUCUCUUUUAUGAUGCAUUCUCUCCUCUCUCUGGUGUGUACCCCAUUGUGUAAAACUGCUGCUCCGUAAGCGCUCUGCUUACGGGUUUAUUUUUGUGAAAUUUGAAGGUAGGGGUCGCCCCUCCCGUUUUACUCAAAAAGAGAGAGAGAGAGAGAUGUCAUGUGGGGCAGUUAAUUAAAGGAAGAAGUAGUCACUUAUGGGGAGUCCUACUUGUGUAUGUAUAGGAAUCAGCAGGCAGUAUUAGGAGAGUAUAAGUCGUUUCAUAUUUGGAAUCUGUAAGGCAAACCUCUACAUAAGGAAGGAGCCGCGUACGUGAAGUCUAGGCAUCAAGAAUUAAUAAAGAUCUAGCUCCCUAUCUCUGCUCAACAGCUACUCCCCGCUGGAAGAUCGCCGGUCAUGCAGCCCCACCAGGUCAUGGAAUAGCCCUGCGCAGAGGGUUCUUCCAGCCUGGCUAUCCAUAGUCACCAUUUACCAAGCAAGUCAGAAAUGGCAACAGUUGUAUCCUUUUGCAGUCAAAAUGGAAGAAAGAAGAAAACCUUCGAUUGCUGGUGCUUACGUUGCAGUUACCUCUGGGGUUAUCGUGGAUUUACGGAUACAGCUAAAGAUUUCUUCCAUUGCUCCACUCUCAAUUGCCACAUCCCUGUAUAACUUCACUGAAGUUAUAUUAUGCACAAGGCCUGCCGCUGCUUCACAAGCACAAGCAGACUCUGACUUUAGGAGGCUGAUGAUGAGGCUGAUGCAACCUGGGAACUGCAUUAUCUCAUCGAUGCACUUCUGUCCACCAAGGGAGUAAUGCCAGAGUGUGCAAAUAGCAUGUUCCCUAUCAUGAGCGUCAUUAUCCAAGCCAAGCAUUCGGACAAAGAGACCAACAUAUGCAGAUCCUGAAUUUGCCAUGCUCUCGGGACUACCAACAUCCUAAUAGAAGCAAGCAAAAUGUAUCUGACAUUUCAAACCGCAACAAAAAGAAAGUGAAUGCACAGAAUGUUCAUGCUACAGAUUUAAUAUUUGUAACAUAAAUACUAAGACCUAAGACUCGACAAGACCACAACCACAAGGGUCAAUUUUAGUUGUUUUCUGUAAUUUAAAUCACAAGCUAAGUCAAGAAUCAUGCAGUGGGGUUAUCUCACCUAUCUGAUUGUGGCUCAUGCCAUCAGAACUCUCCCCAUAUAAAAUACUCCCUCCGUAACAAAAUGUAAGACAUUUUUAUGCCAUAUGCAAAACCAAAAAACGUCUUACAUUUUGGUACAGAGGUUACUUGCGCUCAUUCACAAGGAAUUGACACAGAACUUAAUAUAUGCAGAUAUGGAGCAUUUUGAUUAUUUUGAUGCCAAGCAAUCCCUCAGAAUUCAAAAAGGCGGAUUUUUUUUUUAUUGGGAAGACAGUAGGGAAGGUCCUACUGUAUUAACAUAAUGUACAAGAGAGAAACAGUGUAUACUAUCACAAAGAAAAAAUAUUGCUUGCCAUUUCACUGGAUUACUAGAGCAGGUUCUUGGUUAAGAACUCUCCUACAGUUUUUCUUCUUUGACUUAUAACUCUCCCCCAUUUAGAUAUGAUUUAUGUUGAGUGUUACUUCCAAUCAUAUGCACGAAUAUGUCAUAACGUCGUAUCACUAUUUGAUCCAGGUCAAGUUAGUAAAGACUAAAGAUGGUUGCAGCUUCAUCUGGCACCCAAGAAAACUAGCAAAAACAACUCAAGCAACUGAGCAGCCUAGCCAUAGCUUCUUGUGAAAUACGAAAUGGGGAAUUCUGAGUAAGGCGUACGAAAUUAUGAACAAACUUAAGGCCAUAUUGUGAAGAGGACGAGAGCUAACCUGUCCUGCGCUACCAUCAGAAGCGGCGUAUGUGCCGACCAGGAGAAAGCGACCGCGACCCCCGCCGUCGGCGGCUAAGGGAGGGAAGCGGUGGUGGAGGUGAAGAUGAACACCGUGAUGGUGUCGGUGGUUGCGCCGGAGGCGGGAGACCGGGCGAGAGGUUUGCAGCGUCGGCGAGGCGGCGGCGAGAGCCGGAAGCAUGGCGAGAGUUCCAGAGAGUGGAGAAGUGUGCGUCGCGUCGUGUUGUGGCGAUAGGAUUGGGAAUUGGGGAAUGCGCAUCUGUGGAGCACGAAAUUUUUUAAAAACUAAAAAUGGUAUUUUCGAAGUUUUGAAAAAGAUUGACUUUUGUUUCUAUAAGUAUCUAUUGGACAUUGUCCAGCAACCUAAAAAAUGUCUACUCCUAAGACCUCAUUUGGUAUUUGGUAGUAGAGUUUUGAAGGAGAUUUGAGAGGAUAAUCCUCGCGAGGCUCAGAAACCUUGAAAAUCCCCGGCGGCCCAUUUGGCAUGCAUGGUUUUGUCCACGUGAGCCCCUCCGAUCAUUGAAAAUCCUCGAUGGCCCAGUUGUGGGGUGUCUUUGUAGUACUUCUCUAUGAGUCGUCAUCUGGUCAAGACAAUAGCCAGGGUGUCUUUGUAGUACUCCUCAUGUUUGAAUGUACUCGCAAACAUGGUGAACAAAAGAUAUACCGAAUGCAUAUACUCAUGAUGAAUUAUAUUAUAUGCAUGUGCUGACUGAAAAUUAAAGCAUGACAUGAUAAAUAUUAAUACAGUGGAAGAAUAAAUAAAUCAUGUUAAUACCUAAUCAAAGAAAUGAAAUGGAACAUCGGGCGUUGGACCGCCCGAGAAAUUCCAAGGAAAAAUGCCAAGCGGGUGUCUGAAAGCGACGCCUCAAGAGGUCUUGAAAAGAAAUGCCAAACGGGUGUCUAAAAGCGACACCUCGAGAGGUCUUGAAAAGAAACUAGUUGACCCGUUGCGCCAAAUGACGCAGAGACCCGUUAAAAUCAUGUUGUCGAUGAAAAUAGUUUUAUUUUGUAAGGACAUAUUCGAUAUUGGUAGUAAAAAGUUCCUGUGUUAAACCAUGAGAUAUACUGAAAAACUGAAAAUAUGUUUAGCAUAUUACGAAAUCCAAGUUUGAAAAAAUUCGUAUUUGUAUAACAUGUAUAGACCAGCUCAGGAAGCUUUUUAUUAGUUGAAUAUAUGGUUAUCAUGAUGAGAAAUCUGAUUAAAAAACAUAUUUGUAUAAGAUGUAUCCAGUCAAGAAUGUAUUUUUUAGCGGUGUUUGUAUCAAACUUUUAUUUUCCAUGUGCACAAAAAAAACAUAUUUGUAUUAUGCAUAUGGAGUUAAGGGUAUUUGAAAUGCCCAUAUACUACCUGCCCAGUCCACGAACAAUGCUAUGUGUGGCUUGUAAGAAGUAGAAUAUGAAGCGGCAGUGAUUGAAUCCAUCGAGCAUGUUUAUCCCCUUUUCCUCUUUGGUUCCUUAGUUGAGCGAGAGAAGCAUUCCCGGAGAGGCGUACUCAACUGGUGAGUUUUAUCCUUUCCUUCAAUUUCUCAUUUAUCUGGAUCUUGUAUUUCCCCUCUUUCUGGCGAUUUUUACUCCUCCUAUGUCUUCUUUUAGGCAUCGUAUAUUAUGUGUUGUAAUUAUCUCCAUGUAGGGAUGUAUACGCAUGCAAAUAAAUUUUUGUGGUUAUUUCCAUUGCGCCAAAUGGCGCAGAAAACCGUUGAAUCCAUGUUCACAUUGAAAAAAAAUCCUUAUUUUAGUUGCGGACAAGCACAUAUGAUAGCAAAUUUAACCCCCUCCUUUUUCGAAUAAAAGUUAAUCCUCUUUAAUAAAAAAAAUAAUGGAGGUUUGUUGUCUACAUUGAGAUGUACCUAUACAUUUUAAUUUGGUAGUAUAGAAUCUCAUUGAAGACAUAGUCGUGUUGAAAAUAUGUGUAUUUUUGAGUAAUCUCCCAUCUCCCAUUGCACAAAAUGACAGAGACCCACUAAACACCAUUUGUGCUUUAAAAAAAAUUCAUUUAUCAGUGGCACUAUUUGUCUACAUGCUUCAUGAAAGUGUUUUAUUUGUUUAUAACGUGUGUAUAUGAUUACUGUCCUUUGAUAACCUGCUAAAACAUGCAAUCAAGGAUAGGGCAUCGCCCCGCUGGCUGGGGUUGCAGCCAACCCACCCGAGUUCAAAUCUCAGCUCGGACGCACGGCGCUCACGGUUAACCCUUUAGUUGGUCUCUUUUUUUUUUUGAUAAAACAUGCAAGCAUCAUCGACCACUGACAUGAAAAGGACAAAUAAAAUACUUCCGUUACUUUGAAAAUGACCUCAGGCUCAAAUUCAUACAUAUCAUUAGAUAAGCUUAUCAGAACUGAAUUCCCUGACUAACCAUUUACAUCAUCUCCACACUUCUGCUUCUGUUCUUUCAAUACGGAAUGUUUACGUUGCAUACUGUUGACGCUUUUCAAAUAAGCUAGCAUGUGAAAAGUAGUAGCACCAGUGCAGUAAAAAAGGCCAGCUAGUUACUGAACUGGCCGUGCAUGUACAAAGUACAUAAGCACUGAAUGUUCAACGCCACAUACGCCCCAAACAUUUUCUCUUCUUCUGCCUCUAGUGCGCCCUGAUCGAUCGCUUUAUCAAGAUAGAUACUGCCACAACCUCAUCCACCUCACAAAGUAAAACCUGUCAUCACCGGCAAGACAGCUAAGCAAAGUAAUUCGUUAGUUCUUGAACCAAGAUCCUAAGCUUGGAGAGCCCUUCAAACUGAACCAAAACAAUUGAACCUUCGCCAACAAAUUUUCCAUACAUACAUGCAUACCUAGCUAAUGCACCUGCACUAACAGAAGAACAUAAGAAAACAUCAAUGAAUAACUAUUCAGAAGUCAACAGCUGAGAACCCAGGGAUCUAAAUAAGACGUGUGCACAGAUCCCAUUUUUAUGUCUAGGUAGGCAAUUAUACAAGAAACAAAAUGAGAUGGGUAUGGCUAAAAGCAUAAGAGCAUAGUGCAGAUUCCUCUAACAAAAUACAAAUGCCUAACAAAUUUUCCAUACAUACAUGCAUACCUAGCUAAUGCACCUGCGCUAACAGAAGAACAUAAGAAAACAUCAAUGAAUAACUAUUCAGAAGUCAACAUGGCUGAGAACCCAGAGAUCUAAAUAAGAAGUGUGCACAGAUCCCAUUUUUAUGCCUAGAUAGGCAAUUAUACAAGAAACAAAAUGAGAUGGGUAUGGCUAAAGCAUAAGAGCAUAGUAUAGAUUCCUCUAAGAAAAUACAGAUGCCUAGGUAAGCAAUUCUGAUGCUCUGAUGCGGAGCAUCGGGGACAUCAUCAUGUCAAGAGUUCCUUCGGCGGGUGACUCGUGCGACAUCUACUUCACAUACACAAAGGUGAAUCAUCUCCUAUACACGUGCUCAUUUGACCCCUUCGAGGAUGGUAUACUACUUGACACUCCACUCGUGUGCAUGCAUAGGUAUUGUCGAAACACUACGGACGACGACGAGGAGUGCAAGCGCCAAGGAACAAUUACACCAUCCGCGAGGGAAGCCUGGAAGCGACGACGGAAGAAGACGGAGCUGCUGAAGCUAUAGCGGCCGGACAUCCGGGCCAGAGGCCGGACAUCCGGCGCCAACCCCGGACAUCCGGCGCCUCCCGACAGCCCGGACAUCCGGCAUCUCCCGCGGAAAUCCGGCACCGACGUAUCCAGAGAG
rnacentral:lncRNA from 1 species